rnacentral:lncRNA from 1 species
GAUGAGCACUUCGGCCGGGCCAAGAGGCGGCCACCAGUUAUGAAGGUUCCCUAUGCGCAUCCCGCAUAUUACUACGUUCAUCAGGCAAACCAAAUUCCUGCAACAAAACUAAUCGACAGCAACGAGGCAGCGCAACGCUACAAAUGGAGGGUUUAUAUCGAUUACCCUAAGGGGAAACCAGUUCCGUUUUAAAGACCUAUUGAUCAAUCACUUAGCUUUCUUGUAUGCAUAACCUCCUCCAGUACUUGUGUUACCUUUAGUCCUGUACGAUAUUCUCCCUCUGCUAAACGUAGAAGAGGAGAGGUUGCUAGAACUCGAGUCAGGAGCUUCUUCUUACUUCUUCAAAUAAAAUUUCUGUGAUUUAUAUAUCAUAAUUUUCUAUUUGGCUGGUCAAGUAUGUAUUGUCAUAGUUAUCUUUCUGACUUCCUAAUUAUCAUCUUAUUCACCUCUUACUUAGCAUGGAAUUGAAAGAUACACAAGUAAUUUGCUGUUGAAAUGCUUUGAAGCUCUUCAAGGUGUGAUUUCACCGACUUAUUUCGGAACUGUACAGAGCUCAAUGAUGAGCCAUGGGAAGCGUCUCUGAUUAUUGCACUGUAAAAGCACGAUGAAUAUAAACAGCAGAUCUGCUCUGUUAUUGCCAUAUGCUUAAAUAGAUCGCAGGAUCCGCAAACCACAAGUGAUGACAAGCUUCUUAAUAACUGUUACAGCCUAAUCUAAUAGUUUAAACCAAGGUUGUCAAUUCCGUUCCAUUCCGCCCGACAUAGCCGAAACAUUCCAUACCAAUUCAAAAAACGGAACAAAACGGAACAAAUUUCAUCUCAUUUUAAAUCUCGGUCCGUUCCGGAUUUUUCGGCUAAAUUCCGCCCGAAACGUUCCGGUUUCAUUCCACAUGUUCCGUCCCGUUCUUGAAAAGCCAUUGAAUCUUGCUCAAUUUCAUUAAUUAAACCACCCGAUUAUAAAAAGCUCUUUUUUAUUACUAUUUUCAAUGGCAAUGAUAUUAAUAAUAAUAUUAAAAAUUAUUAUUACUAUUUUCAUUAACAAUGAUAUUAAUUUUUUUAAAUUAGAUUUAUCACUAAUAUAUAUGGUUUAUAUUCAUGUUGUUUUUUUUCAUGUUUAUACUUUGUAGGAAUUUGAGCAAAAAUAAGGACGCUUUAGAUUUCAUUAGCCACUUGAUAAUGUUGACCUAACUUUAUAUUUAAAAUAUUUUUGUUAAAAUAUUUUACUUUCAUAAUACUUUGAUAUUUUGUUUAAGUUGAAUUACUUUAAGUUAAAGAUCUAUUUAAUCUUGACUAUUUAGAAAUAUUUUAAAUUUUGAAAUUAUAUUUGUUUGGCAUUGUGUUUGUAUUGCAUAAUUUAUAAUUAAAUUAUCUUGAAUUUGAAUUAUUUUUGUUGAGUAUAUAUAUAUAUAUAUAUAUAUAUAUAUAUAUAUAUAUAUAUACAGUAUAACCCCGAAACGGCACGCCGAAACACUUCGAAACUGAAACAUUUCAUUCCAAUUGAAAAAACGAAACACCUACCGAAACGGAAUUGACAACCUUGGUUUAAACUUUUAGGUGAAAAUGAUUAUUUGAUAUUGUAUCAGAGUCUGGAUGACCAAGUAGUCACGAGUUCGAAUCUUAUUAUUUUUAUUUAUUUAAUAAAAAUUAAGUAAAAGGUAAAGUGAGUUUGUACAAGUUUUAAAUUUAAAGGGUUUUCAUUCAGGAAGGUAUAUUAGAAAAUAAUAUAAAUUAUAUCCUAAAACUUCAUCUAACAAUUUAAAUUUUUUAAUUGAAAUGAUUUUUUUAAUAAUAACUUUUAUCCUGAUAUUAAUAUUGGAUUUAAGGAUAGAAAACCUGUACGUUGGUUUGUGGUUAAGGAGGUGGGCUCUCUUCCUUAUCUUUUUUAUCUCAAACUUUAAGAACAAUAAUCAUAUAAAUUUAUUUUUUUCUGAAUGAAACUUGUUAAUACAGGAGUUUCAUUUAAAUGAAAAAGAAAAAUCUUAUUUUUAUCCCAUCACACCCCACCUAAGAAAUUAUGUAAUUGGUUAUUUCUAUAAGCUGUUCCAGAGAAUAUAUUCUUAAAUCAUUAUAUUUUACAAUUCAUGAUUUUUUUUUUUAAUAUAGCAGGGCUAAGAAAGAAAAAUAAACGGAGUUCAAGGGUAAAACAAUAGCUUAGAAAAAAAAAAAUAAACAGUAGAAAUUUACAAUAUAUCUAAGAAUAUCAGCGAUCAUGACCAUGAUUGGAUCAUUUUUGAUCAAUUCUGUAACCGAAAUUUCCUUCACAGCUCUUUAACUAAUCUGAUAUAUAGUCGAUGAAGAGUUAAGGAAAAGCAUGAUUCCCAAUCCGAGCUAUGUGAGCAACUUUAUCCAGCAAAAAUAUCUUAUAUCCUUGUAGAUGUAAUUUUAAGCACCUAAACUUAAACGAGUACACAUAUAAAUAUAAAAUUUUAUUAAAUAUAUGACCGGAUCUAUAUCUAAAAUAUUAUUUCAAAAGAAUAAAACAAUCCUUUGAUUCUUUCUUUGAAUUUGAUAUAUAAUAACUUGAUUUAUUUGUGAUAUCAAUCUAAAAUUUAUACUUUGCAAGAACUCGAAUUUAGGCGUAUAUUGUGAAGCGAAAUUUGAUGAUUUCAUACUUUGAAGAGUAAAUUUGAUUUGUCUUCAAAGUAUUGUUAAAAACCUCUUAUGAAGUGUUUUAGGCUUAAUCCAACAUAGCUUUAUUUUUUGUAGACUUCAAGCGUAGAUAAAAAAAGCUUGAGAGCUUUUGAGAGAGUUUCCUUACUUGAAGAACUUGUCUUGAAGAAAAUUUGUAUCUCUUACGAAUUCCUUUUAUAUUUUUUUCUUUAGGUUGAGAAACUUUAUUUAUUGAGAUUUGUUAGGACUCUUAGGUCCUUUUCCAAGGCUACAUGAUAUAAUUUUAUUAGUGGAUCUUUAUUGAUAAAAUCUUGCAUUUAUAACAAAAUAUUUUAAAUAUCUCAUUCCAAGUGUCAACUUUUCAUUGAUAAAAAAAUAUAUAAAAAUUCAUUUAUUUUUAUGAAUAAAACUUAUUAAUACAAGAGAUGUGAUUGUGAUGAAAAUAUCUCAUCUCCCAAGAAAACGAGAUUAGUAAGCCUCCCUUUAAAGCUUUGCUUUACACAUGUCUUUUACAGAAAAAGGGAAAAAGGGGAAAUGCUUUGAGAUGUGCUUUAACCUCCUCCAUAUUUCAUCUUAGCCUAGAAGGAUAAACAAGAAUAUUAUUGCUUCAGAAACAUAGCGAUUGCAAGCAUCGCCUUUCGGUGAACUUUUGAUGACAUGAAACUUCCACAAAUUGGGUCCUAUCCGAGAGAGUUUUCUUUUUCUGCUCUGUUAUCGCAUAUAUACAACUGAAAUCUUUAAGUCCUCUUCAGGGUACCCCUGAAAGAAAAUGGUCUAUCAUGGAAAGUCCUGAGGAAUCUGAGGCAUGGAAUAUGAGAUUUAUAUCGUCCCAAGAUCAUGAAAAUGAUAAAUCUUAAUCUUAUCAGGUGUAGCCAUGAGGUGGGAUCAGAACCUAUUUUCCUAAUUUUAUUAACUAAGCCACAACUAAGUCUCUGUACUAUAUGAUUGUCCAUUAAUACAGAAUCUAGCCACAUCUUCACUGUUUAUUUUCUAAUAGUUUUGUUUUGUUAAAUUGCACUUGAAAAUACAGAACCUGUUCUUGAUAUUUCAUGGACAAUAUCUAUUCUAGUUGUGCAAGUAACAUAUACACCAAUACUUGUAAUAUUGCAUCAAAAUUCAAACUAACAACAGUAUGUGUAUACUUGUGGAUAUGGAAUCAGCCACAAGUGGAGAACCCCAAAAAGUAGAAAGCAAGUUACAAGCUGCCUGCUUUCUGCAAAUAUAUAUAAAGCUGCAUAUAUGACCUAUUUUGUACCAAGGCAAACCAUACAGUUUUAAUUGUUCUUUGAGUUACAGUGUUAAUUUCACAUAUGGCACGUCAGGUAGAUCGUCUCACAAGGAUUGGAAUGGAAGGCUUUGCUCUGAUUGAGAAUAGUUAUGGCUGGCCCGGAAGGUCUGGAAGACACCCCUCAACUCAGAUACAGCAAAAUCAUCAUCAUCAUCAUCAUCAAUACCAAGAUCAGCAAACAUUGGUUUAUCAGGGAACUCAAAUUACCACCGUGAGGAUGCCUGUGAUCAUUAGCAAUGAGGUAGUUCAAUACUAUGGUAACAUGGUGAAGAAGCCUGUUAUUUCUAGCAAUGAGGCAGCUCAAUAUCAAGGGGGUGUGGUGAAAGAGCCUGUUAUCACUAGCGAUGGGGCAGCUCAAUAGGAUGGUAGAAAGAAACGAUAUCGUUUAGAUUAUUAGGUUUCAUGAAUUUACUGAGCAUACUUAAUGUCAUGUAUGAGCAAUCUGAGUCACUUGGUUCUUAAAUCUCUUGGUUUCUUACUCAUAGAUAAAGCAACUUGGUCUGCUAAAAAACCUUGUAAAUUUUAUCUUUAGAGCUCCUGCUGUCACGCAGUUGUCUUAUGUCAGCUUUACUGUAACUCUUUAUGUCUCUCUCUCUCUAUUUCUGGGUGUGGGUUGUGAUGAACUGUCUUACUUCUGUAAGCCAAAUGAUUCUCAAGGCACACCUUGGAAAACAACAGCUAAGGAAAAGCGAAAUGAAAGCUAAAGCUAGGAAUUAAAGAACAAAACAACAUAGAAUAUGAAGGAAAAAAUGAAUUAAAAAACAAAACAACAGAAAAAAAUAAAAAAAUGAUAACAAAAAGAAAGUAGCCAAAAACAAUUGGAAGAAAAUUAGUAUGGUAGGAGUUUAUGUUAAAAGAAAGAUAGGUGUUGUAUAAUAUCAAAAAUAGCAAUGUAAAGUCAAAAACUCAAUAACAAGAAGAUUGAGAGAAAUGUAUACUUUUAUUAAGUGUUUCUCUCUAAACUAUUUUAGUUAUUUUCUUUGCUUUUAUUCUUCUUAAUAAUGCUGAAUUACAAGCCUUUUAUAGGUAUAAAGUCGUAGAUAAUCAAAGAAUUAAACUAAUAAAAGGAAAUUCUAAUUUGAACAGAAAUUGUAUUAUGCUUACUAAACCAGUCGACUAGUUCCCAACUAGUGGAUCGGUUCCUCUGUUCUUAAUAAAAACAAGAAAUCGAGUUCAAUUUUCAAAACCCCUUUUUAAACUUGAUUUCUUCAUAACUCCCUGCAAAUCUCUUAUUUUGGUAAAAACAUCAUAUUCAACUAGUUUUGUGAGAAUAUCUACAACUUGCUCUUGUGUCUUUACAUACUUGGCUUCAACUUCUUUGUUUGUAAUGCAAUCUCCUAGGUAAUGAAAUCUUGUGUCAAUGUGCUUACUUCUGCCAUGAAAAACUUGAGUUUUAGCUAAGGCAAUGGCUAAUGAGUUGUUAACAUAAGUCUAUGUAGACUUCUCUUAUGGGAUAUGUAAUACUUUCAAUAAUCUUAUUAGCCAUAUGAAAUGACAAACACAUGAUGUAGUAGUUAUAUAUUCAGCUUCACAUGUUGAUAAAGUGACUAUAGAUUGCUUUUUUAAACACUAUGUGAAUGUUGUGUCUUCCAUGUAAAAAACAAAACAAUAGUGCUCUUUUUAUCAUCCAUAUCUCUAGCUCAAUCACUAUCAUUAUAACCCACAAGAUCAAAGCUAUUAGAAUAUCCAUAAAACAAGCUAAAAUCAACAGUACCUUUAAUAUACCGAAGAACUCACUUCAAAGCUUUAAAGUGUGUCAUAGUUGGUGUAUCCAUAAACCUACUUCCAAGUCCUACUCUAAAAAGAAUAUAUGAACGAGUGCAUGUCAAUUAUCUCAAACUCCCAACUAGGCUUUUGAAUGUUGUAGAGUUUAUAUUCUCCUCUUCAUCAGUCUCUGUCAUCUUCACUCCACACUCAACUAGAGUAUUUUUUUUUUCGCACAAUCCUUCUUCUUGAACUUCUUGAGAAUCUCCUUUAUAAAUUUCUCUUGGCUUAUAAAGAUUCCAUCGUCUCCUUGUUUGAUCUCAAUCCCUAAGUAAUAUGUCAUAAGACCAAUGUCUAUCAUUUCAAACUCAUUGAUCAUUGUUUACUUGAAGUCUUUAAACAUCUUUAAAUUAUUUCCUAUAAAGAUUAAGUCAUCCAUAUACAAACAUAUAAUAAGAGUGUGUCACUACUCUCUUUGAUCUUUACAUAAAUAGCAUAUUCAUAGGGACAUUUAACAAAUCCAUUCUUUAAGAAAAAGCCAUCAAUGUGACUAUAGCAAGCCCUUAGGGUUUGCUUCAAUCCAUAUAAGACUUUGUUCAACUUUAGUACCUUGUCUUUAUGUCCCUUCACUUCAUAACUCAUAGGUUGCUUAAUGUAGACCCUCCUUCAUAAUAAAACCAUUAAGAAAGGCUAAUUUUCCAUCCAUUUGAUAGAUUCUCCAUCUAUGUUGGGUACCUUUGGCAAUGAUUAAUCGAAUGGUUUCCAAUCUAGCAACAAGUGCAAAAACCUAAUCAUAGUCAAUCUCAUACUUUUAGCUUUCACCUUUUUCCACUAACCUUUCUUUGUAUCUCUCCAUUUCUCCUUUGGCAUUCUUCUUUUCUUUACAGAUCCACUUGACACCUAUUAGCUUUUUUCCAUUUGGUCUAGGAAUCAAUUUCUAUGUGCCAUUCUUUUCAAUUGAUGCAAACUUCUCAUCCAUAGCAAUUCUCUAUUUUGCAUCCUUUAUUACUUCUUCAAACACUAUAGGAUCACAUGUAGCAAGGUGAAAAUAUAAUGUUACUUUAUCAUCAAUAGGAGUAGUUACCUCAUAUAGCUCAUCUAGGCUCCCCAUUCUUUUUAGUAGACUUGAUGGGUUGCCACUACUUGAACUUCCAUUAGAAAAAAAGAAAAAAGAAAAAAAGAUCAAGGUAAAGAUGACACCAUUGGUGACUGUGGAGGUGUAGUUUGUUCUUGAUGAUCUUCAUAUCUCUCCUUCCCUUUAUCAAGAACCGGUAGAAAAUAAUAUUUCUGACCAUCAUCUAUCUUCCAAUCUCAUGCUCCUUCUUCAUCGAACUUAUCGUAUCUACUAAUCAUCAUAUUUCCUUCAAUGGGGUUGUAAAGCUUAUAUCUUUUGGACAUUUGGUCAAAGCCCAUAAACAUGCCAAAGUCUCAUAUGUCAAAGCUAAGUCUCAUCAUUCACGCAUACUUGUAAGCAUUUAGGCGAAUCCGUCUAUAUGGUUAGCAAAAACAUUAAAUUAUUUGUCAUGAUUACUUUUGCGAUCAUAGCUCCAUGGGUAUCAAGUAAUGUGAAAGUACAAUCUUUCAUCUUAGUCUUAUAGCCUUUCUUCAAAAAUUGUUAAAAACUCAAUAUAUUGCCUUUUACAUUAAAAAUAUAAUAGAAAUCACUAAUAAAUAGUUGACUUCAUCUGUUUCUUUCUCCUCUUCCUCUACCUUGACCAUGCCCUCAACCUCUUUAGGUAUAUCCAGAACCAUCUUGCUUCUUUUUUUAAUAGUGUUUUGAAAAGAGUGCUUGUGCAUUCAUGUCUUCUUGAAUGUCACUGACUCUUUCUUUAAAGGCUUGUAGUUUUCCUAUAAGUUCUUGAACAAUUAAAAAGUCCAUAUUUUAUAAUUUUUUUAUCCCGACCACCAUAUCAGAGAAUUAUUUUUGCAGUGAGCAUAAAAUCUUUUCUAAUACAUGUAUUUCCUACAUCUUCUCCACAUAUCUCUUCAUUUGAUUGUUUAUAGCCAAUACUCCAACAAAGUAAUUUGAAAUACUCUCUCAUUCAAGUAUAUAUAACUUUCAAAAUCACCUCGUAAAUUUUAUAGGAGUACCUUUCUAGCAUUAUUAGCUCCUUAGUUUGAUUGUUGCAAAAUUUAUCAUGCUUGUUUUACAGUAGUUAUAUUACCACUAUCUUAGAAGUGGCAUCAUCCAGAAAUUGUUAAAUAAGUGUGAGUACUUAUUGAUCCUUUCUUCGUGCUUUUUGUAUAACAUCCCUGUAGGCUAAAGUCAAUGUUACUCCUUUUAUAGGCUCUUCAAAGUCUUUUUCAAUAGUUUCCAACACAUCUCGAGAACUUAACCAAGCUUUCACAUGGAUACACCAAAUUUCACAAUUGUUCUUUGUCAAAUGAGAAUAUUGAAGUGGGAAGUUUGUAUUGGCCAUGUCAAACAAUAAAAAACAAACUUUAAUAUCAAUUGUUGAAAAACAAUUAACGUGGUAGGAGUUUAUGGAAGGCAAAACAAUAAACAAAACUAAAGAAUAAGAAGAAGAUUUGAGAGGAAGGCAAUCUUAUUAAGUGUUUUUAUCUUCUGUAUUUGUAACAUCCUCAUAUCCGGGAUAAAAAAUAAAAUCUCAUGUCAAUCAAAAAUAGAGUAAUUAAAUUUACACACACACACACACAUGGUGUUCAUAUUAAAGUCUACUGAAAUUUCGAUGAAGUCUCCCCCCUAUACCGAAGGUCUCAAGUUAUCAAUAUUUAACCUGUUUACACUUCUAAUAACCCACAUCUCCUAACUCAAUCAUAACUCAAUCAUCCUGGGUCUCAAUCCCACAAAUAUCAUCAUAUAUCAACCACAAUAUUUAUGAUGUACAUUAUAUAACAAAUAUCAUUAUGGAUGGAUAAAAGAUAUAAAUACACAUACAUGGAACAUGGUUAUAUGAACUAUAGAGUUAAGUUCAUCAAAUCAAGUUUAAACAUUAAUUAUAUAAAUUAAGUUAUACAAAUGUUUCCAUGUUUACAAAAUGUAAGGUUAUCCAACCUAGACUACAUAACAAAAUGUGAAUAAAAGUUAACAUCUACUCCUGUCAUGUAUGCGAUGGUCCUAAAAAAAUAUAUUAUUAAAAUAUGAAUAUCACAAUAAGUACAGUAGCAUAAAUUUCCAAUAAUUAUUUUUAAAAAUAGAUAUGUAUUCUUAUUCUAUUCCUUUUCCCUAUUCAUUUUUGUUAUUCUUAUUCUAUUCCUUUUCCCUAUUCAUUUCCAUUAGAACUCCUUCUCAUUCAUCUACUAAAAAUUGUUUUAUCUCUCAUUUCUAACUUCCAAUCAAGAUUCCAUAAAAUCAAUCGUAACUAUCUCACCCCACAUUACUAAUACCCUUUUCAUCAGUAUCAUCAUCAUCCUAUUAGCAUUAACAUAUGGAGAUCCCCUUACCUGGGAUCCUAAAAUAUACUAAAUGUAUGCUAGUAAAAAAUUAUGGUGAUCCCCUUACACCGGGAUCCUAACAUACAUUAAAUGUAUACUAGUCAAAACAAGGUGAUAUCCUACCCGGGAUCCUAACUACAGUAAAUGUAUGCUAGUCAAAAACACGGUGAUCCCCUUACUUGGAAUCCUAACAUACACUAAAUAUAUGCUAGUUAAAACACAUAUCACACUUCUUAUAUUUUCUUUGUCAGUGGUACUCCCAUCACUUGGCAAUACACACAAAGGUAGUUCACCUUGAACACACAUACAUUCAUGAUAUUAUCCGAAAUAAUAACAUCAUUACACCAACUUCCAUCCUUUCACAUAAUAUCCAACGUUUGUAAGUUCAAAUCUCAUAUUAUUAACAUAUUAAAUUCUUGAAUUUAACUAAAAAGCUCAAGUGAGGAUCACAUCCCUGCAGUAGAAGCUCUACUCGUGCUCCCUUGCUAUUGCUACUACACCAUGUCUGUGGUCCCUCUUGAAAUCAUAAGCUUAUCUUAUAAAUUUUUCUCAUUCAAUGAUAUGUUUUAUAAUAAUCAUAUCAAUAGCUAAUAGGUCUUUCUUUCAAUAAUUAUUUUCUUUAUAUUUUAUGUUUUUCUCAUUACACCUGUUAGUAUUGUCAUCUUUAUCCAACCAUAGUUAUCAUUCCUUUCUUUAUAAUUGAACUAUUACUGUUUAAAUCUCGAAGUAUUGUUGUUUAGACCUUGAAUUAUUACUAUCCAACCGUUACUGUUUUGAACUGUUAUUGUAUUAAAUCGUUAUUGUCUUGAACUUUUACUAUUAUUCUAUUGAACCGUUAUUGUCUCAAACUUUUACUAUCUUGAACUGUUAUUAUAUUGAACCGUUAUUGUCUAGACAUUGGACUGUUACUGUCUUGGAUUGUUACUGUCUUGAAUUGUUACUGUCUGCAGAGGUCGCAUUCCUACCUCUUCUUAUAUUUUUUUGAUAUGUUUAAAAUAUAGGCCAAAUUCUCAUGGCUUUAAUAAAUUGUUAUUAAAUCCCAAAAUACAUGCAAAUACAUAUUUUUAUAUAUUUUUAAGAGACUUAGCCAUAUGCAAAUUAAAAUAAAAUAUUAUUUGUAUUUUUUUGAAGUGAGAAAAUUUCUAGAGAAGGUUUUUGGAAUUUCUUGAAAUUUCAACAAAAAAUAGGCAUUUUAAUAUCAAGUCAGUAUCUUAAAGUAUAAAUUCAUAGUCCUAAUAUGAAUUAUAAAAUUAAGAAAAUAUAUGAGAGACCCACAAAUAGAUUCAAAAUGAUCCAUGGAUUAUUUUUGGAAUUUUCUGAAGUUUUUUUUUAAUGGCUUGUUUUGCUGAAUUUUAAGAUAAAAACAAGUUUAAAACUAAAAGAAAGAUAUAAGGGUGUGUCUGACAAACACACCCUUAAUCUAAGGACUGGGUUGGUUGGGCCUAUCAAAGGCCCAACAAAACCCCUUUUUAGGGGCUGUGCUGAAGGUCCAGCCGAAAGCCAUCUGCCAGGUUACUUGGCUGAACCCAUUAACAAUUUGCUUGUUGCAAAACUAAAUUAAUCACAUUUUGCAUACAAGAAAAAUAACAGAAACAAACAAGGAACGAAAACUCAAAGAAAGAAGAAAAAAAUUACCUGGUCUAGGUCUAAUCUUGUUGCUGGUGCCAGAAAUGGAAAAUUGUUACUAAACAGUAGGAGAAGUUUAUGCUGCUACUAUUGAGUGGCGAAAAUAGCUGGUACUAUUAGUGUUGUUGUGAAACCCUAGAAAAUUUAUUAUUUAAAUAUGCGGAUGUAUAACCUGCCAUGUAAACAUAAGACUGAAAGUGAUAUAUAAUGGAGGGGAUGACCUCCAUAAAAUGAAUUUUGUUUUAGAAUUCAUAAAGACAAAGAAACUCGUAACGUGUUUUGAUGAAUAAAAUAAUGAGAGAAAUGACAAAAUGAAUAUAUUCCAAAAUAAUAAAAUGACCUUAAAGGUUUAGAAGGAUAAUUGAUAUUAUUUUAUGUGAAGAUUGAACAAGAAAAUUUGGAUAGUUGACGAAAAGGAAAUGUCCUGGAAAACAAAAGGAAAUAUACUUGCAGGGCAGUUUUGGUCGCCGGCCGAUUUCUCUCUCAUCCACCGUUGGAUCGUGCCUAUUUUUGGAUAUGUGGUGCACCUAGAUGUGGCCUACAUUCUGGACGGUGAAGAUCGAAAACACACUCUCCGGAAAGGUUUGGUUCAUGUUGAACAGUGGCUCGUCCAUUUUCAGGUUAGUUCGGUUUUAUUCAAAUCUAUGAAGAUCCAACCGUUGGAUUAUUCUGAUUUUGAGAUAUAUUGUACAAAACACAAUGAUAUAUAUUCUGACCGUUGAGUUCAAGGAAAUAAUCAAAGGUGGAUGAGUUGUUGCUAUUUGAAGCUAUUGCUAGUCUUAGUAAAACAUUUAGGAAGCUUGAUUUAAUUACAUGUUUUGAUGAAAUUAGAAUUGUGUGGGUGUAGGGUUUAUGUAAGAUAUAAUGGUAAAAUGUGCUCUUGUUAUUAGUGUUGUUAUAGAUUAAUUGUGUUGUAAAAUGUGUUAGGGAAGUUUUGAAAUUUGGAUGAAGGGACAUUGAGUUCGUUGAUUUAAUGGAUAUAUGUUUUUAGGCAUUAAAAAGGAUUGGGUCUAGUGGAAUUGAAAGAAAACUUGAAGAAAACUUUAUCCUCCAUUUAAUGCAAAGAUUCGGCCUAGACAUAUAAAUGAGAGGAUGAGCUUAAUUGUUUUAAUUGCUAUGGAAUUUGAGUUGAAUGAGGUUAGAAUAGAUAUGAAAUGAAUUGGUAAAGGUUUAUAUGGAAUAAUUAAAAAGGGAUUCAUCCCUCACCAUGAAUGAAGGCAUUCGGCCAAAAUGAAGAAGAAAUAAGGAGAUAAGACUUUGAUUCAUUUUCUAUGAAAACUAGGUAUGGAUACAUAUAUUUGUAUAAAGAAAAUUAGGUAGAGUGUCAAUUGGAAGAAUUUUAAAAAGAUUCAAAUUCUCAUCAUAAUAUGGAAUCCAACCAAAAAUGAAAAUCUUGAACUUGAGUUUAUUCGACCUAAUGUUAUGGGGAUUUUUAUGGGAUUGUGGUUUGUUGAAUGCCAAAUGAAUUGUGUUAUGUUUGAAAUAAUAGAUUAAUGUGAGGAAAAUGUCAUUUUGUGGAAUUUUAACGCUGUCCAAAUGGAUAAUAAAAGAGGAGGAAAAGGUUAAAUUAAGGCGUACAUGGAAUUAUGAUGAAAAUAUGUUGUUAAAUUUACUUAAGAUGAAGUAAAGUGGACUUAUGAAAAAGAAUUGGAAAACUCAUCAUGAAAAUAAAUAAAUAAAAAAUAAGGUCAUUCGGCCAAGAGUUGGUUUGAUAAGGAAAAUGAAUUAGUUUCAAUGGUAUGAAUAAAUGCAAGGAUGUGAUGUUACUAAGUCUGUACAUGAGGGAUUGAGUAGACAAAAAUAAAAUAAAAUAAAUUAAGAUUGUUAGGUCAUGUUUAAAGAUACUCAGUCUGGAAAAACAAGUCAUGAAAAGAAAGGAAAUAAAUAAAUAAAUAUGCGAAUGCAUGUGUCAUGCGAUUCUAAAUUUAAAUGAAUUUUAGAAUGGAAUGUUCAAUUAUGGUGGAGCCACAUUUGAUAUGUAUCUUUAAUGAUACAGGAGAGAUUGCAAAAUAUGUUCAGUAGCAUGGGACUUUUGCGCGAGUUCAAGCAUUAGGUAGGUGACUUACUCCUUCCUUUUUCAUACGUUGAAUAAUGAAAUACUUUAACAUGAAUAUUACCAUAUUGUGUUAUAACCGAUAUUAGUUUGUUGAACGCUUAAAUGUUGGCAAAUGGUUGAUUAGCUUCGGCUAAUGGCAUCCGAAUGGAUGACCGGGAAGAAGGACUAAUUAGCUUCGGCUAAUGGCAUCCGGAUGGAUGGCCGGAACAAACGAAUGAUUAGCUUCGGCUAAUGGCAUCCGAAUGGAUGACCGGGAUGAAGGAUUGAUUAGCUUCGGCUAAUGGCAUCCGAAUGGAUGGUCGGGACAAAGAAUGAUUAGCUUCGGCUAAUGGCAUCCGAAGUGGAUGACCGGGGUGAGUGAACGGUUAACCUCAGCAAAUUAUGCCUUAAGAGGAUAGCCGGGUUUAAGAUUAUGGUUGAUUGUAAAACAAUUAGUGCAUCUAUAUGUACUACAAAUUGUUUAUACCAAGCACAUGAAGAAAUUAUAAACAUGGCUAACAAAAGAAGUUAGCCGGAUGUUGGGAAAUUCAUAUGAAAUUACCGGAUUGACUUUGGCAACCAAGAUGGGUUAGCCAAAUUUAUUUGGUAAUUAAGAGAAUUAUCGGGUUUAUUGGUUAACAAGGAAGUUAACUGGAUAUGGGGUAAUUCGUAUGGAAUUACCGGAUUAAUUGGCUAACAAAAGAGGUUAGCCGGAUAUUGGGUAAUUCAUAUGGAAUUACCAGAUUGACUUUGGCAACCAAGAUGGGUUAGCCAAAUUUAUUUGGUAAUUAAGAGAAUUAUCGGGUUUAUUGGUUAACAAGGAAGUUAACUGGAUAUGGGGUAAUUCGUAUGGAAUUACAGGAUUGAUUGACUAACAAAAGAAGUUAACUGGAGGCUGGGUAAUUCGUAUGGAAUUACCAGAUGAACUGGUAAUCUAGGAAGGUUAACAAAAAAUGUGGGUAAUUAUAUGAACUUACCAGAAUUAUUGGCAAUCGAGAUGAGUAAGGUUUUGAAAACAGUAUGUGAAUUAAUUGAUUGAAGUUAGAAAUAGUAAAUUCUAAAUGUUAUGAGCAAAAUAAUUAAUAUAGGACUAAGAUAUUGAGUAAAUUACAUAAUCACAAUUACUUGGAGAUUAGAAGGGAAUUGACAGAUAAUUGGUCACCAUAAUGAUGGUGGCUAAGGGUAUAAAUUGAUACUUGGCACUAUGAUGAGAGUGACCAAGGUUAUGUGAAGGAUGCUUAGUGACUGUAGUGUCGAUAACUAAGAUUGUAUGCAAAUAAUACUUGGCAACCGUGGUUACAAUGCAUAUGAUGUUAAUAAGAAAAAUAAAAGGGGUUCGGUACGAAUGGAAGAAUCAAAUGACAUUGAUUAGCUAUCCAGGUUUGGAUUGCUAAUGGUAUCAAUGAGGUUUCAUCGGUGCCGGUAUUUCUUAAAUUGAUUAGUCUAGCCCAAUAUUGGAAGACAAAUGAUGCUAAUGAGAUUUAUUAGUUUCGACGAUUACCUUCUAGCAACAGAUUCAGAAAAGGGAAAUAUUGAUUAGCUAUUCCAAAAGAAUGAGAUAAGCUAAUGAUAUUAAGAAAGGAAUAUUUUGUUAUCAAGUGAAAAUUGAUUUAUAAGAAGAUGGUGUUCGCAAACGGUUGAGUUGUGUUGAGAUUUCCAAGAUGGAAUUAUUCUUGGCAAAUGAAAUAGGAUAUUAGAUGAAUAUUGGUAAUAGAUGGAAAAUAUAUGUUGUAAAAGAGGUUUAUGAUGAAUUGUAUAUAUCAAAAGAAAUUCCAUAGAGAUUAUUAUCUGCCAUUGUUAUUACUUGUUACUAUCUUUUAUAUUUAUGUGUACAUGCAAGGUUGUCAAAAUCACGUUUUGACUCGUAAAAUCGUACGAUUUUACGAGUCAAAACAUGCAUUACGGGUUGAAUCGGUUGAAAAAAUCGAAAAUGGGUAAAAUCGGGUAAAAUCGCAAAAAUCGGAUGAAAUCGCGCAAAAUCGCGAUAUCAGGACCGAUUGUGCGAUUUCAACAAAAUGAGGCACUGAAAGCCCCCCCAUGUCCACCUGUCAGACGCUUAUUGGAAUUUGUUUUUCUCAUUCACGUGACUGUCUUGAGUCUUCGCCUCUUCAGUCUUCGCUUCGGUCUUCAGAUUAACAAAUCAAAACGCACAAAGCCACAAAUACAGAACAAUUAAGCUUUCUUUUGUCCUCGCAGUUACAACUUGUUUUCUACUAAUGGCUUCUAAUUGAGAGCAUGAUCUUCUGGGACCCUAAGCCCAAAUCGUGAUUUUAAGCAAUUAUGCAGAACCAUGUUUGAGGAUCUCUUCUUCAAGUCAUCAAACCAAGCAGCAACAGCAGGUACAUAUUCUCAAGCUUCUUUCUUCGCUUUUCCUUUUACUUCUCCAGGUUCACUGCUUUAUACCCUAGUUUUCUGGCUUGAUCUUCAUUUUAGCUUUCAUCUUAUUCAGAUUUCAACAUGUUCGAUAAAAUGCCUCAACCAAACUUUACCCUAUUUUCUGUUUAUUUUCAGCACUUGAGAGAAGUUUUUGUACUCUUUAUAUUCUUGGAGAAUCACUAAUAUCGAAUGUUGCUUAACCUCUGUGCAAUUUGUUUGUGGGGAAACUCUCUAUCAAUUGUUGAAGCACCAACAGUAAGAAUCCAUGGAGCAAUAUUAACAGCAGUGUAUGGACCUGGACCUGGUCCUGCAUUCCCAGCAGAGCAAGACACGACAACUCCAUGUUGUGAUGCACUGAAAGCCCCAAUCGCAAUCGAAUCAUGAUUAUAUUGAGGAGCAUGACCAGUAGCACCAACAGAUAAAGAAAUCACAUGGACUCCAUCAUAGAUAGCCUGAUCCAUCGCAGCAAGAAUAUCAGAGUCAUAACAACCUGAACUCCAACAAAUCUUGUAAGCAGCAAUUCUGGCUUUUGAGGCCAUACCACGAGCUUCUCCUGUUGCAUACUGGAGAAGGAUCGCGUUAUGAGCUAAAGAUCCAGCUGUAGUUGUUGUUGUGUGCGUGCCAUGACCUUCAGUAUCUCUUGGAGAUGCAGAUUCUUUUGAUUCAUCAAUAAGCCUCCCUUUAUGAGUUAUAUAGCCUUUAUGAAAAGCUGUGGCGCCAAUAAGUUUCUUGUUGCAAGAAGAGGCUGGAAAGUCAGGUCCUGUCUCGCAGAUCCCUUUCCAAUUAGUUUUGUCAAUUGUUAUGUAUAACAAAAUGGUAAUUAUAAUCAUAAAAUGUUUGGAUUGAUUGCAGGGUUGAUUUGAGUUGAUUCUUGAAUUGUUGAACACUUGAACAAUUUGGUGUUGGUACUAGUAGUAGCCAAUUUGGUGUUGAUUCUUGAAUUCAUGAAUUUUUAUUUGAAACAUGAAUUUUUUUUAAUGUAUUUCAAAAUUCCUUACAAUUUUACGAUUUUACGAUCCGUUUUUACGAUCCGAUUUUGUAAAGGGCUUUCCGUUUCGUUCUAAAAUCUCGAUUUUAACAACCUUGUGUACAUGUUAAUUUCUAUUUUCAGGUCCAUCAGGGUCGCGUCAAGAAUAAUACUAGUUUUAAUAUCUUUUGCUUUUGACCAUGUAAAUUAUUUGUAAAUUAAAAGACUAGUCUCCUAAAAAAAAAAAACUUGAGAUGUAAUAUUAAUCCGUAAAUUUGAAUGUAUGUCCUUACUCUAAUGGUUGAAGCUCUUAGUACCUAUUUGACCAUGCAUGUUUCUAGAUGGAAUUGAAUCUUUCAUUUGAACUACAUUGUAUGAUGUUAUUGAAUAAAUGUGUUUUGUGUUGUUGAUAAUGAGUUGGGUUGAGACCCAGGAUGAUUGGGUCGUGAUUUUGAGUUAUGAGAUGUGAGUUAUUAGAAGUGUAAACAGGGUUUAUGUCGAUAACUUGGGACCUACUAGUAUAGAGGAGACUUUGCUGAAAUUAUGGUGGAACCUGUAUAUAUAUAUAUAUAUAAAAAAAAAUUACCCAAAAUUUUUUUUUCCAAUGUAUCGCGAAAUUGGAUGUGGAAAAUCGGGGUUGUUACAGUUGUUGGGGUGGCUCACUAUGGUUGUGUUGCUACUGUUGAGUGGUGGAAACAGCUGGUACCACUGGUUGUUGGGGUGGCUCAUGGUGAUUCCAGGUGCUGUUUCAAAGCUGGCAAAGAUAGAAACUAGUUGUCGCUGCUGGUUAGGGAGAGAGAAGGAUUGUAGGGAGGGAGUUGCUGCUAGAGGAAGGACACUCUUCUUUGAGGGAGGAGCCAAAAAAAACUCUUUGGCAAACAUUAUAUCCACCAGUAGAUUUUUGAUCAUCAACACUCCCCGCCCAAUCAGCAACAAUGAACCCAUAAAGUGAUAAAGAGGAGCCACAAGUAAUUAAGGUGGAUGUUAUAAGAUGAUGUACCUUUCAAGUAGUGUAACAUACAUUUAACGGCAGCCCAAUGACUCUCAGUAGGAGCAUGCAUAAACUAACAGACCUUAUUGACAACAUGGAAGAUGUGUGAUCUAGUAAACGUGAGAUACUGAAGAGCACCAACAAUUUGUUGAAAGCGAGUGGGAUCCAAGAAUAAAAUAGUAGACGACAGAUCAAGCUUGGAAAUAAAGGUUGGUGUAUUGACAGGUUUACAUGAUGACAUACGAGCACGAUAGAGAAUAUAAAGAACAUACUUAUGUUGAUUCAGCAUGAGUCCCACACUGGUAAGAGUGACCUCAACUCCCAAAAAAUCAUGAGCAUUACCCAAGUCGCGGAGCUUAAAUUCUGAACUCAGUAUGGUAAUAAGGCGAUGAAUUAAGGUAGAGUUGUUACCAGUAAGUAGGAUGUUAUCGGCAUAGACAAGCAGGUAGCAAAUAUCAUGAUUCCUCGCCAAAAUAAAGAGAGAGGUAUCAACCUUGGAAGCACGAAAACCAAUACUCUGAAGGAUGUACUCAGACGGGUGUACUAAGCCCAAGGGGCUUGUUUUAGACCAUACAGAGACUUGUGAAGAAGAGAAACAUGAUUUGGCAUAGCAGAGUCUACAAAACCUGUGGGUUAUGCCAUGUAACAACCUCUCAAAGUGAACCAUUGAGGAAGGCAUUGUGGAUAUUAAGUUGUUGAAUCUGCCAUCCUUUGGUUAGUUUAACAACAGGACUAAAGGUUUCUGAGUAAUCAAUGCCUUUUUGUUGAGUGAACCCACGCGCAACCAAGCGAGCCUUAUAGCGGUUAAUAACACCAUCAACUUGGCGCUUUAUUUUAUACACCCAUCGGCAGCUAACUACAUUCAUGAAGGGAUCAAAAGGUACCAAGGACCAAGUACCAUUGGCAUGUGAAGAUGCAAUUUCAUACUUCAUGGCAGUUUGCGAGCACAUAAAACGGUCAGCCUCCUUAAAAGUAAGAGGUUUGAGAGUAGAGGGAGACAUUACUGGUGAAGAUGGAGGCAGUGAGGAAGAAGCAGCGACUGAAGUGAUGUUGGCAAUCCUGUUAUGUCUAGGACGCAACACCAUGGGGUGUUGUCGCUGUCCUGGAGGAGCAGGGCUUUGAACAGGGGAUAAUUGCCGCGGAAGAGUAUAACUUGACAGAUUAACACAGAGGUCCAAACCUGGUGAAGACACAACAAAUUAUUUGGAUGGAGAGGAAGAGUUGGAUGACUAUGCUGGAGAGGCAACAACUGGGAGACGUGAACAUAAACGCCAGCGUUACCCUGUACCUGCAAAAUGAUCAACAAAUAUGGAGGCAGAUGGUGAUAAAGGGACAACGGGGUUAGAGGAAGUGGGUGGUGGGGUUGAUGGUGUAAUGGAUGGAAAGAUGGUGAGCGAGGGAAGGUGUGUGACAGUGGUAAGCAGAUGGGUAUGGCUAGUAGGUGAAGGGAGAUGGGUAGACUCGAGAAACGGAAACACGUGUUCAUUAAAUCGAACAUGACAUGAGAUAUAGAGAAGCUUAGAUGAUAAGUCAAGACAACAAUACCCUAGAUGAGAUGAAUUAUAGCCUAAGAACACACAUAGAGUAUAGCGACAAUCUAACUUAUGAGAAUUAUAAGGUUGAAGGAAGGGAAAACAGAGACAUUUGAAAGUACAUAAAAAAUCAUAAUUAGGUGGUUGACGACACAGACAUUCAAAAGGAGAUUUGUUGCGCAAAAUCGGUGUGGGCAUACAAUUAAUGAGGUAAAUAGAGGUUUCAAAAGCCUAAGUCCAAAAUUUUAAAGGUGUCUUACACUGAUUAAGAAGGGUAAGACCAAUUUCAACAAUGUGACGAUGACGACACUUAACAAUACCAUUAUGUUCAUGCAUAUGUGAGCAUAUAAGGCGAUGAUGAACACCAAUGGUUUUGAAUAAUGAAUUUAAUUUACGAUAUUUACCACCCCUGUUAGUUUGAACAUAUUUAAUUUUUUGAGAGAAUUGUCAUUCGACAAAGACUUGAAAUUGAUGAAACACAUUGAAGACAUCAGAUUUGAGGACAAGAGGAUAAAACCAUAUAAAUUUCGUAUGAACAUCCACAAAAAUAACAAAAUAACGAAAACCAUCCAAAGAUAACAUAAGAGUAGAGCCCCACACAUCACUAAAAACAAGUUCAAGAAAAGUAGAUGUUUGAUGACCUAUAAGGCUUAAAGACAAACAAGAUGAUUUUUUUAAUGGACAAGAUUGACAUUGAAAAUUUAAAGGAAGAGAAGUACAAAUAACCUUUUUAUUAGACGCUAAGAGAUUCAGAACACGAGAGCUAGGAUGACCGAGGCGACGAUGCCAAACAUUGGUAAAGGUGGACAAAAAAGCCUUGGGAAGACAAGUGGUAGAGGACUCGGUAAGGAUAUAAAGGCCAUCUUUACUCUGACCAGAAAGAAGAAUUGCCUUGGUUAUGAGAUCCUUAAAAUAGAAAAAAGAAGAGUGAAACUAGAAGAAGAUACAAUUUUCACGACAAAAUUGUUGAGCAGAUAAGAGUCUUUUCUUAAUUUUUGGAACAUGUAGAAUAUUAGACAAAGUAAAGGUUUGUUUCGGAGUAUGCAAAAUUUUAUGAGCUGUAUUAGAUAUAAUAAGUCUCUUACCAUCACCAACAUACAAUUGAUCAUUACCAAGACAAGGGUCUUUAUGUGUCAUACCGGCAAUGUCUGGAGUAACAUGUUGAUUCACACAUGUAUCGAGGAACCAAGUGAUAGAAUUUGCCACUGAAGCAUCACUAAAGGAGAGGUUGGCUGAGGCUUGAUUCUCAUGAUGCACAAGUUGAGAGCAUUAUUAUGCAGAGUGUCUGAUGUUGUUGCAAAGUUGGCAUCUAAUCUGCCGAGGCCACUGGUGUUGCCCUUUUUGUUUUUGUUGUUGUCGUAGCUCCUGGUGCUCUGCUAGGAGGAGCUCCCUCUAUUUCCAUGGUAAGGCUGGCCAAGGUACUGGUUAUAAUUGAUGCGAGAGUUACCUCUCCAUCCUCCUCUUUUUCCUUUGCCCCGAUGAGAAGAGGAGCCAUUGCCAUUACAUCCAGCGAAGGCAGUUGUGCAACAUAUGUAGAGGGAGGGUGUGAGGGUGUGGGCAGCAACGGUGCAGUAGGUGGAAUGGAUUGAAGAGAGCUUCUGUGUAAAAAUUCAUAUGUAGACAAGUGACUAUGGAGCUUAGAAUACGCAAGAGGCUCAACAUUGGUUGACAGACUAGUAACCAAAUCUCGAAAUUCAUCGCAAAGACCCCCAAAAACAUAGAGAUUGAAGUUAGUAAGAGAGAUAGGUCUAUCUGUUGUGGCUAGUUCAUCAAAUAAGCCUUAAGUUUUUGCAGGUAUAGAGUGACAGUAUCAUCACCUUGAGGAAGAUCCUGGAGAGAGCCAUGUAAUUGCAUAAUCCUAGAGUUGGAUGGAGAGGCAAGGGCAUGUUUUAAGGUGCUCCAAACACUUGCCGAAGUUGGGCAGUCCACCACAAGGUGAAGAACAUCAAUGGAGAGGGAUGAGAGCAAAGCAUUGAGUAUGAGUUCAUGUUGUUGUUUCCAUGUGAGAAACGCUUGAUAAGGACAACAAUUAAUGUUAGCAGAGGCAGUAGUAGAGUGAGUGGACAGAUCAAGUGGAAAAGGGUAGGAAUGCGAGCCAUUAACAAAUGAGAACACCCCUUGGCCAAUUAGAUAUGGCUUCAUCUGCAUACAUCAAAAUAGAUAAUUGGAAUCGGUGAGUUUGGGGUUGAUGACCUGAUGUGUAUUUGAGAGGGGAAUAACAGUUGCUAUCGCAGCAAAGGGAAGCAUGAAUGCUGUUGUAACCCAAUUUUGGAUUCACUACGAUUUUCUUGAAUGUUAUUUUAUUUCUAUUAUUAUUUAUAAAAAUCCAAAAAAAUUAAGAAAAACUUUAAAAUUCAAAAAUAUAUUUUUUCUCGAGUCAACCCCAUCUUUUCCAUCAAAACCAAGUCCACUGGGUCAAACCAUGUCGACUAGGGUAAAAAAUGAGUUUCAAGUUGUUUCGCGUCAAAAUUUUCAUUUCCGACCAAAACCGAGUUCACCGGGUCAAUACGGGUCAAACCAUGUCGACUAGUGUAAAAAAUGAGUUUCGGGCUGUUUCGGGUCGAAAACGUCAUUUUCGACCAAAACCGAGUUCACCGGGUCAAUACGGGUCAAACCAUGUCGACCAGGGUAAAAAAUGAGUUUUCAUGACAUUUCGGGUCAAAACCGUCAUUUUUUAUAAAAAUUGAUUUCACCGGGUCCAUACAGGUCAAACCAUGUCGACCAGGGUAAAAAAAAACUUCAUAAAAAAAAACUGAUUUCACUGGGUCAAACCAUGUCGACCUGGGUAAAAAAUGAGUUUUCAUGACGUUUCCGAUCAAAACCGUCAUUUUUGGUCAAAACCAUCAUUUUUUAUCAAAACCGAGUCCACCAGGUCAAUACGGGUCAAACCAUGUCGACCAGGGUAAAAAAUGAGUUUUCAUGACGUUUCGAGUCGAAACUGUCAUUUUCAGGUCAAACCAUCAUUUUUGGGUCAAAACCCGGUUCACCGGGUUAAUACCCAUCAAAUGUUUUUUUGUGUUAGCGGUUGAAACAGGCUUUUUCUAAUACUGAUUUAAGUUUUUUAGUUUUACUUAUAUAAAUAUUUAUUAUUAUAUAUAAUAAAACAAAAUUAAUAAUUCAAAAAAUUAUUAUAUUAGGUAAGCUUAGUUGCAGCGGUGCAAAUUAUUUCUUUUGUCCCCUGCUCAUUGGCUAUAAAUAGCAACGAGAGCAGGGGGCAAUAGAGAAGAAAAAAAGAAGAGAAAGAAUUGAUUUGCCACUAUUCAUAUAUUUUUUUAGUUUUUCUUCGUGAGGGUAGGAUAUUGAUUUUUUAAAAAAACAAAUUGAAAAAUACCAAAAAUAUCCUAGCUGUUAGAUUUAAUAGUGUUAGUUGUGGAAAUUUGAUUUCAUAGGAUACAAUAGAGCUUACCACACUAGAUUAAAACCCAAACACAUCUCGACCCUUGAAAUAAUCGGCCCUUUGAUCCCGUUACGCCAUGUCACCCGGUGUACCGAGAUUUCGGUACACCGCGCCACACCAGAUCUAACCCUUGCUCAUCCGGAUCGUCCGAUCAACCUGCAGAUCAAGCCAAUCACAACCACAUGAUCUUUUCAUCGGAGAUUCAACGGCUCACUGACUUCAGUUGCACCGGUGUACCGUGCUAGAGUUCACACCGUAGUAAAACCCAGAGCCUCUCUCUCUUCUCUCGCCGAUGACUUUCUCUCUCCUCCGAUCUCCCAUCUCCGGCCGUCUCAAGCCUCCAAACCACCACAGAAAGGUCGUCAACCUCCUACAAAGCAAAACCCCGGCCUUUUUCAGCGUUUUCGCCGCCUCAUCUGGCCGGAAAAAGGCUGGGAUCGUCGCUGGCCACCGAAGCUUCAAGUCGUCGAUUCUGCCUCAUCAGCCAUCAACGACCGUCAAGACCACCACCAUCAUAAUCCUCGACCUCAGAUCUAUCAGGAUAGACCAUCGGUUGGCCAGAAAUCUCGCAGGAAAAUUUCACAGCCGCCAACAAUAACCGUGCGUGAGCCACACGCGCCGCCAGUGGCAUUUUCGUAAUUUUUUGAGAAAUCCGAGGGUAUUUCAGUCUUUUACCUAUACAGUGGCACUCAGGUAAUUUUUUGAGAUUUCUAACAUUUUCUUUAUUUUGUAUAUAAAUUUUCUUGCAUGUAAAAAUAAAUUAAAAAACAACGUGGGUCCAACACCUAUCCAAUCAUGUUAUCGUUCGUGGGUCCAAAGCCCAAUUAUCAAAUAUGGUUAUAACCAUUUCCCAACGAUAUCACAAUAAUUUUUGUUUUUAUAAACGAAUAUUGUUUGUCAACACCUCUCUUUUUACAGAAAAUGACAGAUGUCAAAAGUUUAAAUAUCAAAUAUGGAUUCUGUCCAUAAUUUCAUUUUGGUAACUCAGACGUAAUUCUCCUUUUAUAGGGUUAAACGUCAAUAUUUUAGAUGAGUUUUCUAUUUUUAGGAACUGAUGUCAUUAAUUUUUUUUUGACGCGUCUCUUUUUACAGAAAAGGACCGAUGUCAAGGGUAUUUAAAUACCAAAUAUGGAUCAUGUCCAUAAUGUUUUUUUUAACUCAGACGUAAUUCUCCUUUUUUAGGGUUAAACGUCGAUAUUUUAGACAAAUCUCCUAUUUUUAGGGACUGAUGUCAGUUUUAAUGUGUCUUCUAUUUUUAGGGACCGACGUUAACUAUUAAAAAUGAAACAAAAUUGCAAAUAAGCUCAAAAUAUAAUAGCAUUUGAAACAAAUAUAAAAGCACACAAGUAAGAGUAACCUUUCUUUUGAAAGGAUGUUUUAAGGGUGGUGUCUACCUUCCCUUAAUCAUAACUAACCCAGUACCCGAAUCUCUGGGACCAGUGUCUAAUUUGGGAUUUCUAGUUCCCUCAAAUUACUAGAUGGCGACUCCAAUAAAAUCUUAUUUCCCCCAAAAAAAAAUCUUUUUUGUUAAAUAAACAAAAAAAAAGCGGAGCCGUCGCCCGACGUCGUGUAUCGACAGAAUGGCGACUCCACUGGGGAUAGGGUUGAACCAACUGCUUGUGUGUGCUUUUCAUUUUUUUUAUUGCUAUUAUUUUUUUUGAGAUUUAUUUUAUUUGCACUAUUUAUUUUAUGCAAUAUCAAUUGUAAAUCAUUUCAUUUUUUUUAAUUACACAUGCAUGCAUGUUAUUUAUUUGUGUAUUCACACACUUCACAGUGAACCCAUAAAAGCUCUGGACCCGAGCUCGUCCUUUUUAAGAUUAGAAAAGAAAGAUUCAGGUGGCAAGUGUGACUUAUGUCCACUGAUGCUCAUUUGGACUUUCGCUUGGAUUGUAACUCACCCUAUGCAACGGGUAUUGUGGAAUUUUCUUCCCAUACUCAUGUUGUAUAAGGUUAAGAGGCCGACUACCCCAUGGGUAAUUCGGGCAAUCUAAGAACCAAAGAAAUAUCUUUAGGGAUUAGACUAAACUGAGCCAAAUCUUAUGAGCUAGAUCCUAUCAAUUAGGAUAUACCUUUUAGGACACAAACAAAUGUCAAUGCAUUAACAUACAUGUUCAUACAUUUCAUAUUCUCAUUAAAUCUCCACCGAUCCUUAUAGGAAGUGUGAGAUAAAAAACCAUUACUAUUGAGGAAUUUUUGACCAGAUAAAUUGAACCAACAUGAUAAAGGGGAUUGUUUGCCAUCAGAACAUGGCAUCAAAUUUCUCCCCUAAAUCGGUUCAAGUCCCUGUAGGUUUGGAGUCCUCAGUGAGAACUUUCUUAAGAGAAUCUGAUCUGGUCUGUUCCUCGUCAUAAGUUAAAAAAAAAAAUAUAUAUUUGAAACCAAUAACAAGCAUGCAUAAAGCAUAUGGCAUUUUGCAUCCAUUUGUGCAUUUCAUUUAGUUUACUUGCAUUCACUCAGGUUGAAAUAUAGGUCCCCCAAAAGGCCGUAAAAUUCAUUACACUCGACAACAAAGGAAGAUAAUGGAGAACGAAGAAAGGGCCACCUGGAGGCUCAUUAUCAAAGAGAGUUGGAGAACAUGAAAAAUGAUAUAGCACGACUUACAAGUCUACUCGAGCAGGCCCUAGUAUCCAAGUCUGGGGAAGGACCUCUACUCAGCCGGCAGUUGCAACUCCAUCUAUAUCUAUGCCAUCAGCUCCUUUGUAUUCCCGCCUCAAAAUUUAGGGGCAAAUCCCUCUUCAUUUGAACAACAGUUCACUGCCAAUGUUCCACCAGCACAAGUGCCAGUUAUGUAAACCUGGCAACUGAUGACCCACAAAGGAUGAAAUUCUCUAAAAUGUCGAUUAUGAUAAAUUGACCGCUCUGGAAGAAAGAUUGAAGGCAGUAGAAGGGGCAGACUUAUAUGAUCCUGUUUAUGCUGCAGAAAUGUGUUUAGUUCCAAAUGUAGUUGUACCAAAAAUUUAGGGUACCAGAAUUCAUCAAGUAUACUGGAACUGAAUGCCCAGUCACUCAUCUUAAAUCUUACUGCAAUAAGAUGGCAGAAGUAGUGAAUGAUGAGAAACUUCUCAUCCAUUUCUUUCAAGACAGUCUUUCUGGAUCGGCAUUAAGCUGGUAUACAAGGCUGGAUAAUACUAAGAUCAGAAAGUGGAAAGAUUUGGUAAAAGCCUUUGUGGAGCAGUAUAAAUUCAACAUGGAGGUAGCCCCGGACAGGUCAAGCUUGUUAGUCAUGAAGAAGGGCAGCAAAGAGACUGUCAGAGAAUACGCUUUGAGAUGGCAUGAAAAAGCAUCUCAUGUGCAACCCUCUUUGUUAGAAAAAGAAAUGGUCACUCUGUUUUCUAACGCUUUUAAAUCUCCAUACUUUGAACACCUGGUGGGUAGUUCAACUCAGCAUUUCUAUGAUGCUGUAACUAUCGCUGAGAGAAUAGAACAAGCGAUAAGAGCGGGGAGAAUGUCAGAGCAUACUGAGAAGAAAGGCUUUACUGGGAAAAAGAAGGAUCCUGAUGUGAAUAAUGUGGAAGGACUGUAUAGGGGUAAGAAAAAAAAUUACCAUCAUUAUAACUUCCAAAUACCUACCCAACAAGUUGCAAGUGUCAACUUCACUAAACCUUUCCCUACCAACCAACAAAGCUAACCAAAUGACCAACAAAGUAACCAGAUUGUUAAUCCUCCAAGAAGGAAUUUUCAAAGAACCCAAGAACGAUUGCCACCAUUACCACUUCCCCUGGGAGAAAUGUACUCAAAGUUGUUGAGUAUUGGGCAAGUAGCCCCUGUUCCCUUAACCCCACUGCAACCUCCAUACCCAAAUUGGUAUAAGCCAGAUCUGAAAUGUGAGUAUCAUGCUGGCGUUGCUGGGCAUAACAUUGAAAGCUGUAAUGCAUUUAAAAACAAGCUUCUGCAAUUGAUAAAGGCUGGAUGGAUAACUUUUGAUGAUGCACCGAAUGUGAAGUCCAACCCUUUGCCCAAUCAUGCUACAAGCAGUGGGGGAGUGAAUGCUGUAGGAGUGGAGGACAAGAAGGAAAGAGUUUUGAAGGUUUCCAUGGAAAGACUAUAUGGUAUGUUGGUACAGUUUGGAUAUUUAUCUAAGGUUGAACCAGUGAUGGAUGGAAAUAACUACUGUAAGUUUCAUGGUAAGGUAGGACAUCACAUUGAUGAUUGUGAAGAAUUUCACUAAGAAGUGAAAAGGAUGCUGACUUUCGGCAUGAUAAGGAUAAAGAGUGAAGAAGGGAGCAGUGAAGUUGGGAUGAUAGGCCGUCAGGUGACAAAAAUGGAAGUUUGUAGACUUUAACCAACUGUGGGUGGUCCACCAAAACUAAUCCUGACCAAGCAUGUAUGCACAAACAGUGAGAGUUAUGGCACAAUGCCUUACAAUUACGGGUAUUCUUUCAACAUUACGAAUCCUACUCCUAUCUUUCACACUGAAAUCGACGGUUUAACUCGAAGUGGUCGGUGUUUUACACCAGAAGAAUUAGAGAGGCAGAGGAAAGCUAAAGGAAAAGAAAUAGUUGAUACUUUUAAAGGCAUGGAAGUGAACAAACCCAUAAGUGAAGACGAGUCUAAUGAAUUUCUGAAGUUGAUGAAGCAUAGUGAGUAUAGUGUGGUGGAUCAGUUGAAGAAAACUCCUGCUAGAAUCUCCUUAAUGUCACUUAUCUUGAGUUCUGAGUUACACCGUAAAGCGCUGCAAAAGGUGUUGAAUGAAGCAUAUGUGCCACAGGAUAUUACUCAAGACACGAUGGAACAUUUGGUGGGAAGAAUUCAAGCCUCUAAUUACUUAUACUUCACAGAAGAUGAGCUAGACCGGAAGGGACUGGGCAUAACAAGCCUUUAUAUAUCACCGUGAAAUGUAAAGACUAUUUGAUCGGCAAAGUGCUUGUGGAUAAUGGUUCAGCGUUGAAUGUGCUACCAAGGCAUAUGCUAGAUGAGAUGCCAAUUGAUGCUACCUAUAUGAGACCAAGCACGAUGACAGCUAGAGCAUAUGAUGGUUCUCCUAGACAGGUGAUCGGGACCAUUGACAUUGAAUUGUUUAUAGGGCCUCAGAUGUUUUUGAUAACCUUACAAGUGAUGGAUAUCCAUCCUUCGUAUAGCAUGUUACUAGGAAGGCCAUGGAUACACGCCGCUGGGGCUGUGACAUCAUCUCUACACCAAUGUCUGAAGUACAUUAUCAAUGGUACUCUAGUGAAAGUUAAGGUAGAAGAAACCUUAUCCAUGAUAAGGAAUGUGUCGGUCCCUUAUAUUGAAGCAGAAGAUUGCAAAGAUGGAAAUCUCCAUGCCUUUGAGAUUGUGAACACUGAAUGGGUACCAGAGAAUAUAGUGUUAAGAAGACCAAUGAUUUCUGAUACUGCCAAAAUGAUAGCUAUUGAAAGCAUGUGAGCUUAUAAAGAAAGUCUGACAACAAAGAAUUCAAUAAAAUUCCAAACAAUUAAGAGAAUUCCUGACAAAUAUGGGAAUAACAAAAGAAAACAGAAGUUCCUCAUUUGGAAUAUUUAGUAUCAUUUUUGUUGUCAAGGUAGCAAAAAAAAUACCAAGACAAGAUAAUAGUGAUCUAUAGUUUAUAAGCCCUUAAACAAUUUUUGAGCUUAUGGAAUACUCUUUCUUUUAUAGCCUUGAGCCAUAAAAUACAUUACGUGCCUUUGAAGUCCUUUCUAAUCAAGUAAGCAACCUGAAUUAAUAAACGAUGUUCUCAAAAUAUAAGAGACUUUUCCAUAAAGAGUCAUGGUGUAACAAAUAAUUACUCAUUAUUAUUCAUGUUGUUAAAAAGAGUGUUUCUAAAGAUAAAAAGACAAAUUGUUUCUUUUCUCUCAAAAUACCUUCAAGCAAUCGCUUGCAUACUUUGAAAACCAAAGCAGAAGGUCAUCUCAUCACUUACCUUCAUCUUAGAUUACUUUUACUAAGAGAUUUGACAUAAAGCCCCAGAAUGGCCUGAACAUUGUUAUAAAUAGACAUUGAGAGUUUCAGUUUUCGAGAACAAAACAGAUCUUUUGAAAAAUCAUUUUUGGAAAAAGGUUUUCUUUGUAAGAAAAAUGAAUAUAUGGCACAUUACAAGGCACCAGAGAUUCUAAUGACAACAAGAGCAAAGGAGGAAAUGAAAUGAGGCAGUUAAUUCUCCCAAGGGGUAGAGAAGCAGUUACCAGAUCCUUAAUGGCACAAAGAAAUUUGUUUCCCUUGUGGAAAAUACACAUGAUAAAAUUAUGGACUUCUUCUAGCAUGUGGACUGAAAUAGUAUGAUUUGCAGUAUCCAUAAAAGGAGAUUGUUGACUCUCACAAUAUGAUCAGUUAGACUACAAGAUAACUGAUGCAUCUUCAGUAAGAGAAAUACAUGAAAUCCCAGGUGAAGCGGGAUAACCCUCUUAUAUUGACCAUAUAAAUUGGUUAAAGAAUCUUCAACAAUGGAAAUGUUGCCUAUAGAAUAAUGUCGGGCCAGGGAGAAGUUAAUUCUUUGUGAAGUUACCAAUAGAGAAAAGUGCAGUGACUAUUGGGAAACUCAAACAAAGCUUAUCUUAGAAAAAUGAACAACAUGGGUCGGCUUGAGUAGAUUUGAAGGAUGCGUGAAUCAAAAGAGCUCACUAAAAGUCAAGAUCCUCAAACAAGAUGAACGAGGAUCUACAUUUCAAAAACAUGGUAAGAUGCACUGCAUAUCAUCUAACUUCAUGAGCAUUGCAUAUUUGUUUUGCAGAUAUUUCACGAAGCAAACUUCCUAAUGGAAUCCAACUAGAUUUAGAUGAAAUGAAGUUCUUCUAAAUCGCAUCAAAUAUGGAAAUUCUACAAAAGCAAAAUUCAUGAAUGAAGAUGAGAAAGAUGGAUUUUUAUUCAUGGGAAAAGGGUUUACAAGUACAAACAUUAAACACUAUGAGGAUGAUUAGGGAUAUUUUGGUUUUGAUGAUCCAUCAUUACUCGAAAUUCCUCAAAUUGGUUAAUUAUGCGCUCCAUCUGUUCCUCGAACUCGAGGUGUCGUGUGUUAACAUGGUCCCUCCAAAAGUCAACACGAGCGUUGAGCUCUUGGUUUCUCCUCUCCAAGUCGUUUCUGUGAUGUCUUUCAUCACAGAGUCUUUUCAUUUAAUUCUCAAUUUGAUGAUGGAGCUCAGGAAUUUGAGUAUUCAACUUAAGUCUUCUGGCAUGAAGAUGCUCCGCCAUGUUCACCAUAGACGAAGUAGCUCUAAUACUUAGAGUAAGUGACUGAUUCACUGCUUCAAUAUCGGUUCUGGCUGCCAGGAUUAUUUCAUCACGAGGAAGGAUCACGUCUCUAGCCACGGCUACAACAAUAUCUUCAUUGUCCAUCACAGUAUCCUCUAUUGUAACUGGACGGCCAUUCACUUCAAAGGUAGUACGCCAAACUACAGGCUCUGCCGCAGGAACAAGGUUUGGAUUAGCAUUGGAAGAAGAGGAAGACAUGGUUUUGAAAGUAUUGAAAAUACGAGAAGUUGAUGAUGUCUUUUGCCAAAUACUGCAUGAUUUAUAGGGAAUUUGCUCUUGCCAUCAUUUUGAAUAGAAGCUCAAAUCUUAGCCGUACAUAUAAGACUUUCUUAAGAAGCUUUCAUAAUCUUUGAGAUCGAUUUGCAAAUCAAAUCUCAACCGUACAUAUAAGACUUUCUUGAGAAGCUUUCAUCAUCUUUGAGAUCGAUUUGCAAAUCAGAUCUCAACCGUACAUACAAGACUUUCUUGAGAGCUUUCCUAAUCCACUUACAAAUCAAAUCCCAAUCGUACAUACAAGACUUUCUUAAGAAGCUUUCAUCAUCUCUGAGAUUGAUUUACAAAUCAGAUCUCAACCAUACAUGUAUGACUUCCAAGUGGUCUAAUUGCUCCAGGUUACCUACCUGAUAGUGAAGAAGAAAGCAAAGAAUUUUGCUAGUGGUCUAAUUAUUCCAGGCGACCUGCUCGAUGAUAAAAUGCGAAGAAACUCGCAAGUGGUCUAAUUGUUCCAGGCGACCUGCCCGAUAGUGAAGAAGAGAGCAAAGAAUUUUGCGAGUGGUCUAAUUGUUCCAGGCAACCUACUCGACGAUAAAAUACGAAGAAACUCGCAAGUGGUCUAAUUGUUCCAGGCGACCUGCCCGAUGAUAAAAUGCGAGGAAACUCGCAAGUGAUCUAAUUGUUCUAGGCGACCUGCCCGAUAGUGAAAUACUUGAAAGUGAUUUCAAUAUAGGUUUUGUGAAAUACAUGAAAAUGAUUUCGGCAAUAAGCUUCAGGGUUGAUUAAAGUGUCAUUUUCGGUCAAAACCAUCAUUUUUUAUCAAAACCGAGUCCACCGGGUCAAUACGGGUCAAACCAUGUCGACCAGGGUAAAAAAUGAGUUUUCAUGACGUUUCAGGUCGAAACCGUCAUUUUCGAGUCAAACCAUCAUUUUUGGGACAAAACCCGGUUCACCGGGUUAAUACCCAUCAAAUGUUUUUUUUGUGUUAGCGGUUGAAAUAGGCUUUCUCUAAUAAUGAUUUAAGUUUUUUAGUUUUACCUAUAUAAAUAUUUAUUAUUAUAUAUAAUAAAAUAAAAUUAAUAAUUUAAAAAUUUAUUAUAUUAGGUAAGGUUAGUUGCAGCUAGCGGUGCAAAUUAUUUCUUCAUAAUUAAAUUUGUUGUCCCCUGCUCAUAUAUAAAUAGCCACGAUAGCAGAGGGCAACAAAGAAGAAAAAAAGAAGAGAAAUAAUUGAUUUGCCACUAUUCAUAUUUUUUUUAUUUUUUCUUCGUGAGAGUAGGGUAUUGAUUUUUUUUAAAAAAAAUUGAAAAAUACCAAAAAUAUCCUAGCCGUUAGAUUUAAUAGUGUUAGUUGUGGACCUUUGAUUUAAUAGGAUACAAUAGAGCUUACCACACUAGAUUAAAACCCAAACACAUCUCGGCCCUUGAAAUAAUCUGCCCUUUGAUCUCGUUGCGCCAUGUCACCCGGUGUACCGAGAUUUCAGUACACCGUGCCACACCAGAUCUAAACCUUGCUCAUCCGGACCGUCCGAUCAACCUGCAGAUCGAGCCAAUCAUAGCCGCAUGAUCUUUUCAUCGGAGAUCCAACGGCUCACUGACUUCAGCUGCACCGGUGUACCGUGCUAGCGUUCACACCGUAGUAAAACCCAGAGCCUUCUCUCACCGGCGACUUUCUCUCUCCUUCGAUCUCCCAUCUCCGGCCGUCUCAAGCCUCCAAACCACCACAGAAAGGUCGUCAACCUCCUACAAAGCAAAACCUCGGCCUUUUUCAGCGUUUUCGCCGCCUCAUCUGGCAGGAAAAAGGCCGCGAUCGUCGCCGGCCACUGAAGCUUCAAGUCAUCGAUUCUCCCUCAUCAUCCAUCAACGACCGUCAAGACCACCACCAUCAUAAUUGAUACGGUUCAGCCCUGUGAUACGACCCAAGUAAGGUCAGAUUCGGAUUUUGGUGUAAAAUGCGCAACAGUCCAGGUUUACGGCAACAGUCAUAAUUCUCAAUCCGACCGUUUGAUCGGGCUAAUAUUUUAUGUGGACUCUCCAGACAUAUCUUACUACCUUGGGUUAAAAUUGCAGGUCAAUCGGAGUUCGGGAAGGCACCCCAAUACUGGUCAACAGAGGCUGUACGGAUUUUGUUAUUUACUUCCAUUUGACUUGUGGACUUCCUAUUUGAUUAGGAUUCUUUUCCUCCAAGGAUGUGGGAGCUGGUUUUGGGAAUUUCCUAGUUCCACAAGGAUCUUUAAUGAGUUGCAAUAUAAUCUCCUAGUGUGGCAAGGAUUCAUUAAUGUUUCAUAAUCCUUCUCUUAUAAGGAUUCCUUAUUCAUCCUAGCUACACAAGGAAAGAAGGGGUGGUGGUAUUUAAUGACAAGUUACUUAUUUUUAUUAUUUUCUUUCAUGUUUGGGCUUAAUUAAUACUUUGUUUUCAGCUAGGAUUCAAGGCUUGUUUGGAUCAGGUUAUGGGCUUUUUAGUUUAGGGUUUUGGGCCAGUUUUGAGUGGACCUCAUAUAAGUCCACAUAAGAGGUCCAUUAGGGUUAAUUUUUCAAGAACUAUUUAAACUCAUGUAAGCCAUAAUUUCGGCAGCUUUGAUGAUAAUUACUUCUGAAUUUUUCAGUUUUAACGUGUGAGAGUGAUUCUUGCAUUCUUCAGUUCUUGAACGAACUGAAUCUGACUUAUCGAAGAUUAACUGGCUUCGUGGCGUCAUUCUACUCAUUCCAAUAGUGUAGGUGCCUUGGGGCAGGUUUCCAUUGUGUCGCACUCAUAUCAGACCUAUUUCGGCUUUUCGGGAUCAGAUCUCAAUCUUGAUUGUGGGUUGCGUGACCACGUGAUCACGAGGUUUGCAUCAAUAAUCCUCGACCUCAGAUCUAUCACGUGGCCAAAAAUCUCGCCGGAAAAUUUCGCCACAGCCAACAGUAACCGCGCGUGAGCCACAAGCGUCGCCAGUGGCAUUUUCAUAAUUUUUUGAGAAAUCCGAGGGAAUUUCAGUCUUUUACCUAUACAGUGGCACUCAGGUAAUUUUUUUUGAGAUUUCUAACAUUGUUUUUAUUUUUGAGUCCAACACCUAUCCUAUCAUGUUAUCGUUCGUGGGUCCAAAGCCCAAUUAUCAAAUAUGGUUAUAACCAUUUCCCAAUGAUAUCACAAUAAUUUUUGUUUUUAUAAACGAAUAUUGUUUGUCAACAUGUCUUUUUUUUACAGAAAAUGACCGAUGUCAAAAGUUUAAAUACCAAAUAUGGAUUAUGUCCAUAAUUUCGUUUUGGUAACUCAAACAUAAUUCUCCUUUUAUAGGGUUAAAUGCCAAUAUUUUAGACGAGUUUCCUAUUUUUAGGAACUGAUGUCAUUAAUAUUUUUUUUGACGCGUCUCCUAUGAACGUUGUUUGUCGACACGUCUCUUUUUACAGAAAAGGACCGAUGUCAAGGGUAUUUAAAUACCAAAUAUGGAUCAUGUCCAUAAUUUUUUUUUAACUCAGACGUAAUUCUCUUUUUUAGGGUUAAACGUCGAUAUUUUAGACAAAUCUUCUAUUUUUAGGGACCGAUGUCAGUUUUAACGUGUCUCCUAUUUUUAGGGACCGACGUUAACUAUUAAAAAUGAAACAAAAUUGCAAAUAAGCUCAAAAUAUAAUAACAUUUGAAACAAAUAUAAAAGCACACAAGUAAGGGUAACCUUUCUCUUGAAAGGAUGUUUUAAGGGUGGUGUCUACCUUCCCUUAAUCAUAACUAACUCAGUACCCGAAUCUCUGGGACCAGUGUUUAAUUUGGGAUUUCUAGUUUCCUCAUAUUACUAGAUGGCGACUCCAAUAAAAUCUUCAUUUUCCCCAACAAAAAAAAAUCUUUUUUAUUAAAUAAGUAAAAAAAAAAAAAACCGUCGCCCGACGUCGUAUAUCAAAAACUGCAUUGAUGUUGGAAUAAAAAGCGCUGACACUGGUGUUGGGAGAAGAAGGACCGUCAGUGGUGCCAGCUGCAGCAAAAACCGAAGGAUCCAUAUUGUAGCAGAUGAGUAGAAAAUAGAAGCUGACAGCAGAUAAUUGCAGGGAAGCCGAAAGAGUAGCAAAGAAAACAGCAGAAAACGUUGACUUCGGAGCAGAAACAGUAAUAAAAAAUCAGUAAUAACACGCUGAUGGCUGAAGCAGAGAAGCAUUAUCAAUCAGAAAUCAACAGAAGAAGCAGAAUCAACGUUGCAGAUCGUGAGGCUAAUUAACAGUAGCACAAUGAAGCAAGUAAUUAGCUAAUUAGAGGGGCUGCCAUUUGAAGAAUAAUUAGCUGAUGGAGUCGCAAUUAGAUUUUGUUGAAUAGAAACAAUAGAGGGGCUGCCAUUUGAAGAAUAAUUAGCUGAUGGAGUCGCAAUUAGAUUUUGUUGAAUAGAAACAAUAGAGGGGCUGCCAUUUGAAGAAUAUAUCUGUUAAAGAUAAAUUGGUUUUGAUACAAGUUAAAAUAAUAUUUGUGCUAAUUGAGAGGCUUAAUCUAAUGAUAGCCACCUCUUCUAUUUAUAUAAUUACAGUAGUGUAUAUGUUAUGGUGUAGCAUAUUAUACACAAUAAAUCAAUAUAUUAAUAAUAUAAUAUUUUCUAUAUUAACCCAUUCCAUAAUAAAUGUGCACUGCCAAGUCUUCAUUUUUUUUUUUUAAUGCAGCAAGUUGUUAAAAUUGAUAAUGACAUGAUUUAAAAGAAAACAUAUAUAUAUAUAUAUAUAUAAGUCAUCAUUUGAGUCAACGUAUUUUGAUGGGGAAGCAGGUGUUGGCCAGCCAGUUGCUUUCUAGGAGUGGAUCAACUGCUUUAGCAGAUGGGCCCAUCACUGCAGAGUAAUUUUAUAUUCUCACUCCCAUUGUGGGAUUUUUCUUUAUAUUUCUUGUACCGUCAAUCUUUCUAAUUUCAUUUCAUUUCAUCUUCAUUCAAGAACUUUCAAACCACUUUCUCUCUUCUUCACUGUCUCCAAAACAAAAUGGCUACAGAGUUUUUUCUUACAGUUAGUUUCAUUUCCAUGUUCUGAGGGUAAUAUUCCUUAAUUAGUUGACUGGCUGACUUGCUAAGAAUUUGCUCGAAAGCAAAUCCCUUGGUUGAUUCUUCAGCUAACCUUUCUCUCCAAGAACUGAAAUUUCAUAGGUGGUGGAAUCCAACCAACCCUUUUCCUUCUAUAUAGGUAUAACUAACUCUUCUUUGCUUUUUUCUUGUUUUGAUUUCAUGAAUUUACUGAUAGCAAUAAUUUGAAAGCUUUAUGUUCAGAUAGAUCAUUGAUCAGUUUAUGUCUUCUAGUACAAGAUUAUUGUCCAAUCAUCCCAUCACAGUUAGUUCCUUUUCAUUAUCUUUUUCAUGUUCGUAGACUUUCUGCCUGUGAUGUGUUGCUAGUUAGCCAAAGAUCUUGUUGUUCAAUCAUCCAUUUGAUUUUACUUUGGACAAUCUUGUUGUUCUUGAUAUGCAAUACAGUAACCUCAGAGAAUUAUGGAAAGGGGAAAAGGUGCGAAACAAACUACAAUCCAUAAUUUAUAUUUACAUGUUAUGACUUUAUAUGAUUACUUUUCAUUGUUUUUCUCUCUAUUUUGACAGAUUCUCAACAAGCUGAAAAUCUUUAAUCUCAGUCAUUCUCAGUUCCUAGUUAAAACACCAAACUUACAUAGUUCAAGUCUACAAAAACUAAGGUUGGAAGGUUGCUCGAGUUUAGUUGAGCUGCAUCAAUCUGUUGGAAAUUUGAAGAGCCUCAUUUUCUUGAAUCUAAAGAGAUGUCGGAGCCUAAAGAUUCUUCCCGAAAGCAUUGGUGAUGUAAAGUCUCUUAAACGUUUGAAUAUUUCUGGAUGUUCAGAACUUGAGAAGUUGCCAUAAUGCAUGGGUGAUAUGGAAUCCUUAACUGAGCUGCUAGCAGAUGGAAUUAAAAAUGAACUUCUACCUUCAUUUGUACAUUUAAAGUAUGUCAGAAAGUUAUCAUUGUGUGGAUACAGUUUCUGUCGGGACUCACCAUCACCUACAUCCUGGGUUUCCCAAAUUUCAUCAUCGUCUACAUCCUGGCCUCUACCAGUUUCAUCUUCGAUCAUAGCAAGUACUGUUUUAAAUCGGAAAUGUUUGCUGCCAACAUCUUUCGAAUGGAGAUCAAUGAAAUGUCUUAAGUUUUCUAAUAGUGGUUUGUCUGAUCACACAACUAACUGUGUUGAUUUCAGGGGUUUGUCCUCUCUAGAAGAAUUGGAUCUAUCACAAAACAAUUUCUCUAGCCUGCCUUCCGGGAUCGGCUUCCUUCCCAUGCUUUCGAUUUUGAGUGUUCAGGAAUGCAUCAAGCUUGUAUCAAUCUCAGAUCUUCCCUCAAAUUACUCUGUUUGGAUGCCUUUCGUUGCAGUUCAUUGAAAAGUAAGAAUUCCAAUCCAGUCAAAAAACUCACCAUAUAUGUUCAAUAAAUGUUAUAUGUUAGAAGAGAUUCAGGGCAUCGAAGGUCCAAGUAAUAAUUACUGGUAUAUUGACGUUGAUUUCCCCAGUGAUUCAUCAAAUAAUUUCCUGAAGAGUCUUGCUGAGGUACUAUCUCUGUCUCUCCAGCACACAAAUAUACACAUUAAUCAAUUAGUUUCUAAAAUUUCAGCAUUUCUUGAAAUCAAUAUAUAUAUAUAUAUAUAUAUAUAUAUAUAUAUAUAUAUACAGGCAUUGUGCAAUGGUGAUUAUGGGUAUUUUACUUGGUCCGUUCCUGCUAACAUGCCAAAUUGGUUAAGCUACCGUGGAGAAGGAUGUUCAUUAUCAUUUCAUAUACCUCCAGUUUUCCAAGGCUUGGUUGUCUGGGUUGUUUCUCCAUUUGAGGUUGGUAGUAGUGGGAAUGACGCCAUCAAAUACACGGUUAUUAUAAAAAAUAAAAACAACGGUGUUCAAUUGUUUGAAGAUACACUAACAGUACAUGUAGGCAGAUACCCCUUUAAAUGGGUAAGAUACAUAAGUAUAAUUGAUAUGGCAAUGGAAGAAUACUGUGGAGAUGAGGAAUUGGAACUGUAUCUGGGGAGCCAGUCCAUUGAUGGAAGCAAAGUGGUACAGUGUGGGAUUCAUGUGAUAGUAGAAGAGACAGAUUCAUUUGAAGGGUCAGAGUGGGAUCGGGAGAUUACUGUGACAAGAGAUGAGGAGUUGGAACUGCACUUGAAUUCGGGGAGAAAAGACAUUAAUGUGACAGAAUGUGAAGUUCAUGUGAUCAAAGAGUUAGAAGUGGGAAGAGAUAGAGUGAUGCCUGCAUCACGGCCAUAUCGUCUGCUUCCUCAUCAUCCCAAUUAUGGUCUUAUAAGAGCGUCUACAACUGCGCAGUGGAAAGCUUAUUUGAUGCAAAAAAAACCUCGCGAAGUAAUAAUUGUUGGUCAGAAUAAAUAUUCCCUUUAGUUUUAUUUAAUUCUAUUUAAUUUAUGAAAUUAAAUAUUAUCUUUAAUGAUUUUAUAUUUUUCUUAUUUAAUUUUAAAAACAUCAAUUAAUUAUUAGCUAUAAAAAUCCCCCAAAAUGCAUUAGUUGAAUCACUUAAGCUGAUAUCAAACAAUCCAUCGAAUCGCACUUAAUUAAACCAUUAUUUUUAUUGGUAGCAACUCGUGUGUCUUUUAAGGCAAAAGAAUAGCAGGAAGAGCUAAAAUUAGAAAUAUUUAGAGACGGUUUGAUUUUAUUUUUUUAUGAUAAUAUUUUUAAAUUUCUUAAAACAUGAAUUGAAAACUUGUAUGUUUUGAUAUUCUUGUGUAAAAAAGAAAAGCCAACAAUGACUAACAUAAAUUUAUAAAAUCACUUUAGUUGAUUUGGAAAUUUUUUAAUAUUGAUUUUUGUUUUUAUAUUUUAGAUUUUUUGUUAGGAUGAGGUGGUCAGGUUGCGUCACAUUGAUUAUGUCAUGAAGUUAACUAGAGUAAGAUAUAAAGAUAUCAAGCUUCGGAGAGAAUCAAGAUCAGUUAAAGCAAAAAAAAAAAAAAAACAUAUUAAUUAUGAAUAUAAAUUGGAAAGGAAAAGUUUAGUUAUAAGGAAUCAGAUUCACAAAGAAAUUUGAGUCUCAUCGAUUCUAGGAAACAAGUUGGAAGGAAUCAAUUUUACAAUAAUUGAACUUGGCACUAGCUAGAGAGAACCUUCGUGCCACUAAGUACUGAAUCGUUAUUCAAAUGUACUGAAGGCCAUUUGUUUGCCAUUUGUGCUAAUUAAGAACAUAAUUCUAUUCUUUUAUAGUUUUUUGGAAGAAGAAAAAACUGGGGUGAGUUAAUAUUCUGUAAAAUAAGCUUGGAAUAGCUUGCGGGGGCCGGUUGGCUCAGAGAUCAAUUUUGUUUUUACUACAAAUUGCCUUUUAAUUGGACUGGGAUUCGGUAAGUUUCCCUUUUGUUUACAUAUGAGGUUCCGAGACAACAGUGCUUGCUGUUCUUGAACAGACAUUGCUUGGGAUUGUGCUUAUUGCCAUUAAUUAAACUGAGAUUAUUCUGAUUAGAGAACAGAAGGAAUCUUCUUUCAUAAUUGGCUUUCGAGAAAAUUUAGUGUUUUUGCUUCCUCUGCUUUUGGACCUGACUUGAUUCCUGACCGGUAGAAACAGCAUUAGUCCAAAAGAAGGGAAGCUUUUGUUUUCUUUAAUCACAUGAUCUGAUAUUCUCAUUAAUUUAUGCCCAACACAAAUUCAUAAAAGUGGCUCUAAUGAUUGGAUGACAACAGUUGUUAAUGAGCAGUGUUUGCGUCCCUUAUUUUCCGUUUACUAAGUAUUUAGAACAAUAUUCAAUUCUAAUCCAAAGUCGAUAGUAAUAAACUCUUGGUGAUGGUUUUGUCAUCGAUGGUGGUCGGACAACAAAAAAACCAGUAAAAUCAAACGAUUUUUAAUGUUUUUGUGUUUAAAUUUGAUAUCAAUAAACUUUUGAUGAUAAUUUUUUUUUCAUUUUAUGGUGGUUUUAUCGUCAGUAGUGAUAAGAUGAAAGAAAGCUAUUGAUUUUUCUCUCUGCAGUGGUUAGUAUUAUAAUAUUUAAACUUGAUAUUACAGUUUAAAGCAAUACACAAAUGUCGGGUGCUUUUAUUUACAAAAAGGAGUGCUGUCUAACAUUAUUCAUUUGACAGCUGUUGUCAACCAAACCUUUCCUAUCUAUAUAAAGGUUGGCUUGGCCUCCUACAUAUUAGCCAAAGCAAGAAAACAAACAAAACCUAUAUAUUUCACAGCUACUUGUCUUAGUGUGUUGAUUAGUUGUAGUUAACAUGGCACGUCAGGCAGAUCGUCUUGUUAAGAUUGGGCAGGAGGGUUUUGCAGCCAUUGAUGAGCACUUCGGCCGGGCCAAGAGGCGGCCACCAGUUAUGAAGGUUCCCUAUGCCCAUCCCGCAUAUUACUACGUUCAUCAGGCAAACCAAAUUCCUGCAACAAAACUAAUCGACAGCAACGAGGCAGCGCAACGCUACAAUGGGAGGGUUUAUAUCGAUUACCCAAAAGGGGAAACCAGUUCCGUUUUAAAGACCUAUUGAUCAAUCACUUAGCUUUCUUGUAUGCAUAACCUCCUCCAGUACUUGUGUUACCUUUAGUCCUGUACGAUAUUCUCCCUCUGCUAAACGUAGACGAGGAGAGGUUGCUUCUUACUUCAAAUAAAAUUUCUGUGAUUUAUAUAUCAUAAUUUUCUAUUUGGCUGGUCAAGUAUGCAUUGUCAUAAAUAUCUCUCUGCUUCCCUUCCCUGAUUAUCACUUUAUUCGCCUAUUACUUAGCAUGAAAAAUUGAAAGAUUAAUGCAGUUGGAAGCACAACAAUAUAGCUGCAAGUAGGGGUGUUCAAAAUAACCGAGAAAACCGAUAAAACCGAAGAAAAAUUAACCGAAAAAACCAAACCGAAAUGAAAAACCGAUUAAACCGAUUGUCAAAACCAUAAAUUUUAACAGGUCCGGUUCGGUUUCGGUUUUAAACCAAAAACCGGAACAAACCGAACCGGACCCAUUAAAAACCAAAAGUUACACAAAUCUCUGAGGUAUAAAUUGUAACCUAACCCUAACAGUUAAUAUAACAUUCAUGUCUCUCACAAAAAGCCGCCGCCCCCCCCCUCUCAAUUAAUUUCUAAUUUUCCUUUCCCGGUUUCCCAAUCUUCCUCUCAAUUAAUUUCUAAUCUUCCUUUCCCAUUUCCCAAUCUUCCUUUCCAGUGGGUUUGUUGAAUGAGCUUUCAAUGCAAAUGUCAAAAUUUUCAACUUCACAUACGACAAUUGAUGGCAAAGGGCAAUGGAAACCAUAAUCUUCCUCUUUUUCUUGUUUUUAUCUUUCCUCUCUUUUCAUUCUUAGCUGUUUUUUUGUGGUCAAUAUUGGUGGUAAUGGUUGAGAUCGAUGGGACUAAUGGCAAUGGAAACCAUGGAGGAGCUGUGUUUUCUCCUUCUUCUUUUUGUGCCUGUGAGAAACCAUGGAGGAACUGUCAUAAUCCUCCGAGAAACCAUGGAGGAACUGUCAUAAUCUAAAAUCCAUCUUCUUUCUGUGUGCCUGUGUUUUCUCCUUUCCAUAUAAAAAAUCUGGAUGAUGGGAUUAGGUUUCUUGGUUUUUUGUCAAAAAAACCGGAUUUAACCGAACCGGACUGGUUCGGUUUGAACCGGUUUUCGGUCCGGUUCGGUUAAUAUUUCACAAAAUUAAUGUGAUUCGGUUCAGUUGGUUUUUUUAGUCUAAACCGAACCGUGAACACCCCUAGCUGCAAGCAUGGAAAGACAGGAGAUAAACUGAAAUAAUGUUAAAACACAAAGAAUCCCAAAACCUUAUUUUAUUUCUAAAAUAUUAAUGUGAUUAAGUCUACCUCCUAAAGAGGUUUACAAUCCCUAUUAUAGGCUAGAAAAAUGGACUAAAAUUGGAAACAAAAUCAAAAUCCCAAUACAUAACAGGAAAUAACAUAAAAUCUGCAAAAAUUAAUAAAAAAAUAACAAAAUUAUCCCAAAUAAUAACUCAUGAGCCUUAUUUUUGGAGAUCCAAUGCUCCGAUAACUACUGAGUAGUUUUUAAUGGGAAAACAACUUGUAAAAAUUUAAAUCGAAUCCAACAGCUAGAUCUCCUGAUAUCGUCAUUUUAGGACAAUACUCUUGUCUUGCGCAAUCAUGCUUUUUCUUGGGCCAAAACAUGUCUCAUUAGUACAUGAAAAUAUGUGUUAGGCCAUAUAUAUAGUCUGUUUACGGAAAAUACAUAAUUAAUUUGCUGUUCAAAUGCUUUGAAGCUCUUCAAGGUGUGAUUUCACUGAAUAAUUUUGAGUUUAGAUUUAUCACCUCAUUUUGGAAUUGUCCUGAGCACAAGGAUAAAAUCAUGAGCCGAUAAAAUGGGAGCGUCUUGGAUUAAGAAAGAAUAAACAGAGUUCAAGGUAAAACAAUAGCUUAGGAAAAAAAAGUAGAAAUUUACAAUAUAUCUAAGAAUAUCAGCGAUCAUGACCAUGAUUGGAUCAUUUGUGAAUUCUAUAACCAAAAUUUCCUUCACAAAUCUUUAACAAAUCUUUAAAAGCAUGAUUCCCAAUCCGAGCUAUGUGAGCAACUGUAUCUAGUAUAAGUAUCUUAUCUCCUAUGAAAAUGAGAUAUCUUUUACAGAAAAAUGAGAUAUCAAAGGUAAGCCUCCCUUUGAAGCAUUGCUUUACACAUAUCUUUUACAGAAAAGGGGAAAAAAUGGGAAAUGCUCUGAGUAUAUACCUUUUCUUGAUCUUUCCCAAUCCUUCAUUAUAAACGGGACCCAUCAAAUAUGAGAUAUGCGUUAACCUCCUCCAUAUUUCAUCUUAGCCUAGAAGGAUAAACAAGAAUAUUAUUGCUUCUGAAACAUAAAUUGCAAGCAUCGCCUUUCGGUGAACUUUUGAUGACAUGAAACUGCCACAAAUUGGGUGCUAUCCGAGAGACUUUUCUUUUUCUGCUCUGUUAUCGGAUAUAUACAACUGAAAUCUUUAAGUCCUCUUUAGGGUACCCCUGAAAGAAAAUGGUCUGUCAUAGAAAGUCUUGAGGAAUCUGAGGCAUAUAAUAUGAGAUAUAUAUCGUCCCAAGAUCAUAAAAACUAUAAAUCUUAAUCUCAUCAAGUGUAGCCAUGAAGUGGGAUCAAAACCUAUUUUCCUAUUGUUAUUAACUAAAGGGAAAGCCACAAGUAAGUCUCUGUGCUAUGAUUGUGUCAAGAUCAAGGAGUUGCCACCUAGUAAUUUGAUUUAGGGUCACUAGGAAACCCGGGUAUACUGGUCUUAUAAGAGAUUCUAAGAGUAAGGGAUUGGUAGUGGCUAAGGAAGGCAUUAGCAUCCCUUGGGCACCCUACCUGAUAUAAGUUGCAUUGUGUGAUUUAAAUAUGGUUUAAAGAUUUUGAUGGGUUCUUAACCGGUAUCUUGUCUAUGUCUUAGGAUGGGGUUUGUUCAUGUGAAUAAAUCUAGCAUUUCAAAUUUAUUAUGGGUUUGUGUACCCAAAUGAAUUCUUAUAGAAAGGAUUCAUGUGCGCGCCCUAACAGGGUUUAUCUAUCCUAAAAAGUGGAAGGGUUUUUCAUAAUUCAUGCGUUGUGGUGAAAAAUACUCCCAAUUAAAAUUGAUGAAUAUUUAGAAUAAUUCUGAGAAUUUUCUAUUGAAUUCCUGAUAUUUAAUUACUAGUCUACUUGCAGGUCCAAUGUUUAUAUCACAAUAUUGAUUAUUAAUUAUCAUGAAUUAAAAUUUUAUAGGUUAUUGAAAUAUUGGACAAAUCAUGAAUUUAGUAAACUAGUUAUUAAAUUCCAAAUGCGUGCAAAUAUAUAUUUUGUAAAAAAUUGCUAAAACACAUGUAUAUAUAUAUAUGUAUAUAUGUAUAUGUAUAUAUAUGUAUAUAUGUAUAUGUAUAUAUAGACAUACUUUUUAAGCAAAAACAAGAAUUUUGUAUUUUAAAGCACUUGUUUGUAUGCAAUUAAAACAUUUGGAAAAAUUAAAUUUUUUUUUCUUUUUAUCUUUUCUAUCACAAAAUGAAAAUAAGUAAUAAAAAAAAUGCAACACACACAUACAUUCUCUUUUUUACUAUAUCUUACUUGCACAUCUACAAAUUACACAGGUUUACAAAACACCAAAAAAUAAAAUUUCUAAAAAUAAUUUGAAAAAAUUGCAAAAUAGACCUUCUAAAGGUCAAAAAUAAUUUAGAGAAGUUAGAGCUCGAGAAUAGUGCUAGAAGAUUUUAGGGUUGGAGGAAUAGUGGCGACGCAUAUAUCGAGGUGCCAUUUCCACUAACAACCAAUGGAACCAUGCGUUGCUGCUGCUGGAGAGAUGAAAAACAAGGUGGAUCUGAAGCAAAAUCUUCUUCUCUUCUAUCUUGUGUCAAUAGUGAGUGUCACCUGACCUACAAGCCAAAGAAAAAAAAACGCACAAACAAUAGCUUUUACUUUUAUUUCUUUUUUUAGAUAUCAUUCUCUCAUUCUUUCUUCGAUUCAGUUUGUUUUUUCUUUUCUUCUUCAAAUUGUUGCUGCUAUUAUCAUAGAUGAAGGAGGUUGGGUGUUUCCAUGAGGAGUUAAUAUCUUUUUUGGUGGUUUUAGGUGUACUUUUGUUUGAGAAAAACAAAAUGAAGAAGAGGUUGAAGGCUGUUGGUGUUGGAUUUUGACAGUGGUUUUAUGGUGGACAGGGAGUCUUGGAACUGGUUGUUAUUGGUUGGAGCUGGUGGUGUUCGUGAUGGCUGGUAGUGUAAAGACCGAGAGAGAUGAGGAAAUGAGUCUAUUUCUUUGAUUUGGUGAAGAGAAAAUUAUGGUUGGUUGUUUUUUUUAUUUAAUAGGUGGUGGUGGUUGAAAUGGGUUAAAUGGAGUAGGAUUUAAGGGAUAAUGGUCUAGUUGUGUAUUAUAGAAUGUACCUAUAUAGGAAAUAUUAUUGGCAUGCUCUUAUGUUGUAAUCUUCACAAUUACUAUUGUCUAUUGCUAUACAGAAAAGGUUAACUAACCAAUAGGUUAAGUGACACGACCAAAAGAUUCAUGUCUUCUCCCAAGUGCAGGAGUGUCAAAGUAAUAAAUAACCCGGCAAGACCGGGGUCGAACAUCAGAGAGGUUAAUUGUAUAAAUUAUAAAUAACAAGACAACAACAACAACAACAACAAUAAUAAUAAUAAUAAUAUUAAUAGUAGAAGUAGUGGUAGUAGUAGUAGUAGUAGUAGUAGUAAUACUCAGUACGUGGCGUUGUUAUACCUGAGAAUGAUCUAAAAGAUCGGGUCACAGGUUUCCAGCCUAUAUACUGAUUUUAUGAUAAUAAUAGUAGUAAUAAUAAUAAUAAUAAUAGUAUUAGCAGUAGUAGUAGUAGUAAUAAUAAAAAAAAAAAAAAAGAGGAGGAGGAAGAAAUUAAUGAGAACUUUGAGAUGGAAGAUUAAUGUAAGGAUUAAACAAUGAUAAAAACAAAUGUCAAGGUUAGAGGAUCCACUAAUGGUAUUUCAAACAAGUAUAGUAUAAACUCUUAUUACUUAAUUUGGAAACCACACACGAAGGAGGUUCCAAUCGGAUGAUUUGUCAUUAAUAGCUCAUUAUAAAUUAUUAACAUGAUCAUAUUAAUUAUCUUAUUUACAUAACAUCAAACUUUUAAAUAUUGUCAGGAAUUCAUGAUGUUAACUGAUGUGAACAACAAAUCAAGUUCCUUUCAUAGCCCAGGUGUAGGUAAUACCAUACGGUUGGGCUAUGAGAGUGCCAAUCAUUUGUUGUACCAAGUGUUAUACAACACAAAUCUAGAUUAACCAUUUAACAAGCAAGGUAUUAAGAAUUAGUAAGAUAAAAAGAUAAGACAUGUUAAUAUUACACAUUAAGGUCCAUGUUGAGUUUACACCAUACUUAUUCUUACACCAUUAGUGUAACCUUUUCACCUUGACAUAAUAAACUUAGCUAAACAUAAUGAAGAAGAUAAACAUACAUAAACAAAAUAAGAACAUAAACAAGAUACAAGUUAACUAAGUAAAGGAAAGGAAAUGAAAAGCAUAAACAAAAUAUUAAUGAAAGCAAAACUUACAAAUUACAAAAAAUAUAAAGAGAGAGAGGAAGAGUAAGGUCUUGAUCUGAACAACCAAGCCCUUAAAUACAUGGCAAAUGCCUCCUUUUAUAGGCUAAAAUUCGGAAUUAUUGAUUUGAUGACUAAUUGUUGAGUGGGUGGCUAACUUUUGACUUUGUGAAAAUCCUUAUCUUCUUGUCUGAAUAAAAAAAAAAUUGUUAGCAUCAGAACUGGGUCCAUUGAAAAACAUGAAAGUUGUAGGAAAUUGACUCAGCUUUCCAAGGAAAAAACAUGGAGGUGAUUUGGACUUCUAUAACUCCAGAUAUGGGUCAAACACUGAACAGUGUUUGGGCUGCAAGACAGAUUCGGACUUCUCCGUUGUUGCUAUGAUUUGGACUUGAAAACAGCCUUGUUAGAUUUUUAUGUUCACAUGAAAGUUGUAGGCCUAUGUCUCAUCAAUUUUGUGUAAAAUUUAAGAUCAUUUGGACAUUUAGAACUCGAGAUAUGACCCAAAUACCAAAUAGUGUUCCAGUUUGGACUGCACCAACAUCUCUUUUCUAAGCUUCACCCUUCUUUAUCUUCAAAAUUUCAGUAGUUGAAUUCAUCAAUCAAUCCUUUGAUUUAUGUGAUAAGCCUCCAUUUAAGAUGAACAUUUACCAUAUAUUAAGGCAUUUUAUAGUAUUAGACUUGUUAUUGUAAAACAUGCUUUAGUUAAGGAGUUAUUGAUACUUUAGGUGCAAAAUGAUGAUAUAAAAUCUUGUUAAAUAUGCACUUUUAAGUACUAAUUACAUCCCCCAACCAGCUUAUUGCUAGUCCCUAGUAAUCAAAGCGUUAAAAUAGAAAAACAAUUUGCAAAUUCCAUAAAGCAAGGCAUUCAUCAUUCAACUUCAUUAAUCUAUCCAGAUAAACAAACUCUCAUUAAAUUCAUAUAUCUGCUCAAUACCUCUUAAACAAGAUAUUACUAAACCUUUCUUUUGUGCUCAAAAUAUCAACAUAUAGUUAUGGGGCUUUACUUGGACUAAAAACAAAUUUUUGCUCUAAUGUUUAAGGUUAACUUUCUUAGGUUGGGAUUUUUUUCUUUUCUUUUUAUUUAUUUAUUUAUUUAUAUACACAUACAACUUGAAACACAAUGUAUCUUUAACCCAUGUAACGAGUUUUAGGCUAAUGACUCCCAGACCAAUUGGUCUUAGGGCAUUAGGUGUUGAUACACCCCUACGAGCUUAGCAACUCGGGUUACAGAUAUUGAUACGUAGAUAGUGCAAUAUUUGAUUCCCUUAAGCUUUUCUCCUCAACCCAUGCAACAAGCAUUGGGCCAAUAGCUCCCAAGUCAGUUGACUUUAGGGUAUUAAGUGUUAAAAAACUCCUUCGGGCUUAAUUGCUUAGGUUAGGGAGGCUACGAAACCAAACUUAUCUACCUUUUUAUUAUCAUUAAUUUAUUUUUUUUGCAAAUUAUAUACUAUCCCUUUCCCUUAGUUGUUACAUUUAACAAAAGAACAUAAAUAAUGUAAUGAUCCAAUGUGCAACCCAUAAUCAUAUGUUAAAGUGUGUGUGUGAAAAUGAAGAUUUAAAAAUACUUGUUAAAUUAACCAAUGAGCAUAAUCAAGUGCUACCAAUACGAGAGUUUGUAAACCUGAAUAUUUCAAGAAGUAUUCUGAUAGACCUUGUUAAGAAUGUUUACUAAGAUGUGUCUCAAGAGUCACUUUAACAAAAUAACUCCUUUUACUCUGCCAUCCUAGUAACAAUAGUUUUGCAAAUAGUUUAUAAAAUAGAAAACACAGUUGUUUUUUUUUUUAAAAUAUCAACAACCACAACCCUUUCCCCCUAACCAAAAUGAGACAUUGUCCUCAAUGUCUUAAAGUAGAAAGAUAGAGUAUAGAAGACAUCACCUGAAAUAACGAACACUGACAAACCUGAAACACACUUAAACAAAUAUAAGAAACAACAAAACACAAUAAUAAAACCAAAAGACACAAAGUUUUUACAAACUAAGGCUCAAAUCCAAUCUAAGCUUUUUACAGCUGUUGACACACUCCCCAUUAACCCAAGGUUGCCUCCUCCAUACACUAAAUGAAUCUUUCGCUCAGCUAGUACCUGACCAAGAUGAUUUGUUGAUUCUAAAAACUCUUUUUCUUUCCCAGGAGUGGAUCCACCGAAAACACAAAUAUUUUUUAUGUGAUGACUUAAGGAACCUGCCAUUUCUACACACUUCUGUAUUUGAUGAAUGCAUGGGUUGAGUAGAAAUGAAUGGAAGGAAGGGAAGAAUUUAUAGAUGAGAAAUUGAAAAUGCAAUCAUACCACCUAUAUGUAGGUCAGCCGUAGUCUCACUCUCUCUCUCUCUCUCUUUUUAUUUAUUUAUUUAUUUUGAAAAAACAUGUGUAUGUACAUGUAGUUGUGAUUGUGACUCACAUCUUUCCUUGGUUUUACGUCCAAGAACGGCUUAAACGUCCCCUAUGGGUCGGGGAUAGGCUUCUCAUCCAGUUUUCUUAAAAACUAGCAAAUAGGGUCUUUUUUAGUCAGAUUCCCAAGACUAAGUCGAGCAUGUUCUUUAUGGAAUUGUGGCAAUAAAUCAUGAAUUGCACGAUGCACAUCUCCACUAGGGUGCGUCUCAAGAGUCAAUAGAAGAUUAUCUAAAGACCCCUUACUCAGGCCAUCCUUAAUGAAUUGUAUUUUAUCUUCACGGUUUACAGAUAUCAUUCCUAAAGAAUAACAUGUGGCAUAAAAAGUCCAUCUAGCACAUCUGUGACAGACUUUCAGUCGUUUUGCACGGCGUUUCUUUGCAAAAGUGCUUUUACCUGUUCCAGGCAUGUAUGAAAUGAAAGAAUUGGAAUACUCACCUGAUAAUCGGACCUUUGCUUCAAUUAGCCAACAAAUAUCUUCAAGAAUUUCAUGGUUUAUUAACAACCUCAAUCUUUCACACCUAGCACAAUAAAUUUUUGUAAUCGCAUUCUGAGGUAGAGCGGGAAAAUAUUUUUUCAAUUUUUCAAGACUGGUGUCCAUUUUCAAAUGAGAAUUGGAGGAGAGAUUCAAAGAAAGAAGAAAGAGCAAAGAAUUGCACAAAUAUAUACAUAGAUGUCAGUUAUCAUGGGAAACUGAAAGAACCGACUUAAGAGUCAUGGAGUACCGUUAUCCGCCAUUUGACCGGGGUGAGAGACUAGCAAAACAAAAGUCACACAAAAACAAUGUGAGAAAAAGAAUCAAUCUUUAUAUACAGGAUCACCCAAUUCAAUAGAGUCAUUUUCAACUGAAAAAUUAUCAAAAUAAACUUUCAAACAAUGACCAUUUACCUUGAAAACAUUAUCAUUCUUUGGAUUUUCGAUAUCACAUGCCCCAUAUGGAUACACAUGUUUCACAAUAAAAGGACCACUACAUCUUGAUCUUAGUUUUCCAGGAAAUAAAUGGAGUCGAGAAUUAUAAAGCAAGACUUUUUGACCAACAUUGAAUGUUUUUCUCAGUACUUUUUUGUCAUGAAACUCUUUGAUUCUUGCUUUAUAAAUUCUUGAAUUGUCAUAUGCAUCAUUUCUUAUUUUCUCAAGCUCAUUUAUUUGCAAUUUUCGCAGCUGACUAGCAUCAUCAAGGUUUGAAUUGAAAGCUUUAAUAUCCCAAUAAGCUUUAUGUUCAAUUUCCACAGGCAAGUGACAAGGUUUUCCAUAGACUAGUAUAUAGGGCGACAUAACUAAUGAUGUUUUAUAAGCAGUUCGAUAAGCCCAAAGUGCAUCAUUAAGUCUUAAAGACUAGUCUUUCCGAUUAGGGUUCACUGUUUUCUCCAAGAUCUGUUUGAUCUCCCUAUUAGCAAGUUCUACCUGUCCACUCGUUUGAGGGUGAUAAGGGGUGGCAACUUUGUGUGUGAUUCCAUAUUUCUUCAUUAAAGACUCAAAUGGCUUGUUGCAGAAAUGUGUUCCACCAUCACUUAUCAUGGCUCGAGGGAUUCCAAAUCGACUUAAAAUGUUUUCUUUCAAAAACUUUAUCACUGUUUUGUGAUCAUUGUUUCGACUUGGAAUUGCCUCUAUCCAUUUUGAAACAUAAUCUACUGCGACCAAUAUGUACAAGAAACCAAAUAAUGGAGGAAAUUGACCCAUAAAAUCUAUACCCCAACAGUCAAAGAUCUCAAUGACAAGAAUAGGAUUUAAAGGCAUCAUGUGACAUUUUGAAAUAGAUCCCAACUUUUGACAAUUUUCACAAGUCUUGCAGAAUGAAGGAGUAUGCAUGAAAAUUUUAAGGUUUAAUUGGUUUAGGGAUUGACUUUGAGAAUAUGUCAUGUUGACUUUAUAGUGUUAUACCAAUGCAAGCUUUUGAGCCUUCAACAUUAUAUUCUUUGAGUGUGUAUUUUUUUUCAAUGAUAUGUAUCUCUAGAACUUGCUUCAUAUCUUAUUGAGAUUAUAUUCCAUUACAAAUAUACAUGGAGAUGAUAAAGGCAUUAGGAAUUUUAACCCCUCGAGCCAAAAAGCCAACCUAAAGCAUAUUAUCCUUAGUGAGCCCGUUUUGAGCUUGUUUAUCUUUUCUUUGCUUUAUCCAUGUAUAAGCCUUAACUUUAUAUAUGUUUUUCUUUUCCCCUGGCCAAGGAUUAGUAGAGCAUAUACUUGUAAUAUCUCAUGGAAUUAUGGUUGGAAAUUAUAUGAAAAGAAAGAAGUGAUGCUUGAUGAAAAGAUGGGCAAAGUUGACAAAAGAAAAAAAAAAGAGAAGAAUUAAAAAAAAAAACAAAUUCCUUUAUGUUCUUGAGGUUUUAUGUUGAAAGAGCUUGAAAUCAAAAGGAGUUAAACAUUGGUGCUUAAAGAUGAAAAAUUUAUGUGCUUUAAUGAAAUUAUCUUGUUUGAAAUAUUAUUUUUCAAAAUGCUCUACUUUAUUUGGUUUGAACCUUUCCUUUUACUUUCUUUUACCUCACCUUAACCUUAGCCCCAUUACAACCGGAAAAUAAGACCUUUUGAUUCAUGUAGUACUUGUAAUAAGUUGCUAAUGGAGAUGAGAUUGAAAAGCAAGCUUAUGAUAGAACAUACUCUUUGAUUGAACUUGAGAGAUUUAAACACAUAAACCCUAAACACAUGAGUGUUAGAGUGUAUAUCAAUGAGAGGACCUAUCACUUUGGCAUGGCAUAGAUUUCAUUUAAAUCCCGACGAUUGAUUAAGUUUUGAAGUUUGCAUGUAAAUAAAUUCAUGAGAAUUAUACUAUUUAUCCUUCAUGAUUGUAUUCUUGUUUAUAAUGCUUGUACUCUUGGACAUUGAUGGGAGAUUAAGAGAUUGAUCAUAGUUAUUUUCAAUUUAAUUUUAUUUAUCCUUUCUCGAGGACAAGCAAAAGCUAAGUGUGGGGGUAUUUGAUGUAACCAUAUUAUUCGAUAGUUUCACCCGCAUUUAACUAGUGUUUUGCGUAUGUUAUUUAUAUAAAAUGCCUUGAUAUUCUUUUUUUUAUGUUUUGAACGCAUUUUUGGAUGAAAGAUGCAAAACGGAGUAAAUUGGAGGUAAUUGGCAGAUUUGACGUUCAGUCGAUAUUUUGUGCAGAGAGUGAGUUCCAGAGAUUGAAAUGAAGUGAUUCCAGUGGCAUUAAAAAGCUAACAUCCAUACCUUUCUAGAAAUAUAAUGCAAGAAAAAUAAAAAGAGAAAGAUCAUGGAAAUCACAUCCUUCAAAGUCAAAUCACGCAGUCUGCCAAUGUUGACCUUUGCCCAUUCAAAAUUCAAUAUCUGGUGCUUCAGAAGUCCAAUUUAUGCAAACUCAAUUGUGUUGGAUUCCUUACUCAAAUAAAUAUAAACGCUCCAAAUUUCAGCCAAAAACGAUGUCAUAUGAGGGAGAUAUGAUUUUUCAAAGAUGACAGCUGAAUUCUGCCAGCAAGCAGGUUGCGUGAAGAAACGAAUCCAAAUUUCAUCCAGAAGCAUCCAAACCGACAUACAAGUGUUUCCAGCAAUUUAGCUCCUCUAGUAAAUAUUCUAGAAGGUCAAGGAAGGUAGCCACCAACCUCAAGGCAGCAGCCAGCCACUAGCAGCCAGCCGCCUUCACACUACCACCAUCUAUUGAUGUUCACACUUGAACUUUGAUUUUCUUACUUACAAUUUGUGUAUAAAUAGAGGGAGAGUGGAAGGAGGUGGAAGCAAGAAGAAGGGAGGAAACACAAACUCUCCUCUCUACAAAUCAGAAAUUAUGUAUUCUUUCACCUUUAGGAGUAGUUAUUCAAUACAUAUGCAAGGCUAAGCUCGUUUUCUUAGUUGCAAGGAUACAACAAACCUUCGGAUUUCAAGAACCGUGAGAUUUAUUCUUCCUUUUAUUUUCAGUUUAUGUUAUGAAUGAGUAUGAUUGUUUUCCUAUGCAUAUUUCCUAUGAUUGUUUAUCUUAAUUGCUAGAGCGGACUCUAAGUUAUUAUUGUGAACAAUCUAUUGCUAAGUUUGAUAUCAAAACCGGAGUUGUGGUAUAUAAACUUGUGAAGCAACUAAGCUUGAUAAUUGUAGCGGAACUACAUUAUUAAACUUAGGGAGAACAUUCGAUCAAAGCAACACAAACUGACAACUUGGUUGUUAAGAUUAAUGAAUUUAUCUGGAUCUUAAGGCUGCCAUUGGAUUAAAUCAUUAGUGCGGACACUGUGAUUGUUUGUUGGUUAGGGCUAGUUAUACGGCGGAUCCGUUAAUUAACCAAUAUUAAGAAAAGAUAAAAUUCAUAAUAUAAACUGGAGUUUCGUUUCAAGGAUCGGUUCUAAUUUCCGUUGGUGGUGUGUGCUUGCAACCAAGGUUUGUUUUCUUGAUAUAUUUUAGUUUCAAUUGAUUUUGUUUGCUAGUUUAAUUUCUGUCAUAGUUUAAAUCAUUGCAAAUCAAACCCCCCCAAUUACAUAACGUAUAGCAUAAAAAUCUGAACUAAACCUUCCUUGUGGGAUCGACCCCUUGCUUUCUCUAUACUAUCUUGUGUGUUGUGUUUUAAGCUAGGGUAAUUAAUUUGUGCGACCGCGACAUUGCAACACAGACAUUGUGGAGACCUGUAGUUCCUCUCCAAUUGUUUUUCCAAUGAUGUCCUCUUUUGCUAAAGCUUUGAGGAUAACCCCCAAAACUUGACUGCCUCCUAAGAAUGCAGUUGUUGACACACUCCCCAUUAACCUAAGGCUGCCUCCCCCAUAUACUAAAUGAAUCUUUCUCUCAGCUAGUAUCUGACAAAGAUGAUUUGCGGAUUCUAUAAACUCUUUUUUCUUUCCCAGGACUAGAUCCACAAAAAACUCAAAUAUUUUUUAUUUUAAGAGCUGAGGAUCCUGCCAUUUCAAGAACUGUCUAUACUUGUAGAAUGUAUGGGUUGAGUAGAAAUGAAGGGAAGAAGAAAAAGCAUUUAUAGAUGUGAAAAAGGAAAUGCAAUCAUAUCACCUAUAUGGAAGCUAGCUGGAGUCUCUCUCUCUUUCUUCUCUUUUUUUUCUUUGAAAAAAAAAUGUAUAUACAGGUAGUUGUGAUUGUGGCUCACAUAUUCCCUUGGUUUUACAUCCAAGAACGGCUUAAACGCCCUCUAUGGGUCGAGGAUAGGCUUCCCAUCCAGUUUUCUUAAAAACUAGCAAAAAGAGUCUUGUUUUUUUUUUUAGUCAGAUUCCCAAGACUAUGAUGAGCAUGUUCUUUAUAAAAAUGGGGCCAUAAAUCAUGAACUGCACGAUGCACAUCUCCACUAUGAUGAGACUUAAGAGUCAACAUAAGAUUAUCUAAAGACUCUCUAUGUUUUGAAAUAAAUCCCACCUUUUGAUAAUUUUCACAGGUUUUGCAGAAUGCAUAUGAGUGCUUGAACAUGGUGGGCCAGUAAAAUCCACUUUGUAAGAUUUUUGCAGUCAUCUUUUUUGACGAGAAAUGAUCCCCACGUGCCUUAGAGUGACAAAAUUUAAUGACACUACUUACCUCAUUGUCGGGAAUGCAUCUUUGAAAUAUUUGAUCAGGACAAUAUUUGAAUAAGUAAGGGUCAUCCCAAUAAAGGUUUUGCACGUUGCUCAAAAACUUUCUUUUAUCUUGGUUAUCCAACUGAACUGGCAAAAAUCCUGAAGCAAGAAAAUUGUUAUUUUUAGCAAACCAAGGCAUUGAACUAAGAGAAAGUAAAGAUUCAUCAAGAAAGUAAUCAUCGAUUGGUGUGAUGUCGGAUGUCGAAUCUAUUGUCAAUUUUGGCAAAUGAUUCGUGACAACAUUUUCGGUGCCUUUUUCAUCUUCGAUUGCUUCCUGUUUGGUCAUGGCAUGAGGAAAUGGAAGUGCGGGCAGGGAAUCAGCCUUUUCUUUACAAUGUUCGUAUUUAACCCCUUCCUUACCACUGCGAAGAGUGAUGUCUGAUUUAACUUGAUCCAUGUGUUGACUUCUGGAACUACUUGCAUUUACAUUGUAUUUCUCCUUUGGAUUUUGCUGUGGUUGAGAUGGAAACGUACCGUUCUCUUGAAAAUAGAGAGCAGAUGUUAACUUUGCAAGAGUAUCUUUAAAACCUGUCAUGCUUUGAUCAAGUUGAGUGUUGAUUAUCUCUUGCUUUUCAAUGAAUGAAUGCAAUGUUUCCUCAAGAUUUCUUGUAGAAGGUGGUGCAUAAGGAGGUGCAUAUCCAUGAAAAUUUUGGAAAUUAUGGUGUGCUUGAAACGAUGGCUUUGAAGUUUGUGCAUUAUUGUUAUCACUCUUCCAACUGAAAUUUGGGUGAUUUCUCCAACCAGGAUUGUAUGUUUGCGAGUAUGGGUUAUGAUUGGGCCUUUGGAAACUGUUUAAAGCAUAGCUUGUUCAUGGAGGCAUUCCUUGAAAGAAGGCAAAGUUGGACAUCAUUGGUUGCAUGUUCAUUUGUUUCACAGAUUUGACACACAAUGUCUUGAACAGAUUUUAAUUGACCACUCUUUUUCAAUUCUAGUGCCUCGACUUUUCUAGCUAAAGAUGUAAACUUGGCUUGGAGGUCAUGAUCUUCCCUAAGGUUAUACAUACCUCCACUAGAUGUAUGAGGUUGGGUUUUACUUGGUGCCUCAUAAGUGCCCUUAGUGUCCCAAUUUUGCGCAUUUUCAGCUAGCAAGUCUAGGUACUCCAUUGCUUCAUUAGGGUCUUUAUCUUCAAAAGUUCCAUUGCACAUCAAUUCAACCAUUUGCCUAUCUUUAGGUGUUAAUCCUUCAUAAAAUUGUGAAACCAAUCUCCAUGUUUCAAAACCAUGAUGAGGGCAAGUAUUAAGCAAGUCUCGAUACCUAUCCCAACAUUGGUAAAAUGUUUCUCCUGGUUUUUGAGUGAAAGUGGUGAUUUGUCUUUUGAAAGAGUUGGUUCUGUGAGAUGGAAAAAACUUCUUUAAAAAUUGUUGUUGCAUUUCAUCCCAAGCACGAAUGGAUCCUGACCUAAGAUUUUGUAGCCAUGUUUUAGCUUUAUCUUUUAAUGAAAAAGGAAAAAGCUUUAAUCUAAUGGUAUUCAUGCUACAAUUUAAGUCAUUAUAGGUGUUACAAACUUCUUCAAAUUCUCUCAAAUGCAAGUAUGGAUUUUCUAGAUCUAAGCCAUGAAAAGAAGGUAAAAGUUGAAUAAUGUCUGGCUUAAAAUUAAAAUGAGAUGCAUCAGGAGGAAAACUAUGCAUGAUGCGCACUUGUUCUUGUGGAUUCAUGUGGUCUCUAAGUGUCUAACCCAUUAUUCUCAUUAUAAAGGAUUGUUAUCUUCUUCGGCCAUUUUUCUGAAAAUGAUGAGGAUACCCUACAAAGUCUACCACUUAAUGUACGUGACCAAACACUCAUGCACGUGUAGAAAGAGAAAUAAAAGGAAGAAGAAAAGAAAAACAAAAAGAAACAAAAACAAAGAAACAAAGUAGAAAAAAAAAAUACUAUAAUUUGUACAAGAAUUUACCUCCCCGGCAACGGCGCCAAAAACUUGACACGAUCAAAAGAUUGAUGUCUUCUCCCAAGUGCAGGAGUGUCGAAGUAAUAAAUAACCCGGCAAGACCGGGGUCGAACCACAGAGAAGUUAAUUGUAUAAAUUAUAAAUAACAAGACAACAACAACAACAACAACAACAAUAAUAACAAUAACAACAACAACAACAAUAAUAACAAUAAAAAUAACAAUAACAAUAAUAAUAAUAAUAAUAAUAAUAAUAAUAAUACUCAGUACGUGGCGUUGUUAUACCUGAGAAUGAUCUAAAAGAUCGGGUCACAGGUUUCCAGCCUAUAUACUGAGUUUAUGAAAAGAUCAAAGAGAUAUAUUAUAUAAUAUAAACAGAUUUAUAAUAAAAAAAAACAAUAAUAAUAGAAUAGUAAUAUAAUAUAAAUAUAAUAAUAAAUAAUAAUAAUAAUAAUAAUAAUAAUAAUAAUAAUAAUAAUAAUAAUAUAGUAGUAUAGUAGUAGUAGUAAUAAUAAUAAUAAAUAAUAAAAAGAGGAGGGAAGAAAUUAAUGAGAACUUUGAGAUGGAAGAUUAAUGUAAGGAUUAAACAAUGAUAAAAACAAAUGUCAAGGUUAGAGGAUCCACCAAUGGUAUUUCAAACAAGUAUAGUAUAAACUCUUAUUACUCAAUUUGGAAACCACACACGAAGGAGGUUCCAUCGGAUGAUUUGUCAUUAAUAGCUCAUUAUAAAUUAUUAACAUGAUCAUAUUAAUUAUCUUAUUUACAUAACACCAAACUUUUAAAUAUUGUCAGGAAUUCAUGAUGUUAACUGAUGUUAACAACAAAUCAAGUACCUUUCAUAGCCCAGGUGUAGGUAAUACCAUACGGUUGGGCUAUGAGAGUGCCAAGCAUUUGUUGUACCAAGUAUUAUACAACACAAAUUAGAUUAACCAUUUAACAAGCAAGGUAUUAAGAAUUAGUAAGAUAAAAAGAUAAGACAUGUUAAUAUUAAACAUUAAGGUCCAUGUUGAGUUUACACAUACUUGUUCUUACACCAUUAGUGUAACCUUUUCACCUUGACAUAAUAAACUUAGCUAAACAUAAUGAAGAAGAGAAACAUAAAUAAACAAAACAAGAACAUAAAGAAAAUACAAGUUAACUAAGUAAAGGAAAGGAAAUGAAAAGCAUAAACAAGAUAUUAAUGAAAGCAAAACCUAAAAAUUACAAAAACAUAUAAAGAGAGAAAUAAAGAGCAUGAGCUUGAUCUGAACAACCAAGCCACCCAAAUACAUGGCAUAUUCCUCCUUUUAUAGGCCAAAAUUCGGAAUUAUUUUUUUUUUGAUCAAAUGUAAGUAUUGUAUAGAUCAAAAAAUUCAGAAUUAUUGAUUUGAUGACUAAUUGUUGAGUGGGUGGCCAACUUUUCACUUGGUGAAAAUCCUUAGCUUCUUGUCUGAAUAAAACAAAAAAUGCUACCAUCCGAACUGGGUCCUCUGGUAAACAUAAAGUUCUAGGAAAUUGACUCAGCUUUCCAGGAAAAAAAAAUCGAGGUCAUUUGGACUUCUAGAACUCCAGAUAUGGGCCAAACACUGAAUAGUAUUCGGGUUGUAAGACAAAUUCAGACUUCUCCGUUGUUGCUAUGAUUUGGACUUGAAAACGGCCUUGUUAGAUUUUUAUGUUCACAUGAAAGUUGUAGGCCUAUGUCUCACCAAGUUUGUGUAAAUAUUUGAGGUCAUUUGGAUAUCUAGAACUCGAGAUAUGACCCAAACACCAAACAGUGUUCCAGUUUGGACUGCACCAACAUCUCUUUUCUAAGUUCCACCCUCUCUUUAUCUUCACAAAUUUCAGUAGUUGAAUUCAUCAAUCAAUCCUUUAAUUUAUGUAUAGGCCUGCAUUUAAGAUGAACAUUUACCAUAUAUUAGGGCAUUUUAUAGUAUUAGACUUUUUAUUAUAAAACAUGCUUUAGUUAAAGAGUCAUUGAUACUUUAAGUGCAAAAUGAUGAUAUAAAACCUUGAUAAAUAUGCACUUUUAAGUACUAAUCAGAGAGAGAAGGGAGAACACAGAAGAGAGAAAGAAACAGGGGAGAAGCAAAAAGAAGAAAACGCAGCCUCUACCACCCUCCGAUCCCCAGCAGCACCGCCGACCACCGCUCCAGUUGGAAGCUCCGCCGCAUCAGCUGCUGCCAGCUUCACCACCGCUCCAGGUAACUUUCUCUGUUUCCCUAUCCCUGUCGUUCUUCGCUUCAUUUGCAUGCAAAACAUUUAUGUUCUGUAGCAAAUGAAGCUAAUUAAUUCACGGGUUACUGUGUGAACAGUAACCCCGGUUACUGUGCACAUGCACAGUAACUCGCUAAUUAAUUCACUGGUUACUGUGUGCACAGUAACAGGGUUACUGUGCACACUGUAACCGGUUCGGGCCCCAAUUUAUUUUGGGCUAAUUUUGGCCCAAUUUCAUUUUGGGCCGGGUCCGGCCCAUUAAAAAAUUAUUAUUAACAUUUGUUUUUUUUCAGAAUUUUACAAUUUCCCAGCACAUUUUCUUUUACCCAUUUUUGUUAAUAUCGGUCUGUAUUUUAUAUCGUAAAAAUACAAAUCCUGUAUUAAAAUACUCGGUUUUCGGCAAAAACUUCAAAAAAUACAAAAAACAAUUGAAAAAAAAAGAGAAAAAAUGUUUUUGUGCAUACGGCCAAAUGUCUCAAAGCUAAAAAAUCAUAUUGUAUUUUUCAUACAAAAAAAAAAAACAAUGUUUUAGCAUGCAUUUUGGCUUUAAUAACCAGUUUAUUAAAGUCAAGAGAAUAUUGGCCAAAAUUUCAAAAACAACAAAAAAUUUAUUUUGUUUGUCUCUUAGUAUCCGGGGUAUGACAUUACACAUAAUGCAUAUUCCGGAUAUUUAAUUCUUUUUUCGGACAAUAGAACCUGGGGUAUGACAUUACAUGUAAUGCGUAUUCCGAACAAUAAGAAACCACAACACGAUCUCAGAUUUUAUCAGACAUUAAAACAAUGUAGCCUACCUUAGGUAGGGCGUAGUUGGGGUGCUAAUACCUUCCCUUUACGCAACCAGUCUUCGUACCCGAUCUCUAAAGACUAGUUAGGGUUCCUAGUAACCAGAAUACUAGGUGGCGACUCCCAUUCAAAUUUUUCACUGAUAGGAGACAAGAAUUCCUUGUCUCUACAUCUUUGCCAGGAAUAAAUCCAUAUUCAACAUUUGUUUUCCUGGAGGGUGGACGAUCGCCGCACAUGUGCGACAAGUAAUAGGAGAAUGGGAGAAACGGUGGUUGGGUCAACUUCUAGUGCUAGCAACGUGCAUGAAGCGGAAAAUGACAACACUAAUCCUUACAGAAACAUGGUUAUGGAUGCAAUGAGAAUGAAUCAAGGUAAUGUCAGUCAAUGUCCAAUCGUAGAAGAAGAACCUAAUGCAGAGGCAGCUAGGUUUUUUGAUUUGUUGAAAGAUUCUAAUGAACCAUUAUGGGAUGGCUGCACAAACCACAGUAAAUUGUCGGUCGUGGCACAAGUGUUCACCAUCAAGUCAGAUCACGGGCUGAGUGAGGUCGGGUAUGACAAAAUUAUUGAUUGGGCAAGAAGCAUUUUACCUGAAGGGAACAGGCUCAAGAGAUCUUCUAUGCUGCGAAGUCCAUGAUGAAACCCCUCGGUUUAGGAUACCAGAAAAUUGACAUGUGCCCUAACUUCUGCAUGUUAUACUACCUUGAAAAUGCUGAGAUGACCGAGUGCAUGACAUGCGGGCAUUCCGUUACAAACCCAGAACUGGCAGGGGAAGACUCUAGUGGCGUAUAAAAAACUUAGAUAUUUCCCGAUCACACCUAGACUGCAGAGGUUAUUCAUGUCAUGAAGGACUGCUGAGCACAUGACAUGGCACCAAACACAUGAUGCAGUUGAUGGUGUGAUGGUGCAUCCUUUUGACGGCGAAGCGUGGAAACGUUUUAACAGUGUGCAUCCUGACUUUUCAGCUGAAUCAAGGAAUAUCUGUCUUAGGUUGUGUAUAGACGGAUUCAACCCAUUUGGGUCAUUUGUUGCUCCCUAUUCUUGUUGGCCGAUCAUACUCAUAGUUUAUAUCUUGCCACCGGGAAUGUGUAUGAGGCCGGAGUUCAUGUUUCUAUCUACUAUCAUACCCAGUCCAAGCAGCCCGGGGCGGAAUAUAGAUGUUUGUCUUCGAUCGUUGAUAGAUGAGCUGGAGCAGUUGUGGUCCUCUAGAGCUCUGACUUAUGAUAUAUCGAGGAAACAAAAUUUCCUUAUGAGGGCGGCUUUGAUGUGGACUAUCAAUGAUUUUCCAGCUUAUGGAAUGCUUUCUUGUUGGAGCACGCAUGGAAAACUCGCAUGUUCAUACUGCAUGGAAAACAACAAGGCAUUCACGCUAGCAAACGAAGGUAAAGCUUCUUUUUUUGACUGUCACCGUCGCUUCUUGCCACUUAAUCACAAGUUCAGAAAGAACAGAAAAGAUUUCUUUGUUGGCAGAGUUGAAAAAGAUGUUGCAUCCCCCGUCUUUCUGGUGAAGAAUUGCAUCAUGUUGUAUCAGAGUACGGUGACAUUGUGUUUGGCCUUCAAUCAGGUAAGCAAAAGUUUCCUAGUUUUGGUUUGACCCAUAAUUGGGUAAAGCGAAGUAUCUUUUAGGAGCUUCCUUAUUGGAAGACCAAUCUUCUCCGCCAUAACCUUGACGUCAUGCACAUCGAAAAGAACGUGUUUGAGAAUAUUUUCAACACCGUCAUGGAUGUGAAGGGGAAGACAAAGGACAACAUCAAGUCUAGAUUGGAUAUAGCUUUAUACUGUAACCGUAAAAAUAUGGAGUUGGUUUAUGAGAGUCACGGGUCAAAACCAAGGGCAAGCUUCGUGUUAGAGAAAAACGCACAACUGCUAGUCUACAAAUGGCUUAAGAGUCUGCGUUUUCCGGAUGGACAUGCAUCGAACAUAUCAAGGCUUGUUAACAUAGAGGACUGCAGAUUGUAUGGAAUGAAGAGUCAUGACUGCCACGUGUUUAUGCAAACACUCAUCCCAUUAGCUUUUCGUGAUUUGUUGCCAAAGGGAAUAUGGGAUGCACUGACGGAGAUCAGUCAUUUCUUCAGAGAUAUAUGCUCCAGCAAGUUGAAUGUUGAGCACAUUGAGAGGCUUCAAACGAAUAUCAUCGAGACACUAUGCAAACUUGAGAUGAUAUUCCCUCCUUCAUUUUUUGACUCAAUGGAGCAUCUCCCUAUACAUCUACCGUUCGAGGCAAAAGCUGGAGGACCGGUCCAGUAUAGAUGGAUGUACCCAUUCGAACGGUGAGAUAUUACAGUUGCAAUGGAAUUCAUAUCUUAAAAUUUUCUAUGUUUUUCUUAAUUGAAAUACUUGAAUUGUAAUUCAAUGCAGGUACUUGUUUAAUCUCAAAAAAAAGGUUAAGAACAAGGCGCAUGUUGAGGCUUCGAUAUGUGAGGCCUAUAUUGUUGAAGAGAUAUCAACAUUUAUCUCGUACUAUUUCGAACCUCAUAUGAGAACAAGAAUCAAUCGCGUUCCACGACAUGACGAUGGCGGUGAAGUGCCUUCUAGUGGGAACUUGUCAAUAUUCUCCAAUACUGGACGACCCACACCUAAAAAUGCCGUAAGAGGAAGAUAUUUGUCGAAAAUAGAAUUCAAACAAGCACACAACUAUGUUAUAUUUAACUGUGAUGAGCUGAGACCAUUUGUUCAGUAAGUUUAUAUAUGUAUAAUACUAAUUAAACUUUGUCAGUCAAAUAUUGGUAAUUAUAUAUUGUGAAAUCAUACACUCAUUAUCACUUGUAGGCAACAUCGACAAUAUUUGCUCUCCAAUAACUCGCAACUGACCGACUCCCAGAUCUUUCAAUACAAGAUGAACAAUUUGCCACAUGGUUCAGAACACAUGUAAGCACUAUCACAAACUCAUUCUAACUUGCAAAAUUAUUGUACGUAUGCAUGUCAUUACGAGAUUCUUGUUCAUUUACCGCUUAUUGACGUACAUUACAUGUAUCAAGGUUUAUCAAACGGGAAGAAGUGUGUCUAAGUCAUUGUCAAUGGAUAUGUUUUCCAUACUGAAGAAUACGAGUAAGGAAGAAAGACAUACAACUGCGGUGUUUGUGUUAAAGGAUUCACAAGUAGUGAGUUAGAAGUUGACUACUAUGGUAGAUUAGAAGAGGUUGUCGAACUACAAUAUCAUAGCGAGCAGAAUACAGUGUUUUUAUUCAAAUGCUAUUCGUAUGACACGACGAACAGAGGAAUCAGAGUUGAUACGCACCAUGUUCUGGUCGAAAUCAACUCAAAAGCUAGACUUCGCAACAUAAACGAUGUCUUUGUUUUCACAAAGCAAUGUCAACAAGUUUAUUACAUAUACACCCCUUCAUUUAGAAAGGAUCGAUCAAGAGUUGAUUGGUUGUUCGUUUUAAAAACGAAACCACGGGGUCGUGUCGAGGUUGUUCAGGAUGAGAACGAAGAAACAAGUGUGCGGGAUGAAGUAUUUCAAGUUAGUGAGUUGGUUGAACCAUAUCGAGUUGCUCCUUCGAUUGAAUUGGAAGAAAAUUCAGAUUUUCGUGUUCCGAUGAUAGUCUUGUUGAUGUGUGACGUAGAGGAGUUGAACGUUGUUUUGAGCUCUAACGGACAAGCAAAUGUCGAUGAAGAAGAUGAUAUCCAUAUUGAAGAUUGCGAUGAAGGUGAUGGCUAUUCAAUUGAUGACGAAGAAGAAGAAGAUAAUUCUGACUAAUUUUGUGUAAAACCCUUUUCUUAAUGUAAUUUACAUUAUGGAUGAUAUAUUUUGAAACAUGAAAUAUAUAUUUAUUGUUUAAGCAUUGUUGCUAUUCUUUUGUGCGAUGGACAGUUUGUCAUUGAAUUUUUUGCAGGAAGGUAAACAGAAAAUACAAACACAACACCUAAUGUACAUUGAACAAUCAUCGACGUCCAUACCGACGGAAAGUAGUCCGUCGGCAUCUCACAGAGAGUUCAAAAAUAAUUACACCGAAAUACCACAAUCACCGACGUCCAUACCAACGGAAAGUAGUCCGUCGACAACUCACAGAGAGUUCGAAAAUAAUUACACCGAAAUGCCACAAUCACCGACGUUCAUACCGACAGAAAGUAGUCCGUCGGCAUCUCACAGAGAAUUCGAAAAUAAUUACACCGAAAUGCCACCAUCACCGACGUCCAUACUGACGAAAAGUAGUCCGUCAGCAUCUCACAGAGAGUUCGAAAAUAAUUACACCGAAAUGCCACCAUCACCAACAUCCAUACCGACGAAUUUAUCGACGUUCAUACCAAUAUAAUUAAUCCGUCGGUAAGUUGUCGGUGGCAAAUUUUACCGAUAAAAAUACCGACGGAAUACGCGAAUUCCAAAGGGUGUGAAUUGAGUGUAGCUCUGACGUGUCGUAUUACCGACGGAAUCACCGACGGACCGCGAAAAAUUUGGAGGGCAAUUGAAAAAUUCGGUGUGAAAUUUAAAAAUUACCGACAGAUUGUUGACCUUUUACCGACGGAUUUAAAAAAUUAAUAAUAUUUUUUUAAUAUCCAUCGGUAAAUCUGCCAUAUAACCUAUAACUUCCAACGCCCGCAGCUUCCUCUCAUUUUUUCUUCUCCUCCAUUUUUCUUCUCCUCCGCUGCCCUAUAAUUUUUAGUUUUUUGCUCUCAAUCCUUCAAGGCUUUCACCUUGAAUCUCUUGCAAGAUUUGAAUAAAGGUAUGUGGUUUUUUCUAUUUUAUUUUAUUUUCUUUUAUUUUAGUUGUAGUUGUUUUUAUUUUUGUUAUUUUGUUGUUUUGGUGUAUUUUUUGUAAUGUAGAUAAAGUUUUGAAUUGGACAUAUUAUUAAGGUAUGUAUAUUUCGUUCCUUUUCUUGAUGUAGGUUUUUUUUUUGAAUUUUUUUAACAUUUUUUAUUGUUGUGUUGUUAUAAUUGGUAUUAGUUAAUUUAUUGGAUAUUUGUUGUUAAAGUUGAAUUUAACUUAGAAUUAGUAAUUGACUAUAUUAGAAUAAUUAGUAAUUUUACUCUAUUAUUGCAUGAUUUGUAUUUAAUUAUUUCCAUUGAUUUUAAUUGUUAGUCUAUAUAUUUUUUUUAAUUUAUUGAAUAUAAUUUAUUGUUGUAUUGCCAUAUAUAAUUAUUGAUUAAUUUGUUGAAUUAAUAUUGUUAAUGUUAAAUUUACCUUAGAAUUAAUAAUUGCAUUUAUUAAAAUAAUUACACCGAAGUAUGUAAACUAACUAAAAUAUGUCCUCUCGAAUCCAACACUCUUAUUCUAAAUGUAAGGAUUGGGCCUAGUUGUCAGGUUUAAAUCCAAAAUCAUUGUCUUAGAUUUUGCCGGUCCUUUUACCAUAAAUGUAUGUAUAUGUUUAGACAAAGACUUAGUAUAUAAGCAUCAUGAGUAUAUUUUGUCAUAAAAAUACAAACAUAAAAAUACAAUCAUGAAACAACUUAUAUCGAAGUAAGAUGCCUUAAAAUGAAUUUCAUCUUUCACCUAGCAUAAUCAAUUAUUUACUUAAUAAUCUCUAAUACACUAAUUACGGCUUUAUAAUUAUUAUAAAAUUAUAUGGUGGUUCAUUUUUUUUCUUUUUAGUUUAUCGAGAUAUCUCCUACAACAAUUACUAAUAAUUUAGUAUUGUUAGUGACUUCAUUGUUGAAGGUACAUAAUAGGAACUAAAAAGUAUAGUAAUUAUAUAUAACACUUUCUAUUUCAAAGUUACAUCCUGUUAUUUAAGAAAAUAUGUAUUUUUACCAAAAAUAAUAAAAGAGUUGAAUUUAAAUCACUUGCUUACACUGUGUAAAUGAACUUUGCAAGCACUCUUAAUUUUUUCUUUAAUUUUUUUUAAAUUUUAUUUUUUAAUAUUUGGUUAAUUUUAAAAUAUAUUCUUGAAAAAUCAAACACUAACCAAAUACUAAAAUAUUUAUUUAAGACCGCGAAAACCUCAUAAAAUAUAAACCAAAAUAAAGUUAUUAAAUCCAAUAAAAUUAAUAAUUAGGAUUGUGGGUUUGACAGGUUAAGUUGUGAAGCCCAGAUAAAUCCAUUAUGUUCUCAUCUUAAUAUUACAAAAAAAAAUAUAUUACAUUUGAACUCACCAAGUCAACUGGGUCAUAUUUAGGUAAUUCACACAUGAUUUAAUUUGAAAAUCAGGUAAGGAGGUUUGAAGAUUGACUCCAUACGUCAGAUUUAAUAAUAAUACCAAAAAGUUUCUUAUAAGAUGGAUAUUUUUUCAUGUAUAAUUUUUUUUUUAUUUAAACAACAACGUAGUGCAAUCUAGUAAACUAGUAAAGUACUAUGAAGUUUGGAGCAAAAAAAUUUAAAAUAAAAUCCUUCAAACAUAUGUUUUUUUAUAAUAAUUUUAUUAUUAUUGUUGUUGUUAUAUUUUUAAAGGAAUAUAUUAGUCAUAAUUAAAAAAAAGUAUUGAAGUAGAAAUAACACCAUUCUAUUAAAUUAGUCAAAGUAGUGGGUAUUUCUUUGUCAAGCAACCAUCAUCCGAACCGAUUUCAUUUGUUGUCACAUAAGAAUCAAGUGGAAGAACUCGUUGAUUUCUUGACUUUAUGGUAAUGAAAGAUAAUCACUAAGAAAAGUCGUCGCAAAUAUCACUCGUUUCAGCCGACCAAGGAAGGAUCCUCAAAGUUUUCAUGAUAUGAAAUAACCAUGAUUUUCCACCAACUAAUUAACUAAUACUUAAUAAUGUUGCAUGCCCACUCUCCCUCCUAAUUUCCUAUAUAUAUAGCCCAAGUUAUUAAAUUUAAAUUGGAUAAUAGAUUUAAAAAAAAAAACUUUUUAUUAAAAAAAUCAAAAUAGAUUUUUAUUUAAUUAAUUAAGUCACUCAUAUUCAAUUAAGUCUAGUGUAAGACAUCAGGUUUAAUAAUAUUAAGAUGGUAUUUGACACUUUAUAAUUGAACCGUGUUUUUUAAGAAUUUUGAUUUUUUAAAAUUAUAUUUUAUAUUGUUUUAAUAUAUUAAAAAUAAAAAUAAUUUUUUUAUAUAUUUUCAAAUAAAAAUAUCUUACCACCCUCCCUUGAACGAGAGCGACUCCGGAGACCGAAAAAAAGACGAAAUUGUGUCUUGGGAUUUGGUGGUGGGUGUCCACUAAUAAGACGUGUGAAGAGCGUCCAUGAAAAUGCAUUCAGCAUAACCAACACAAUAAUUCUGACUUGCUCCCUUGUGUGGACGAACAUACCUAAAAGGCUAAAAGCCCAAUGCUAAAGUUACGAAAGCGUGUGGACCUCUGUGGAUAAACAGGGAUGACGUGUUAUUUGCCUAUUGGUGUUGGACAUCUUGGAUCCCUAAACAACAAGGCAUUAAACUUUUGAAAAUACGGUUGUAUUCGAGUUUUCAAAAUAAUCAAUUUUUUUAUAUAUUUUAAAUUGUUUUGAUAUAUUAAUUUUAAAAAUAAUUUUUUAAAAAAUAAAAAAUAUUAUUUUAAUACAUUUUAAUAUGAAAAUACUCCUAAAUAAACUAAUACAUUUUCCUUGCUUCUUUUUAAACCAUACAUUCAUAUUAUAAUUCGAUUUUAAAUAGAUCAUUAACCAAAUUUAUAUCUACAUAUUUUAAAAAGUUGUACAUUUAACGUCUUGUUUGCUUUUAUAUUUCAAAAGUUAUUUUAAAAAAUAUUUUUUUUUUAUUUUAAAUUAAUAUUUUAUUGGUAUUUUUAGAUAUUUUGAUGUAUUGAUUUCAAAAUUAAUUUUAAAAAUAAAAAAAAAUUAUUUUAAUAUACUUUUAAGUGAAAAACAUUUUAAAAAACAACCAUAAUCAUAUUAUAAGACAUGCAAAAUAAAAAAGAUAAAAAAAAAAAAAAAUUAUGUCGUUAUCUUAAAGAAACCAUGCUAGAGAAACCCAUGAGUCUUCAUGUCAUCUUCAAUGACAUCAGCUAGAAUGAAACAUCGAGGAAAGGAGGAGAAGGCUUCCAAACGUAUUUUCCUCUUAAAGCUAUUUUAAAGCUCUGAAUGGGAUAAUUGCAAAUCAAACACUGUAUUAUUGGUGCCUGGGGCUGAGUGAAAGCGUGUAAACAACAGGAAAAAGACAUGGAAAAACAAAUCCUCUCCAGCACAGUACCAUCAAGGAAAAACACACACAGUGCUGUGAAAAUCCUUCAUAAAUCUUCCUUCUUCUGCCUGCGCCGUGAAAUGGACAUGAUCUUAAUCCGGUUUAUGGUGUUUGUAAUAAAUUAUUAAUAAAUUGUAAUCUGUUAUCUUUAAAAAACAAUUAUUAAUAAAUUUCAUCUAUUAGACUUCAAUGGAAAAUGUCAUUUUGAAGAGCCAAAUGAAGAAAAUAGCUUUUUGAAUAGUGUAAAUAUAGCUUUUUGUAUUAAAUGCAUUCCAAUGGUAAAAAGCUAUUUAGAAAAGCCAUUUAUAUUUUAAUAUAUUUCAUGUUAAAUUAAUUUUAAUAUAAUUAUAUAAAUAAUUUAGAUAUUUUAUAUAUAAUAUAAUUAUGAUGUUAUUAAUUAUAUAAUUAAUAUGAGUAAUUUAUAAAAGUAAUAUAAAAUUAAUAAUAAAUAAAAGUUAAAAAAUAUAAUUAAAAUUAAAUUUAAAAUUUAUUUAUAUGAAUAUUUUUAAUUUUAAGUUUUAUAUGUUAUUGUUAAAAAUUUAAUUUUUUAAAAGUCAAAUUCAAACUUAUAAAAGUAUUACGAAUUGAUAUCAAUUUCAUAACAAGAAGCUCACAUUUAAUGUUUAGCAAUUUUGUAGUUUUAUACAUGCGAAUUAAUAAUAAGCAUUGCCUUCUACUUGUUCUAACAUAACAAUUUGACCAUUUUUGAAAAAAAGAGAAUCGAUAUACUGGUUUAAUUGUAUUUCAAGAAGACAAAAUAAUUGACCUCAAAUUAAAACAGACAAUCAAAAAUAAAUUUUAAAUAUGCAACUCUAUCUUUUUAUCAAUAUCAACUACCAUUAUUAAUUUCUCUCAAUUUUAUCAAAGAUAACAACAUAAAUAAAAAUUGUCAUACUUAACCCAUAUUAAAAACAUAAAAUAAUAAAGAAAUAAAACUCAUCACAAAUAUUAAAUUAACAAAAAAAAUUCUAAAAAAUCAAGAGAUAUUAAAACGAAAAUAGAAAAAGCUUUUAAACAAGCAUACCUUUUAAUUUCAGCUAAUUAACACAACCGAUGUUAAUAAUUAACCGGAAAAUAAUCGAUUCUUGUUUUUUAAAAUUUAAGAGAAGGGUGAGGCACAAUACAAAAAUUUAAAACUACAAGUUUUUUUUUCAUGUAUUUAUAGAUAAAAUUUUCUAUGUUUAAAAAAAAAAAAAACUGUUGAUAGCCGUUGGUCAUUUUGGCCAUUUCUACAGUUAAAUGUAGAAAUGGCUCUUGACAAAGCAAAAAGCUAUUUUGACUAUUGCUUUGCCUCUGCCGUUGGAAUGUCUAUAAUAAAAAAAAUAAAAGGCAUCUGUACUAUGCCUCUUCAUUUGCCAGCUGCUGCCCUUAUAAUUGAAUUUUUAAGUUGAGUUAUUCCUGGACAAGAACAUCAAUCGGUCUGGUACAUAAGAUACUAAAAUAUAUUCAGUUUGGGUGAAAAACACAUGUCAGAAGCCGGCUUGAGCAAUUAAUUUAAUUAAAAGUCUGAGAAAUUUUUCAAUCGUGCACACAACAUCGUAGGAGUAUCGUUUUUUAUGAAAUUUAAUGGCAUCUUACCCUACAACGAUGCUUCGUUUGGUCCACUUGACACCUACUCCUCACCUUCAAGGCAGAGGCAAGUCAAAGACGUGUGUCAGCUAUAGUUCAGGUCAAAAUUUUAUUAAUAUUUUUUUAUUAAUUUUAUGUAAGAAAAUAUUUAUAAUUUUUAAUUGAAUUAUUAAAAAAAUUUAAAAAUUUGUAUGGAGUUUUCUAAUAUCAUAUUUUAGCUUCAGUUUAAAUUUUAGAAUUUUAAAAAAAUUCUUAAUGAAAAAUUAUAAUGUGACUAGUUUUAUGUUAUUAGGUGUAAUUUUUAAUCCAACCAUCAGAUUGAGUUAAAAUUUUACGAGGUAUCUUAAAAUAUAUUGAAUUAAAUAUGGUUAAAAUUUUAGAAUAAACAGAGCUUGGUAGUACUAAAAAAAAUCAUUAAAUAAAAGUAAAAUGACUCAUUAAAGGUAAAAUAAUUAUUUACUAUUAAAUAAUUAUUUAUUAUUAUUAUUAUAAAAGCAAAACGACUGGCAGAAGCAAAUUAAAAAAAGGAAAAAAACAAAAAAAAACGGCUCAUUAAGGUGAGUCACCUUGUAUUCUAUUUCGUCCCAAUUAUGCCAUUUUCCAGCACUUUUUUACAUGUAAAAUUAAAUUCAACUCUCGAAUUUGAUAAAACAAAGUAGUAUUUAUAUCAAAAUGAUGAGAUUUACGUGUAUCUAAAUUGUUAAAAUUUAUAAAUAUUAUAUUUUAGUGACUUAAUAUAAUGCGCAAUUAUUUCCGAUCUAUAACCUCAUCUUUGAGGUGUGAAAUUAAAGUUAUGUUAUAAUAAUAAUAAUAAUAAUAAUGAUAAUAAUAAUUUUAAGAGAAUGGUAGGAUAUGUUUUUUUUUUUUAAUUUUUGAAUUCAAAGUCGGCGGCAAUCAUUAAUUUUAUUCUUGAUGCCCUAGAUUGAUGCGAAGAAUGUGUACUUCAAAUAAUUAAAGAAAAAAACUCAGUAUUGAGUGGAAAAAAAAAUUAAUUGAAUAUAUAAAUCACAAAUUUAUCAUAUCAACUCUGACAUUUUAGGGUUUUCUUAGGAAAAACUAUUUUAAAUUUUUUUUUUAAAAUCUAAUACAUGCUCAAAAAAUUCACUUUCCAAUACAAAACGACCUUUGUCUAAAUCUCUGUAAAUUAAAAUCAUACUAGACAGAAUUAAGAAGGAGAAAAAAUAAUAAGAUAUUCAUUUCAUUAUAUACAAGUCAAAGCUAAACAUUUGAGCCCAAGGCGGCGUCCAACGAGUGCCCACACUCUGCCCCACUUAGAGCGUGUUUGGUAGUGUGGUAGUGGUUGCUUUUCAAAUAGCUUUUCGUGCCGAAAUGCAUGCUAAUGAUGUUUUUUUAUUUUUUAAAAAUCAUUUUUGACAUCAGCACAUCAAAACGAUCCAAAAAGUACAAACUGAACUCAAUUUUAGCAAAAAAAAAAUAAAAUUGAAAUUUGACGAAACGCAGUUUCGACCGCACUACCAAACGGUCCCUUAAGCGACUGAAAAUCGCCGCCUGUCUUCUCCAUGUGACAACCGCCACGUAGCUUUUUAAUCGUCCACCGUUGAUUUUAGCACCGAGUUUGCUGAGGCAUCGACUCAUCCUGCCCUCGUUCAAUAUCCAUCUCAGUCGUCCCUGACUCACCACCGCAACUCACAGAGCUAGCCACGUUAGGAGACGCAGCACCUCUUCUUUUCCUUCUUAGCAUCCUCUUAAAAGACAGCAUCCGACUCAUUGGCGAUCUAAACGCGUGACUCGCUGAUGGUGACUCAGUGUUUGACUCAUGCUCAAAAUUCCCAUUUCUCCUAGGCUCAAAAUUGUUAGUUUAUAUUUUUUAAAAAUUUAUUGAAUAUAUUUUACUGUUGUAUUGCCAUAAUGAAUAUUUAAUAAUUUGUUGAAUUAAUAUUGUUAAUGUUGAAUUUAUCUUAGAUUUAGUAAUUGAAUAUGUUGGAAGAAUUAUUAAUUUUACUCUAACUUGAUGAUUUGUGUUUAAUUGUUUUUAUUUAUUUUGAAUUUAUAGUUUUUUUGUAUUGACAUAAUUAUUGAAUAAUUUGUUGAAUUGUAAUUGUUAAUGUGAAUUUACCUUAGGAUUAGUAAUUGAAUAUGUUGGAAUAAUUAGUAUAGAUUGGGUCAAUUUGUUGUGGCUAUUGUUAAUAUUUGCAGGUUUGUGGAUUUGGGUAGUAUCCAAGUAUAGGGAAGGUGCUGCCAAUUUUUUUUUAACAUUUCAAUUGAAUUAUAUAAUUAUUAAUAUAAAAUUGGUUAGAUGCAGAGAAUGAAAACCAGAGCUACACAUACGCGUACGGUCGCAUCUAGUUCGUCUAGCAGCGACGAAGACAUUUCCUUAGGUGCCUCUCAAGAAGAGGCACCUACACCACUUGCGCCGUCAGCUGAUGCUGCCACUUCCAGCGAUGUUUCACGUCGCAGAAGCGGCAUGCCUUCGCAGCGGAAUCGAUGGACCCGCAAGUACGAGGCACAAUGGAAAGACGAUCUUUCAAUAUAAGUUUGUUAAGGUUUUAAUUUUUUUUUUUAAAAAAAAAAUUUAAAGCAAAUUUAUGAAGUCACUAUUUAAUUAAUUUCAAUUCUUUUCAGGUUCACAAACAUUGAGGCCGCCCGAGUAAUAUCAUCGGCGUUUAAAGCGUCGAUGGAGAUUCCAUUGUUUCAAUGGAGUCAGAUAUCCAGGCAUCCUGAAUAGAUGCCUCAAAUCAAUGCAUGGUUUUCCAGAUUUAAGGUUCGUGUUAAUAUAUAAUUUUCAGCUUAUUUCUAAUAAAUUCUUAAUAUAAUUGUAAAUAAAUUAUUAACAUUUUUAAAAAUUAUUUUUUAUACACAGAAUCGAUUCUGCUGGAACGACGAACAUAACAAUGUUAUGAGGAGGGUGUGGGAAAAUCACGCGGCAACUAGGUAACAUCGAAAACAAUACAACCUUUUUUUACAAAAAAAAUUAUGUUUCGAAAUGUAAUUUUUGAUUGCGUUAAGUAGGUUGCGUGAUUUUUGGUACGAAGCCCAAAAAAAGGUAAAAAAAAUUGUGAGGGAUAGGGGGUUCUAAGGCUGGAACGAUGUUGCGGUUUAGAGGGAUUUCAAACCGAUAUACAUCCCAGAGGAUAUAUGGCCGCACUAUCUUGAGCACGUGACGUCUGAGCGGUUCACACGACGCUCAUAGUCCGGUGCUGGCAACCAGAAUCGGCCAAUUCAUGGCUCGGUGACAACGCACACCGGCGGCUCCGUUCCGUUUGUUGCACAUGCGAAAUGGAUGGUAAGAUUAAUUUAAAUGAAAUAUAUCGUUCAAUUAAUUUGUUGUUAAUAUUUUUUUUUCAUUAUAGGCUACGUCUCUUGGACAUGAGCCAAGCCCUAUGGAGCUGUUUGUGGAGACGCACGUGCGGAGUCAAGACCGCCAAAAGGGGGUGCAACAGUUCGUUGACAGCCGCUCUCAACAUUUUGUGGUAUGUUUAUUCAACCAUUUUAUUUUGUAAGUUAUUAUUAUGUUUAUUGAAUUGAAUAUGAUGAUUACUUUUUUUUUAUUUUCAGGAGACCUAUAAUAAUCGGUUGAGGGAGACAUAUGGGGAUGAUCCUUCGACCCAUCCGGAAUUCGAUCCGGAUUUGUGGAUGGAGGCGGGAUCGUCAGGUGAACCAUAUAAGAAUCGGGUUUACAGGCUCUUCAACACUAGGGUCGACAACUUGCGGACGACCUGUAUUGCUUCAACCGUCAGGAGCUCCCAAUCAGUAUCGAGCUCCCAAUCUAAGGAGUUUGUGGCCUUGCAGCAAAGGUGCGACCAGAUAUCAGAGGCGUACACACAACUCAAAGAACAAUACAUAGCAGAUUUUGCACAACAAAGAGCGGCCUAUGAAGAGUUUCGUCAAAUGGUCAUAAACAUGUCACAAGGUGAAACAUGUGCACCCAAUCCAAGUUAGCCGCAUAACAGCCAGCCUCCUCCUCCUCCUGAUCCUCCUCAUCCUCCUUUAUAUUAAUUUUUGAUAAACAUUAUUUACAUUUAAAAUUUCAUUUAAUGUUUUUUUGAAACAUUUCAUUUUGUAAUGAAUAUUAUUUAUCUUUCAUUUUUUGUUUUUGAUGCUUAAUAUAAAUUUUAUUUGCAUAAUUGGUUUUUAUUACCAUUAAUUUAUAUCAUUUUAUAUUAUGUAUUCUAAAUAAUUAUAUAUAAAAAAAAAACAAAUUACAAAGGGAUUUACCGACAGAAUACAUCUGUCGGCAUUAGACGGUAGCCGCGACCAUCACCGACAAAUUUCCAGACGGAUAAAUUCGGUCGGUGUUUUCAUGACUCACCAACAGAUUUACCGACGGAUUAAUUCCGUCGGUAUUAUAUAUUACUGACGAAUUCACAGACGGUAUAUUCUGUCGGUGUUUCAACAAUUCACCGACUAAGUUACCGACGGAAAGUAACCGUCGGUGAAUUGUGAUAUCACCGACGAAAUAAAAAUCCGUCGGUAUUAUUGAAGUGGGAAAUUUUUUUUGUUUGGCGCACAAAUUCCGUCUGUAAAACCAUCGGUAAAUGGUUUUUUUGUUUUGCCGACCGAUAUAGCGACGGAAUGGGGAAUCACCGACGGACGUAUUCCGUCGGUCAUUUAGUCGGUAGAUAUUUUAUCGACGUCCUAUCAAUCACAGACCGACGGAAUAUUUCCGUCAGUAAAACUGUGAAUUCUUGUUGUGAUUGAAGAGAGCUUUCGUGUAAAAAUUCAUGUGUAGACAAGUGACUUGAAGCUUAGAAUACGCAAGAGGUUCAACAUUGGUCGACAGACUAGUAACCAAAUCUCGAAAUUCAUCACGAAAACCCCGAAAAACAUAGAGAUUGAAGUUAGUAAGGGAGAUAGGUCUAUCUGUUGCGGCUAGUUCGUCAAAUAAGCCCUUAGCUUUCUGCAAGUAUAGAGUGACAAUAUCAUCACCUUGACGAAGAUCCUGGAGAGAGCCAUGUAAUUGCAUUAUCCUAGAGUUGGAUGGAGAGGCAAGGGCAUGUUUUAAGAUGCUCCAAACACUUGCCGAAGUUGGGCAGUCCACCACAAGGUGAAGAACAUCAAUGGAGAGGGAUGAGAGCAAAGCAUUGAAUAUGAGUUCAUCUUGUUGUUUUCAUGUGAGAAACGCUUGAGAAGGACAAUAAUUAAUGUUGGCAGAGGCAGUAGUAUAGUGAGUGGACAGAUCAAGUGUAGAAGGGUAGGAAUGCAAGCCAUCAACAAAUGAGAACACCCCAUGGCCAAUCAGAUAUGGCUUCAUCUGCAUACAUCAAAAUAGAUAAUUGGAAUCGGUGAGUUUGGGGUUGAUGACCUGCUGUGUAUUUGAGAGGGGAAUAACAGUUACUGUCGCAGCAGAGGGAAGCAUGACUGCAUUGAUGUUGGGAGAAAAAGCGCUGACAUUGGUGUUGGGAGAAGGACUGCCAGUGGUUGCCAGCUGCAGCAAAAACCGAAGGAUCCAUAUUGUAGCAGAUGGUAGAAAAUAGAAGCUGACAGCAGAUAGUUGCAGGGAAGCCGAAAGAGUAGCAAAGAAAACAGCAGAAAACGUUGACUUCGGAGCAGAAACAGUAAUAAAAAAUCAGUAAUAACACGCUGAUGGCUGAAGCAGAGAAGCAUUAUCAAUCAAAAAAUCAACAGAAGAAGCAGAAUCAACGUUGCAGAUCGUGAGGCUAAAUUAAACAGUAGCACAAUGAAGCAAGUAAUUAGCUAAUUAGAGGGGCUGCCAUUUGAAGAAUAAUUAGCUGAUGAAGGAGUCGCAAUUAGAUUUUGUUGAAUAAAAACAAUAGAGGGGCUGCCAUUUGAAAAUAUAUCUGUUAAAGAUAAUUGGUUUUGAAUACAAGUUAAAAUAAUAUUUUGUGCUAAUUGAGAGGCUUAAUCUAAUAAGAUAGCCACCUCUUUUAUUUAUUAAAGAACUCUAAAACGCGUAGGGAAAGCACUUAGCUUUCCACGCCUUCUAUGCAUCAGUGAAUGAAAGUUUUUUUUUUUUUUCCUUUCACACCUCACUUUACUCAUUUUAAAUAUAUUAUUAUUAUAAUAUUAUAUUAUAUUAUUUAACUGUUUUAAUUUUUUUUGUUUUUUUAAUGAAUUGUUUUUGUUUGAUUUAGUUUGUUGAUGUUAAAUUUUUUCUAUUUAAUUAUCAGACUUUCACAAUAUAUAUCCUGUCUUGACGGGUUAACUUGGUUUGAUUGGUUAACCUAGUUAACUUUAGGUAAACCCGUUAAUUUUUUAUUAUUUAGUUAUCAAACUUUCAUGAUGCGAAUUCAAGAUUUGACAGGUUAAUCCAGUUAAUUCAUAUUUUUUUUCUUUUUUUUCAUUAGUUUUUUUUUCUAUUGUUUUUUUAUUUGUUUUUUUAUUUUUAAUCAAUCUAUUUUAUUAUCACACUUAUAUGACACGACCUUGCAGCCAGACCUACAUCCACUAUUGAAUCUGGUAUUGCAGCCACCCCACUUAAACUUGGGUCAUCUAAGUUUAAUGUUAUUAUUAAUAUUAUAAAUAUUACUCUUAGGUCAGGUGUUGCAGCCAAACCCAAGAUUCUUGGGUACAACUUUGCAGAAAGAUCUAACACUUUUAAAUAUUAAUUUUUUAUAUAUAUAUUUUUUAUACAAAAAAAUGACCCGCGACACUGUAGCAGCUUUGUUUUUUUUCCUUUUUUUUCAACUGUAGCAAUUUUGUUUUUUUGCUUUUUUUUUCUUUUUUUUUUUAUCCAAAAGUGACUUCUUUGCCUUUGUUUUUUUUUUCUUUUUUUAAUUUUUUUUUCAAAAAUUAUCUUUACUAAUUUUUUAAAUAUUGAGCUGGUUGAAAAUUUAACUAUUUAGUUUUUUUCUUUAAAACAUUGUGGAUUGCUAUAAUAUUAUCAUACAUUGUUUUUUCCUUUUUUUCAAAAUGGUCUUUGUAGACUUUUUUUUUUUUUUUUUAUUAAGUUGGUUGAGAAUUUAGCUUUAUAGUUUUUUAAAAAUAAUAUGGAUUGCUACAGUGUUUCCCUACAUAGUUUUUGUUUUGCUACAGUGUUUCCCCAUAUAUUUUUUAAAAACAUUAUAUUUAUCGAAUUUAUUUUUUUAAUAUUGAGCUAAAUGAUAAUCUAACUUUAGCUUUCCCCGCAUGUUUUUUUUUUGUUUGUUUUUCUUUUUUCCAAAAUUGUCAAAUUUUUACAUAUUUUUUUUUCAGAAUUAUUUUGUUGAUUUUAUUUUUUUACUAUUGAGCUGGUUGAAAAUUUUGUUUUUUUGUUUAUUUCUUUAAAACAUUGUAGCUUUCCCUACGUGUUUUUUUUUUUUCUGCUUUUGUUACCUUUUUUUACCCAAAAUUGACUUUUAUAAAUAUAUAAUAUUUUUUAUCGUUUUUUUUUUAUAUUGAUCUGGUUGAAAACUUAGCUUUGUAGCUUUUUUCAAAAACAAAAUAUAUAUGGAUUACUACAAUAUUAGCUAUUUUUUCUUUUUAAUUUUUUUUUAAUGAAUUUUUUUUGUCCGGUCGGGUCGGAAAAGUUAGAAACGGCUCCGUUGAGUGGCUCAAAGUGGCCACCUCGGGCAGUUCACAGCCUUGAGCUGCCAAAUUUGGCAGCUCGAGGUGCACACUUCGAGCCAACAGUUGAGAUGCUUCCCAACUGAAUCAAGGGCUGAAAUUUUUCCCCAAAGUAGACAAGAUUGCCCUCUUCCACAGCCUAUAAAUAGAGUCGGAUUUGAUGAUCUGAGGGAGGAGAAAUUCGGGUCCAAAAUCAGCCAAAAAUCAGCAUUUUCGCCCAAUUUCUGCAGAUUUUUCUUCUCUUCUUUCUUCCUUUGCAACAGGAACCCGACGCCGUCUUCCUCCAACUCUACAGCUGCAACCACCAGCUGAACCACCUCAUCACAGCAGCCACAACCCCUUCGGCCAAGUGAGCCCCUCUUCCUUUCCUCCUUUUCUUCUUCUUCUUCCUCCUCCUUACCUACUGUUCACUGCAUGAACAGUAGGCGUGAAAUAUAAUUCACGUCCUACUGUUCAUGCAGGACGUGAAUUAUAUAUAUAUAUAUAUAUAUAUAUAUAUGUGUGUGUGUGUGUGUGUGUGUAUUAUAAUUUUAUAAAAAAAAAAAAAAAAAAAAUUCCAAAAUCAUUUUAAAAAAUGUUUAUUAAAGAAAAAAUGUUUUGUUUUCAUACAUACGGCCAAUACUCUAACAUGUUUUGAAAUGUUCUUUUUAUAUAAAAAAAAAAUAUUGGAAGUUUUGAAAAAUGUGAUUUCGCAUAGAUUUCUUAAACAUAAAUUAUUUUCUUGCAUUUCUGGAUUUUACAACAUGUUUGUAAAACUCCAAAGGGUAUUGGCCAAUAUCCCAAAGAAUACAAAAAUCUUAUUUUGGGUAGGGGGAAUUCAUCUAUUAUUCACCGCUAAUGUUUGGAUAAAGAAAUCCUUAAAGGACGAAUAUCCAAAAUAUUAUUGGGAGUAAUAAAUCCGCACACAUCCUUGAAAGAAGCCUUGAUUAUAAUUGAGGAUAUUUCAACUUUUGUCUCCAUGGUUUACGAGCCGUGAAAGUAUGAAAUACUAAGGCAAAAAGAGGCUUUUAAAGCGCUCUGAAUUUCCUUAGAUUUCUAAAUCUUGGUCCCUUUUUCCUUGCGAUUUACGAGUCGCCAACUUUUGAAAUACUAAGGGAAAAAUGAGCUUUCAAAGCACAUGGAAUCUCCUUGGAUUUCUAUCCAAAUAAUUUUUAUUUGAAUCAAACCUAGGAAAAUUGAUUGGAUUAGAAAACACCAGCACCAUAGCAAUUAUAAAGCAAAUCAAACACCAAGCAGCUUACCUUAGGUAGGGCGUACUAGGGGUGCUAAUACCUUCCCUUUACGCAACCAGUCCCUUGCCUUAGAAUCUCUGAAAGACCAGUUAGGGUUCCUAGUGACCAAAAUACUAGGUGGCGACUCCAAAGAACCAAAUCAGUAAAACAAAACGAAAGUCGCCAGCCGAUGCCGCAUUCGGAUUUUUUUGGGGGUGCGACACUUUCCAUGGAAACCUUCAAAACUCUUUCCUUCUUAACCUCCACUCCUACAACAUUCACUCCUCCACUACUUGUAGCAUGAUUGGGCAAAGGGUUGGAUUUUACAUUCGGUGCAUCAUCAAAAGUUAUCCAUCUAGCUUUUAUCAAUUGCAAAAGCUUGUUUUUAAAUGCAUUACAGCUUUCAAUGUUAUGUGAUCUAGUAAACGUGAGAUACUGAAGAGCACCAAUAAUUUGUUGAAAGCGAGUGGGAUCCGAGAAUAAAAUAGUAGACGACAGAUCAAGCUUGGAAAUAAUGGUUGGUGUAUCGACAGGUUUACAUGAUGACAUACGAGCACGAUAGAGAAUAUAAAGAACAUACUUAUAUUGAUUCAGCAUGAGUCCCAUGCUGGUAAGAGAGACCUCAAACUCCAAAAAAAUGAUGAGCAUUACCCAAGUCGCGGAGCUUAAAUUAUGAACUCAGUAUGGUAAUAAGGUGAUGAAUUAAGGUAGAAUUGUUACCAGUAAGUAGGAUGUCAUCGACAUAGAUAAGCAGGUAGCAAAUAUCAUGAUUCCUCGCCAAAAUAAAAAAAGAGGUAUCAACCUUGGAAGCUCGAAAACCAAUAGUCUGAAGGAAGUACUCAGACGGGUGUACCAAGCCCAAGGGGCUUGUUUUAGACCAUACAGAGACCUGUGAAGAAGACAAACAUGAUUUGGCAGAGCAGAGUCUACAAAACCUGUGGGUUGUACCAUGUAACAACCUCUCAAAGUGAACCAUUGAGGAAGGCAUUGUGGAUAUCAAGUUGUUAAAUCUGCCAUCCUUGGAACGAUAAUAGUGAGAACUAACCGAACAUCAGUUGGUUUAACAACAUGACUAAAGUUUCUGAGUAAUCAAUGCCUUCUUGUUGAGUGAACCCACGCGCAACCAAACGAGCCUUAUAGCAGUUAAUAACACCAUCAACUUGGUGCUUUAUUUUAUACACCCAUUGGCAGCUAACUACAUUCAAGAAGGGAUCAAAAGGUACCAAGGACCAAGGACCAAGUACCAUUGGCAUGUGAAGAUGCAAUUUCAUACUUCAUGGCAGUAUGCGAGCACAUAAAACAGUCAGCCUUCUUAAAAGUAAGAGGUUUGAGAGUAGAUGGAGACAUUACUGGUGAAGAUGGAGGCAGUGAGGAAGAAACAAUGACUAAAGUGAUGUUGGCAAUCCUGUUAUAUCUAGGACGCAACACCAUUGGGUGUUGUCGUUGUUCUGGAGGAGCAGAGCUUUGAACAGGGGACAAUUGCCGUGGAAGAGUAUAACUUGACAAAUUAACAUAGAGGUCCAAACCUGGUGAAGACACAACAGAUUAUUUGGAUGGAGAGGAAGAGCUGGAUGACCGUGCUGGAGAGACACAACUGGGAGACGUGAACACAAAAAACGCCAAUGUUACCCUAUACCUGCAAAAUGAUCAACAAAUAUGGAGGCAGAUGGUGAUAAAGGGACAACGGGGUUAGAGGAAGUGGGUGGUGGGGCUGAUGGUUUAGUGGACGGAAAGAUGGUGAGCGAGGGAAGGUGUGUGACAGUGGUAAACAGAUGGGGUAUGGCUGGUAGGUGAAGGGAGAUGGACAGACUCGAGAAACGGAAACACAUGUUCAUUAAAUCAAACAUGACAUGAGAUAUAGAGACACUUAGAUGAUAAGUCAAGACAACGAUACCCUAAAUGAGAUGAACUAUAGCCUAAGAACACAUAUGGAGUAUAUCGAUAGUCUAACUUAUGAGCAUUAUAAGGUCGAAGGAAGGGAAAACAGAGACAUUCGAAAGUACAUAAAAAAUCAUAAUUAAGUGGUUGACGACACAGACAUUUAAAAGGAGAUUUGUUGCGCAAAAUUGGUGUGGGCAUACAAUUAAUGAGGUCAAUAGAGGUUUCAAAAGCCUAAGUCCAAAAUUUUAAAGGUGUCUUACACUGAUUAAGAAGGGUAAGACCAGUUUCAACAAUGUGACAAUGACGACACUUAACGAUACCAUUAUGUUCAUGCGUAUGUGAGCAUAUAAGGCGAUGAUGAACACUAAUGGUUUUGAAUAAUGAAUUUAAUUUACGAUAUUCACCACCCCUGUUAGUUUGAACAUAUUUAAUUUUUUGAGAGAAUUGUCAUUCGACAAAGACUUGAAAUUGAUGAAACACAUUAAAGACAUCAGAUUUGAGGACAAGAGGAUAAAACAAUAUAAAUUUUGUAUGCACAUCCACAAAAAUAACAAAUAGCGAAAACCAUCCGAAGAUAACAUAAGAGUAGAGCCCCACACAGCACUAAAAACAAGUUCAAGAAAAGUAGAUGUCUGAUGACCUAUAAGGCUUAAAGAUAGACGAGAUGAUUUUUCUAAUGCACAAGCUUGACAUUGAAAAUUUAAAGGAAGAGAAGUACAAAUAACCUUUUUAUUUGACGCUAAGAGAUUCAGAACACGAGAGCUAGGAUGACCGAGGCGACGAUGCCAAACAUUAGUAGAGGUGUACAGAAAAGCCUUGGGAAGACACGUGGUAGAGGACUCGGUAAGGAUAUAAAGGCCAUCUUUACUCUGUCCGGAAAGAAGAAUUGCCUUGGUUAUGAGAUCCUUGAAAUAGAAAAAAGAAGAGUGAAACUAAAAAAAGAAACAAUUUUCACGACAAAAUUGUUGAACAGAUAAGAGUCUUUUCUUAAUUUUUGGAACAUGUAGAAUAUUAGACAAAGUAAAGGUUUGUUUCGGAGUAUGCAAAAUUUUAUGAGUUGUAUUAGAUAUAAUAAGUCUCUUACCAUCACCAAUAUAUAAUUGAUCAUUACCAAGACAAGGGUCUUUAUGUAUCAUACCGGCAAUGUCUGGAGUAACAUGUUGAUUCACACAUGUAUCGAGCAACCAAGUGAUAGAAUUUGCCACUGAAGCGUCACUAAAGAAGAGGUUGGCCGAGGCUUGAUUCUCAUGAUGCACAAGUUGAGAGCAUUGCUGUGCAGAGUGUCUGAUGUUGCUGCAAAGUUGGCAUCUAAUAUGCCGAGGCCACUGGUGUUGCCCUUUUUGUUUUUGCUGCUGUCGUAGCUCUUGGUGUUCUGCCAGGAGGAGCUACCUUUAUUUCAAUGGUAAGGCUGGCCGGUACUGGUUAUAAUUGAUGCGAGAGUUGCCUCUCCAGCCUCCUCUUUUUCCUUUGCCCCGAUGAAAAGAGGAGCCAUUGCCAUCACAUCCAACGAAGGCAGCUGUGCAGCAUAUGCAGAGGGAGGGUGUGAGGGUGUGGGCAGCAACGGUGCAGUAACUGGAAUGGAUUGAAGAGAGCUUAUGUGUAAAAAUUCAUGUGUAGACAAGUGACUAUGGAGCUUAGAAUACGCAAGAGGCUCAACAUUGGUCGACAGACUAGUAACCAAAUCUCGAAAUUCAUCGCGAAGACCCCGAAAAACAUAGAGAUUGAAGUUAGUGAGGGAGAUAGGUCUAUCUGUUGCGGCUAGUUUGUCAAAGAAGCUCUUAGCUUUCUGCAGGUAUAGAGUGAAAGUAUCAUCACCUUGAUGAGGAUCCUGGAAAGAGCCAUGUAAUUGCAUAAUCCUAGAGUUGGAUGGAGAGGCAAGGGUAUGUUUUAAGGUGCUCCAAACACUUGUCGAAGUUUAGCAGUCCACCACAAGGUGAAGAACAUCAAUGGAGAGGCAAGGGUAUGUUUUAAGGUGCUCCAAACACUUGUCGAAGUUUGGCAGUCCACCACAAGGUGAAGAACAUCAAUGGAGAGGGAUGAGAGCAAAGCAUUGAAUAUUAGUUCAUCUUGUUGUUUCCAUGUGAGGAACGCUUGAGAAGGACAAUAAUUAAUGUUGGCAGAGGCAGUAGUAUAGUGAGUGGACAGAUCAAGUGGAGAAGGGUAGGAAUGCAAGCCAUCAACAAAUGAGAACACCCCUUGGCCAAUCAGAUAUGGCGUCAUCUGCAUACAUCAAAAUAGAUAAUUGGAAUCGGUGAGUUUGGGGUUGAUGACCUGCUGUGUAUUUGAGAGGGGAAUAACAGUUACUGUCGCAGCAGAGAAAAAGCAUGACUGCAUUGAUGUUGGGAGAAAAAGCGCUGACUUUGGUGUUGGGAGAAGGACUGCCAGUGGUGCCAGCUGCAGCAAAAACCGAAGGAUCCAUAUUGUAGCAGAUGAGUAGAAAAUAGAAGCUGACAGCAGAUAGUUGCAGGGAAGCCGAAAGAGUAGCAAAGAAAACAGCAGAAAACGUUGACUUCGGAGCAGAAACAGUAAUAAAAAAUCAGUAAUAACACGCUGAUGGCUGAAGCAGAGAAGCAUUAUCAAUCAAAAAUCAACAGAAGAAGCAGAAUCAACGUUGCAGAUCGUGAGGCUAAUUAACAGUAGCACAAUGAAGCAAGUAAUUAGCUAAUUAGAGGGGCUGCCAUUUGAAGAAUAAUUAGCUGAUGAAGGAGUCGCAAUUAGAUUUUGUUGAAUAAAAACAAUAGAGGGGCUGCCAUUUGAAAAUAUAUCUGUUAAAGAUAAAUUGGUUUUGAUACAAGUUAAAAUAAUAUUUGUGCUAAUUGAGAGGCUUAAUCUAAUAAGAUAGCCACCUCUUUUAUUUAUUAAAGAACUCUAAAACGUGUAGGGAAAGCACUUAGCUUUCCCCACGCCUCCUAUGCAUCAGUGAAUGAAAGUUUUUUUUUUUUUUCCUUUCACACCUCACUUUACUCAUUUUAAAUAUAUUAUUAUUAUAAUAUUAUAUUAUAUUAUUUAACUGUUUUAUUUUUUUUGUUUUUUUAAUGAAUUUGUUUUGUUUGAUUUAGUUUGUUGAUGUUAAAUUUUUUUCUAUUUAAUUAUCAGACUUUCACAAUAUAUAUCCUGGCUUGACGGGUUAACUUGGUUUGAUUGGUUAACCUAGUUAACUUUAGGUAAACCCGUUAAUUUUUUUAUUUAUUUAGUUAUCAAACUUUCAUGAUGCGAAUUCAAGAUUUGACAGGUUAAUCCAGUUAAUUCAUAUUUUUUUUCUUUUUUUUCAUUAGUUUUUUUUUCUAUUGGUUUUUUUAUUUGUUUUUUUAUUUUUAAUCAAUCUAUUUUAUUAUCACACUUAUAUGACACGACCUUGCAGCCAGACCUACAUCCACUAUUGAAUCUGGUAUUGCAGCCACCCCCACUUAAACUUGGGUCAUCUAAGUUUAAUGUUAUUAUUAAUAUUAUAAACAUUACUCUUAGGUCAGGUGUUGCAGCCAAACCCAAAAUUCUUGGGUAUAGCUUUGCAGAAAGAUCUAACACUUUUAAAUAUUAAUUUUUUUUAUAUAUAUUUUUUAUACAAAAAAAUGACCCGCGGCACUGUAGCAGCUUUGUUUUUUUUUCCUUUUUUCACUAUAGCAAUUUUGUUUUUUGCUUUUUUUUCUUUUUUUUUUAUCCAAAAUUGACUUCUUUGCCUUUGUUUUUUUUUUUUUUUUUAAUUUUUUUUCAAAAUUAUCUUUACUAAUUUUUUUAAAUAUUGAGCUGGUUGAAAAUUUAACUAUUUAGUUUUUUUCUUUAAAACAUUGUGGAUUGCUAUAAUAUUAUCAUACAUUGUUUUUUAUUCUUUUUUUUCAAAAUGGUCUUUGUAGACUUUAUUUUUUUUUUCAUAUUAAGUUGGUUGAGAAUUUAGCUUUAUAGUUUUUUUAAAAAAUAAUAUGGAUUGCUACAGUGUUUCCCCUACAUAGUUUUUGUUUUGCUACAGUGUUUCCCCAUAUAUUUUUUUAAAACAUUAUAUUUAUCGAAUUUAUUUUUUUAAUAUUGAGCUAAAUGAUAAUCUAACUUUAGCUUUCCCCGCAUGUUUUUUUUUAUUUGUUUUUCUUUUUUCCAAAAUUGUCAAUUUUUACAUUUUUUUUUUCAGAAUUAUUUUUGUUGAUUUUAUUUUUUAUUAUUGAGCUGGUUGAAAAUUUUGUUUUUUUGUUUAUUUCUUUAAAACAUUGUAGCUUUCCCUACGUGUUUUUUUUUCUGCUUUUGUUACCUUUUUUUACAUUUUGUUUUCAUUUAUUUUACCCAAAAUUGACUUUUAUAAAUAUAUAAUAAUUUUUAUCUUUUUUUUUUAUAUUGAUCUGGUUGAAAACUUAGCUUUGUAGCUUUUUUCAAAAACAAAAUAUAUAUGGAUUACUACAAUAUUAUCUAUUUUUUCUUUUUAAUUUUUUUUAAUGAAUUGUUUUUGUUAAUAUUAAAAAAAAUUUAUUUAGUUAUCAGAUUUUCAUGAUACGGAUCUCGGGUUUCUUUGAUACCUGCGCGAUGCCGCGGGUUAAUUUUUUUUGUAUAAAAAAUAUUUAAAAAAAUAAAAAUUUAAAAAUCUUGGGUUUUUCUGCAAAGUUAUAUCCAAGAAUCUUGGGUUUGGCUGCAAUACCUGACCUAAGAGUAAUAUUUAUAAUAUUAAUAAUAAAAUUAAACUUGCAUGACCCAAGUUUAAGUAAGCUUGACUGUAACACCGAACACAAGAAUAUUGGAUGUGGGUCUGGCUAUAAGGUCGUAUCAUAAAAGUGUGAUAAUUAAAUAGAUUAAUUAAAAAAAGAAAAAAAUCAACAGAAAGGAAAAAACUAAUGAAAAAAAGAAAAAGAAAUUGAAUUAAUUGGGUUGAGUUAUUUUUUUCAUUUAGUUUAGUUUGUUAAACUUAAUUUUCUUUCUAUUUAAUUAUCAAACUUUCAUACCUUCACGACAAGUAUCCUAGACUUGACGGGUUAACUUGAUUUGAUGGAUUAACCCAGAUAAUUCUGGGUAAACCCGUUAUUUUUUUUCUAUUUAGUUAUCAAACUUUCAUGACGCGAAUCUCAGGUUUUACGGGAUAACCUGGUUUGAAGGGUUAACCCAAUUAAUUCAUUUUUUUUCUUUUUCUUCAUUAGUUUUUUCCUUCAUGUUUAUUUUUUUUCUUUGUUUUUUUUUAAUUAGUUUAUUUAAUUAUCACACUUUUAUGACACAACCUUAUAGUCAGACCCACAUCCAAUAUUCUUGAGUCCGGUGUUGCAGGCAGGCUCACUUAAACUUAAGUCAUGCAAGUUUAAUUUUAUUAUUAAUAUUAUAAAUAUUAUUUUUAGGUCAGAUAUUGCAGCCAAACCCAAGAUUCUUGGGUAUGGUCUUGCAAAAAGACCCAAGAUUUUUAAAUUUUUGUUUUUUUUAAUAUUUUUAUAUAAAAAAAAAGACCCGCGACAUCAAGUGGGUCAUGUGUCUAGUAUAAUUACAGUAGUGUAUAUGUUAUGGUGUAGCAUACUAUACACGAUAAAUCAAUAUAUUAAUAAUAUAAUAUUUUGUAUAUUAACCCAUUCCAUAAUAAAUGUGCACUGCCACGUCUUCAUUUUUUUUCUUCUAUUUUUUAAUGCAGCAAGUUGUUAAAAUUGAUAAUGACAUGAUUUAAAAGAAAACAUAUAUAUGUAUAUAUAAGUCAUCAUUUGAGUCAACGUAUUUUGAUGGGGAAGCAGGUGUUGGCCAGCCAGUUGCUUUCUAGGAGUGGAUCAACUGCUUUAGCAGAUGGGCCCAUCACUGCAGAGUAAUUUUAUAUUCUCACUCCCAUUGUGGGAUUUUUCUUUAUAUUUAUUGUACCGUCAAUCUUUCUAAUUUCAUUUCAUUUCAUCUUCAUUCAAGAACUUUAAAACCACUUUCUCUCUUCUUCACUGUCUCCAAAACAAAAUGGCUACAGAGUUUUUUCUUACAGUUAGUUUCAUUUUCAUGUUCUGAGGGUAAUAUUCCUUAAUUAGUUGACUGGCUGACUUGCUAAGAAUUUGCACGAAAGCAUAUCCCUUAGUUGAUUCUUCAGCUAACCUUUCUCUCCGAGAACUGCAAUUUCAUAGGUAUAACUAACUCUUCUUUGCUUUUUUCUUGUUUUGAUUUCAUGAAUUUACUGAUAGCAAUAAUUUGAAAGUUUUAUGUUCAGAUAGAUCAUUGAUCAGUUUAUGUCUUCUAGUACGAGAUUAUUGUCGAAUCAUCCCAUCACAGUUAGUUCCUUUCCAUUAUCUUUUUCAUGUUCGUAGACUUUCUGCCUGUGAUGUGUUGCUAGUUAGCCAAAGAUUAAUAACUUUCAAUUGUCGGUAUCACUUAAACUUAAUUAUAGAUGAAACUAUUUGUCAGUUGCUAUUUUUUUGCUCUCUCGUUAUUUAGCUUAAGCUAUUGUAUUAUCUUUGAUGAUCACUUCACAUGCACCCCUUGCUAGUAUUUGCAAGAGAGUAGAUACCUUCUGCAAUUGCUCCAUUGCUAAUUAAUUGUGCCUUAAUUUCUGCAGCUGCCAUGACAGAGACAGAGUCUUCUAAAUCUAGAACAGAAGGGGCCUAUGAUGUCUUUUUGAGUUUUAGAGGAGAAGAUACUCGCAAGACAUUUACAGAUCAUUUAUAUACAGCCUUAGUCCAAGCAGGAAUCCACACUUUUCGAGAUGAUAAUGAACUUCCUAGAGGAGAAGAAAUCUCCGAUCAUCUCCUCAAGGCAAUUCAAGAAUCAAAGAUAUCUAUAGUUGUCUUUUCAAAGGGAUAUGCUUCUUCUAGAUGGUGUCUUAAUGAGCUUGUAGAGAUUCUUGAGUGCAAAAAUAGGAAAACCGGUCAGAUUGCUCUUCCUAUAUUCUAUGACAUUGAUCCUUCAGAUGUGAGAAAGCAGACUGGCAGUUUUUUAGAAGCAUUUGAUAAACAUGAAGAACGUUAUAAAGAAAAGGUGAAGGAGUGGAGAAAAGCUCUCGAGGAUGCGGGAAAUCUAUCUGGAUGGAAUCUCAAUAUUAUGAAAAAUGGGUAUGCCUUUUCUCUCUAAGAUUCACUUGCUGCCAUUUAUGGAGCCAUUAUACAUUUGAUUUUUCAAAGUUAAACAAUAAAAUAUUGUUUUGAGCAUAUUUAAUUAACUUGCUAUCAAAUGACUUGCCUUUGUCUAUGAACAGGCAUGAAGCAAAAUUUAUCCAAGAGAUUAUCAAGGAUGUGUUGAAUAAAUUAGAUCCCAAGCACUUAAAUAUUCCUAAGCUCCUAGUACGUAUCGAUCCGCUUGCUCACAAUAUUUUUGACUUUCUAAGUACUGCAACAGAUGAUGUACGCAUUGUGGGCAUACAUGGGAUGCCAGGAAUAGGAAAGACAACUAUAGCAAAAGUUUAUUUAAUCAUCUCUGCUAUGGAUUCGAGGGAAGCUGUUUUCUUUCGAAUAAUCAAUGAAACAUCAAGACAAUUUAAUGGUCUCGCUCUUUUACAAAAGCAACUUCUUCAUGAUAUUUUAAAACAAGAUGCUGCUAACAUCAGCAAUGUUGAUAGAGGAAUGGUUCUGAUCAAAGAACGGCUUUGUCGCAAAAGAGUUCUUGUUGUUGCUGAUGAUGUGUCUCAUCUUGACCAGCUAAAUGCUUUGAUGGGAGAGCGAAGUUGGUUUGGUCCCGGAAGUAGAGUAAUCAUUACAACAAGAGAUUCAAGUUUUCUACUUAAAGCAGAUCAAACAUAUCGGAUCGAAGAAUUGAAACCAGACGAGUCCCUUCAGCUUUUCAGCUGGCAUGCCUUUAAGGACACCAAGCCAGUAGAAGACUAUAUUGAGCUUUCGAAGGAUGCAGUUGAUUACUGUGGAGGACUUCCUUUAGCUCUUGAGGUUAUAGGAGCUUGUCUGUCCGGGAAAAACAAAGACAGAUGGAAAUCUGUAAUUGACAAGUUGAGAAGAAUUCCAAACCGCGAUAUUCAAGGAAAGCUUAGAAUAAGUUUUGAUGGACUGGACGAUGAUGAACUGCAAAAUGCCUUCCUUGAUAUUGCAUGCUUCUUUAUUGGUAGAAAGAAAGAAUACGUUGAAAAAGUGCUAGAAGCCCGUUGUGGUUACGAUCCAGAAGUUGAUUUGGGAACUCUCCGUGAAAGGUCUCUGAUUAAAGUUACUGCCAUUGGAAAGAUAACCAUGCAUGAUCUAUUACGAGACAUGGGAAGGGAGAUCAUUCGUGAAAAGUCACCGAAACAACCUGGAGAAAGGAACAGAAUUUGGAAUCAAGAGGAUGCAUGGAAUGUACUUGACCAGCAAAAGGUAAGAGCUCAAUGCAUACACGAAAGCAUAGUCAUGCAUAUUUUCUUGUCAAGCUUAUUAAAAAUAAUGAUAUGAAAGUUGUAUUGUUUUUUUUUCUAGGGUACGGAAGUUGUAGAGGGUCUUGCACUGGAUGUGAGAGCAUCAGAAGCUAAAUCAUUAAACACAGGAUCAUUUGCAAAAAUGAGAUGCUUAAAUUUACUACAGAUCAAUGGGGUACAUCUCACCGGAUCCUUCAAACUGCUUUCUAAAGUGUUGAUGUGGAUUUGUUGGUUUGAAUGUCCUUUGCAAUAUUUGCCAUUUGAUUUUACUUUGGACAAUCUUGUUGUUCUUGAUAUGCAAUACAGUAACCUCAGAGAAUUAUGGAAAGGGGAAAAGGUGCGAAACAAACUACAAUCCACCAAAUUUCUCCAGUAUAUAAUUUAUAUUUACAUGUUAUGACUUUAUAUGAUUACUUUUCAUUGUUUUUCUCUCUAUUUUGACAGAUUCUCAACAAGCUGAAAAUCCUUAAUCUCAGUCAUUCUCAGUUCCUAGUUAAAACACCAAACUUACACAGUUCAAGUCUACAGAAACUAAGGUUGGAAGGUUGCUCGAGUUUAGUUGAGGUGCAUCAAUCUGUUGGAAAUUUGAAGAGCCUCAUUUUCUUGAAUCUAAAGAGAUGUCGGAGCCUAAAGAUUCUUCCCGAAAGCAUUGGUGAUGUAAAGUCUCUUAAACGUUUGAAUAUUUCUGGAUGUUCACAACUUGAGAAGUUGCCAGAAUGCAUGGGUGAUAUGGAAUCCUUAACUGAGCUGCUAGCAGAUGGAAUUAAAAAUGAACUCCUACCUUCAUUUGUACAUUUAAAGUAUGUUAGAAAGUUAUCAUUGCGUGGAUACAUUUUUUGUCGGGACUCACCAUCACCUACAUCCUGGGUUUCCCAAAUUUCAUCAUGGCUUUCACCGUCGUCUACAUCCUGGCCUCUACCAGUUUCAUCUUCGAUCAUAGCAAGUACUCUUUUAAAUCGGAAACGUUUGCUGCCAACAACUUUCGAAUGGAGAUCAAUGAAAUGUCUUAAGUUAUCUAAUAGUGGUUUGUCUGAUCGCACAACUAACUGUGUUGAUUUCAGGGGUUUGUCCUCUCUAGAAGAAUUGGAUCUAUCACAAAACAAUUUCUCUAGCCUGCCUUCCGGGAUCGGCUUCCUUUCCAAGCUUUUGAUUUUGAGUGUUCAGGAAUGCAUCAAGCUUGUAUCAAUCUCAGAUCUUCCCUCAGAUUUACACUGUUUGGAUGCCUAUGGUUGCAGUUCAAUGAAAAGUGUAAGAAUUCCAAUCCAGUCAAAAAUCACCAUCUAUGGUUCUCAGAAAUGUUAUAUGUUAGAAGAGAUUCAGGGCAUCGAAGGUCCAAGUAAUAAUUACUGGUCUAUUGACGUUGAUUUCCGAGUGCAUCAAUAAUUUCCUGAAGAGUCUUGCUGAGGUACUAUCUCUGUCUCUCCAGCACACAAAUAUACACAUUAAUCAAUUAGUUUCUAAAAUUUCAGCAUUUCUUGAAAUCAAUAUAUAUAUAUACAGGCAUCGUGCAAUGGUGAUUAUGGGUAUUAUUGACUCCUCCUGUUAACAUGCCAAAUUGGUUAAGCUACCGUGGAGAAGGAUGUUCAUUAUCAUUUCAUAUACCUCCAGUUUUCCAAGGCUUGGUUGUCUGGGUUGUUUCUCCAUUUGAGGUUAUAGUAGUGGGAAUGACGCCAUCGAUUACAGGUUAUUAUAAAAAAUAAAAACAACGGUGUUCAAUUGUUUGAAGAUACUAACAGUAGAAGGAUGCCUGAAUGGGUAAGAUACAUAAGUAUAAGUGAUAUGGCAAUGGAAUACUGUGGAGAUGAGGAAUUGGAACUGUAUCUGGGGAGCCAGUCCAUUGAUGGAAGCAAAGUGGUACAGUGUGGGAUUCAUGUGAUAGUAGAAGAGACAGAUUCAUUUGAAGGGUCAGAGUGGGAUCGGGAGAUUAACAACAUAGAGUCAAGAGAUGAGGAGUUGGAACUGCACUUGAAUUCGGGGAGAAAAGACAUUAAUGUGACAGAAUGUGAAGUUCAUGUGAUCAAAGAGUUAGAAGCGGGAAGAGAUAGAGUGAUGCCUGCAUCACGGCCAUAUUGUCUGCUUCCUCAUCAUCCCAAUUAUGGUCUUAUAAGAGCGUCUACAACUGCGCAGUGGAAAGCUUAUUUCAUGCAAAAAAAACCUCGCCGAGUAAUAAUUUAUGGUAAGAAUAAAUAUUCCUUUUAGUUUUAUUUAAUUCUAUUUAAUUUAUGAAAUUAAAUAUUAUCUUUAAUGAUUUUUUUUUUCUUAUUUAAUUUUAAAAACAUCAAUUAAUUAUUAGCUAUAAAAAUCCCCCAAAAUGCAUUAGUUGAAUCACUUAAGCUGAUAUCAAACAAUCCAUCGAAUCGCACUUAAUUAAACCAUUAUUUUUAUUGGUAGCAACUCGUGUGUCUUUUAAGGCAAAAGAAUAGCAGGAAGAGCUAAAAUUAGAAAUAUUUAGAGACGGUUUGAUUUAUUUUUUUAUGAUAAUAUUUUUAAAUUUCUUAAAACAUGAAUUGAAAACUUGUAUGUUUUGAUAUUCUUGUGUAAAAAAGAAAAGCCAACAAUGACUAACAUAAAUUUAUAAAAUCACUUUAGUUGAUUUGGAAAUUUUUUAAUAUUGAUUUUUUUAUAUAUUUUAUUUCAAAUUUGAUAUUUUAAAACAAAAAAAAAACGAUGUGAAAAUAACCUUUUUAAUUAUAAAAUAAGUUUCUUAACUAAAAGUAAAACGGAGUUGUUUUUUGUAUUGAAUUUUGUUGGUUUGUAGGGAAUGGAAGAGGACAACGGCCUCGAAGACAUGGACAACCUAGUGUUGGAUUGGACGUGAGAGCAUUAAAAGAUAAAUCAUGGAGCACAAGAUCAUUUAUAGAGAGAGAUGCUUCAAUAUUGGGGUUUAAUGCAAGCAACUUGUUUACUCAAUAUAGAUAGAUUUUUUGUUAGGAUGAGGUGGUCAGGUUGCGUCACAUUGAUUAUGUCAUGAAGUUAACUAGAGUAAGAUAUAAAGAUAUCAAGCUUCGGAGAGAAUCAAGAUCAGUUAAAGCAAAAAAAAAAACAUUAAUUAUGAAUAUAAAUUGGAAAGGAAAAGUUUAGUUAUGAGGAAUCAGAUUCACAAAGAAAUUUGAGUCUCAUCGAUUCUAGGAAACAAGUUGGAAGGAAUCAAUUUUACAAUAAUUGAACUUGGCACUAGCUAGAGAGAACCUUCGUGCCACUAAGUACUGAAUCGUUAUUCAAAUGUACUGAAGGCCAUUUGUUUGCCAUUUGUGCUAAUUAAGAACAUAAUUCUAUUCUUUUAUAGUUUAUUGGAAGAUGAAAAAACUGGAGUGAGUUAAUAUUCUGUAAAAUAAGCUUAUUGCCAUUAAUUAAACUGAGAUUUUUCUGAUUAGAGAACAGAAGGAAUCUUCUUUCAUAAUUGGCUUUUGCGAAGGUUUAGUGUUUUUGCUACCUCUGCUUUUGGACCUGACAUGAUUCCUGACCGGUAGAAAGUAAAAACAGCAUUAGUCCAAAAGAAGGGAAGCUUUUGUUUUCUUUAAUCACAUGGUCUGAUAUUCUCAUUUAUGCCCAACACAAAUUCAUAAAAGUGGCUCUAAUGAUUGGCUGACAACAGUUGUUAAUGAGCAAUGUUUGCGUCCCUUAUUUUUCAGUUUACCAAGUAUUUAGAACAUUCAAUUCUAAUCCAAAGUCAAUACUAAUAAACUCUUUGGUGAUGGUUUUGUCAUCGAUGGUGAUCGGAAGACAGAAAAACCAGUAAAGUUUCUUAUAUAUAAAGUUUAUUAAGUAAUGAAAACAUCCAAAUCUAACAGUUUUUUUUAUUUUUUUUGUGUUAUGAUGUCUUGAUAUUAAUAAACUUUUGAUGAUAAUUAUUUUUUUCAUUUUAUGAUGCUUUUAUUGUCAGUAGUGAUAAGAUGAAGAAAAGCUAUUGAUUUUUCUCUCUGCAAUGGUUAGUUUUAUCGUACACAAAUGUUGGGUGCUUUUAUUUACAGAAAGGAGUACUGUCUAACAUUAUUCAUUUGACAACUGUUGUGAACCAAACAUUUCCUAUCUAUCUAUAUAAAGGUUGGCUUGGCCUCCUACAUAUUAGCCAUAGCAAGAAACCAACAAAACCUAUACACAGCUACUUGUCUUAGUGUGUUGAUUAAUUGUAGUUAACAUGGCACGUCAGGCAGACCGUCUUGCUAAGAUUGGGCAGGAGGGUUUUGCAGCCAUUGAUGAGCACUUCGGCCGGGCCAAGAGGCGGCCACCAGUUAUGAAGGUUCCCUAUGCCCAUCAGAAAAACUUGUCGACAGCAACGAGGCAGCGCAACUCUACAAAGGGAGGGUUUAUAUCGAUUACCCUAAGGGGAAACCAGUUCCGUUUUAAAGACCUAUUGAUCAAUCACUUACGUUUCUUGUAUGCAUAACCUCCUCCAGUACUUGUGUUACCUUUAGUCCUGUACGAUAUUCUCCCUCUGCUAAACGUAGACGAGGAGAGGUUGCUAGAACUCGAGUCAGGAGCUUCUUCUUACUUAUUCAAAUAAACUUUCUGUGAUUUAUAUAUCAUAAUUUUCUAUUUGGCUGGUCAAGUAUGUAUUGUCAUAAUUAUCUUUCUGACUUCCUAAUUAUCACCUGAUUCACCUCUGAUUGUUGCACUGUAUGCAAGAGUACUGUACGUAUGAAUAUAAACAUCAGAUCUGCUCUGUUAUUGCC